UAUUUUUGUUUCUAGCAUCGGUCUAACCGACGCAAAAUAAUAAUAAUUAUUAUUUUUCACUUUUUUUUCGUCCUCAAUGGGUUGGCCCACGUAACAUCAUUUUUGUGUGGAAUUUGCGUGGGUUUGACCAAUGCAGCUCGCAUCCACUCUUGAUCGACGCAAAUUUAACAGAGCUAUUAGAGCGUUUUCUUGUAGUGACUUGAAAAAAAUAAAGAAAGAAAUUACAAAGACUAAAUAAGAGACAAUGGUUUGAGGAAUAUAAAAAAUGAAAAAAAAAAUAGAAAAAAUUUAUAAAUUGAUAGAAGUUUAUGCCUUAAAUGAAAUGCAUGAUUUGAUUUAGUUACAUGAAAGUUGAGAUAAAUUAAAUAGUAAAAUGACUUAUAAAUAUGCCAGUUAAUAAUAUGAUUGAUAAAAGGUGAUAUAUUCACUAAAAUAUUUUUUUUCAAAAGUUCAAAAUCGGAGCCAUUUAUUAUUGACAAAAUAAUUAAUUAAAAAGAUGUAUUGAAAAUAAGGAUUAAUUGAAGGUAAAUAUUUUGACUAAUAUGACACUUCAAGAAAUCAACAUAAUCUUUUAUCAAAAACUGUGAGUGGAAUAUAACUAGAAGGAGGUACCGAAAUAAUGGAUUAAGUAAGUAUCGAUACAAUAUCUCUAUACAUAAAAAAUUCUUUUGUACAAUAAGUGUCGAAGUAAUGUAUUUUUUUAAUGCUUGUUUUACAUAAAGAUUUGGAGUAUAAACAAAUUAUAAUUAAUACAUGUUAUUUUGAAAAAGUGACAAAUAGUGAUGUAGGUUUAAUAAAGAUUGUAACCGAUGACAAUUAUUGAAACAAAUUGUUGUAUAUAGCUUAUUGAAAUUAUCCAUAAAAGCUUUAUUAUUUACAUUAAAAAACACAUAAAUUAAAUCUAAUUAUCUAUUUGUUUUUAUUUGCAAAAAACUGUAUUCAAAACAAUAUUAUAUCCAUUCUAAGUUCUUUAACUCUAACUUUUUUUUAUAUAGUUAAUCGAAAUGUAAAAGGUGUACACAGUGCGACUCCAAUCAACCCACAGAAACCUCACUUCAUCACUAAACCUCCACCGUCCCCAGUUGCAACUCCCAGCUGCUGUUACGUAUAACAUCCAUCUUCUGAUCUUUUAAAGCCGUGCAUGUGUUUCAUUUAGCGUGUUGUACAACAUCCAAGUAGGUUGCAUAUUCCUUCUCGGGUAUCAUCAUGCCUCCAUGCAUUAUCCUUGCAAAAAGAAAACAUUUCCCACAUUUCCAUAGCAAAUUACCAGUUUUAGUUAUCUAUCACAUAUCCUCUGCUCCUACCUCCCAUCCUUAAAAACUACAUUGUUUAUAUUUUCCAGAGGCUCCAGAUUAUUGCAAUCCAAAGACUUUUCAAUAAAAAAUUCAGUUUUUUAUUUUUAUUUUUUACCUUUAUCCACUUAUCACAAUUAGUCUAAACUUUAAAUACUAUGUCAUAAGAUAGGAAUAAGUGUUAGACGGUUUCCAAGUGUUCUAGACAUAGGGGACAAAUUUUAGUGUUUAACUCUAAAUAUGUGAUAAAACUGUUGGAAAUCUCACAUCAACUAGAGAUUAAGACAUUUUAUAGUAUAUAAGUGGGUGCAAACUUCACCUUAUAAGUUAGUUUUAUAGGGUUGAGUUAGGCUUAAAGUCUACUUCUUAAUAUGAUAUUAGAGUUAUUUCGAGUCUAUCUAGCGAGAGUUUGUUGGGUUUAUCAGACCACCCACUAUCAAAUCGUUAUUGGAUCACUCAUAAUAUAUAAUAUCAUGCACGAGAUUGGUAGCCUCAGCGUGAAGGAGAUGUGUUGGAGAUCUCACAUCGACUAGAAAUUAAGACAUAGUAUAUAAGUGGAUGUAAACCUCACCUUAUAAGCUGCUGAUUUUAUAAGGUUAAGUUACUUAAAGUCUACUUUUUAAUAAAAACAUUUAUGAAGCUAUGAUUUUCAUUCAAACAAGCCUCAAAACCAACACAUCUUCAAUAUCUCUCAAUUAUAACUUCUACAAAAACUCUUGUAAUGCUAAUACUAUUUUAAAAAGGUUUGCAUAUAUGUUUUAUGUGUACGCUUUGUGAAAUGCAUGAAAAAUUUAUUCAGCAUUUAUUUUUUUAAUGUUCUAAUGCUUUAUGUAUUUGGAGUUGGGUUCGAAAGAUUUUUCUUACUUCUCAUUUCUCUAAUAAGGAUGAUCUUUUUGCUUUUAUUAAGAGUGAUGGUAGUCCUUUGGUUAAAUUGAUUAAGCUUGUUGUAGUAACUUUUUCUAUUUGGAUGAUAUGGCGUAUGAGGAAUUAUGUUAGAUUUCACGAUAAGAUUGAUUUUUCUACGGCUAUUUCAUUCAUUAAAGAUUUAACUUGUCUAGUGGGAAAUUCAUCAAAAGCUUCAAUGAGAAAUGAUAUGGUAGAUUUCAAUGUCAUUAAGUUUUUUGGUAUUAAUUCUUGGAAUGGUAAAGUUAUUCUUCCUCUUCCCGUUAGAUGGAAGUUCCCUUCGUCAGGCUGGGUUAAAAUUAACAUUGAUGGGGCUGCUAGGGGUUAUCUGAGUCUUUCUACUUGUGGAGGUAUUUUUCGUGGGAGUAUUAGAGACUUUAUUGGUGGUUUCUCUGAUUUUCAAGAAGUGCAGACUUCUUUGAUUAAUGAGUUUUUAUGGAGUUAUACUAUGGAUGAAGCUCAAAAAAUGGGUCUUACUAAUGUAUAGCUUGAAUGUGAUUAUACCUUGGUUUGUGCUGCUUUUGCUACCAUGACUAAUGUUCCAUUGAUGCUUUAAUGGAACACUAGUCUUAAUUAUUGUAGGAAAAUCAGGUUUAGGGUUAAUCAUAUUUUUCGUGAAGGGAAUGCGUGUACGAAUAAACUGACUAGUUUAGGAUCUAUUCAUAGGAAAUUUUUUCAUUGGUAUAAUAGACUUUCAUCUAGUUUGUUCUUAGAAUUCUUUAUAAAUAGGUAUAGGCUAUCUACAUAUCCUUUUUUUUAAUAUAUGGAUUUUGGUUUAACCCUCCAUAUUUUUCUGUAUUUUUUUUUAAUAAUAUCUUUUCCCGUAAUGACAAAUGAUUAUUUUUACUUGAAGUAUCAUCAUAUAUCAUAUGUCAAGUUGCAUAAUAAUAGUUAACAAGUUUAUAAAAAAAUAAAUGUUUAUCUACCAUCAAAUGAAUUUAACAUAUAUUAUAACUUGAGUGUGCUAAAAGUAGUUUAAAAAAUUAAUUUUUGUAAGUGUUGUAAGAUUGAAGAUUGGAUGUGUUUCCAAAUUGACAAAUUAUAUAGGUAAAUAUGUCUAAGAUAGUGGGUGUGACUAGAAGCUAUGAUGUAACCAAUGCUGCAAUUUAAAGAAAAACGUUAAUACUAUAAAACUUAUUUAUACAUUUAAUUAUAGGUUGUUGAUAAAAAAAAACAUUUAAUUAUAGGUUAAAGCAGAAGGAAAAAGCUGGGAUUGGAAUUACAUUAGUGUACACGUGUGAUACUUUGAUUUUGACGCUGAAUUCUACCUCAUUCAUACAAACCAACCUUUAUUUAAUUUUGCACUUCCCAACUACCGCCACUACCUAUUUUAACCUUUAACUGAAAUUCAGGACCUCUUUUACUUCAUGUUCUUCUACACUUCUAGAACAAUGACACACUUUUUAUGCAAGAAUAAAUAUUUCAAAAAUGUAAUACCAUCUAUAAUAUAUUUUAACUUUUUUUUCCUUAAACCUAGAGUUCAAUUUUAUUUGAUUUUUUUUCAAAAAGAGAUUGUUAAAAUUUAUAUUUUUUUAAAUGUGGUCGCUGUCAUUGUUUACUACUAAAGUAACAUGUUACAUCAACAACUAUACAAAGGUGAGAUGGGACAUAUAUAGAUAAAACCAAUAUUUAAAAGAAAAAGUAAAAGUAAAUUUAUACAUUUAAAGGAAUUAAAAAUAUAUUUGAUCUAAUAUAUUAUGUCACGUGUUCUAACUCGACUUCAUAUUUUUGAAAAAUUUAAAUUGAGAAGGAUUUUGUUGGGCAUAAGAACAAUAUGAAGUAGAUUGAAUGAUCUCUUGCAUUUAUAGAUGUGAGCUACGAACAAACUAAAUUUGCAGCGGUCUUACUCGUAGUUGGUUAAUAAUGGACACAUAUUCAAUUCCUCACAUUUUAAAUGAGUUAAUAUUAAGAAUGUUAGUUACAAGUUCAACCCUACCUUCAUCACAAGGAAAAAAAAAAUGGAUCAGUGGGAUUGCGUAUGACUGGCUUGUCUUUUUUUUUCCUUUAAGAUUCGUUAAUAAUAUUAAUUUAAACGUUACUUUUUAGGGGCUUAGUGAUUUUUCAUUUGAGUUUGAGAAUAUACUGUUGCUCGUAUUUUAGCUUGUACAUUAUACAAAUAUUUUUUUUUACUUUUAUAUAAUUAAAAUCAUAAGAAAUAAUUUUUUUAAUAUAUAAAUUAUAUUAUAAUUAAAAUUUAUUAAAAACGGAUAUAUUUUAAUAUGUAAAUUUUAUUUUAAACUUAUGAUAAAAAAUUAAUUUAAAAAUUAAUAUAUAAGGCUAAGAAAAUCAGGAAUAUAAAUAAAAAUAAAAAGCGAGUAAUUGAUGGUAAGGGGAAUUCUUUUUCGGUAAUGGCUACAUGAAAUAAGAAAAGAAAAUACUGAUUAAUAUAUCUUAUGGAGAGAGAACACAACCUAUAAUUUCUCUUUUGUAAUAGAACUGGAUCAUCCAAAAAAAAUGCCUCAUAGUAUUUUUAUUUAUGAUUUAGCUGAAACUAUAUUUUUUUUUAUAAAGAAAAAGGUUUUAGAUAAUUUGGGUUUCAUAAUUUCAUCAAAGUUAGAUCGUGUCCUCAAUGCUAUCAAAACACUUAUAAAAAUACGUAUACUAUUCAUGUUCAUUUAUAUUCACGUUCUUCUUUUUUUAUUAGAAAAAGAAAAUUGAGAUAUUUCAGGAAUACCUCAAUCCUGAUACAAAAUCUUCUAAACCACUCACACAGCCUGAAAAAUAUCAUCAGAUACUUACUAACCUAAUUUUUUAACAACAGACCUUAUGCACACUAGUGGUUCGAGACACCAAUCAGAAUAAAAAAAACACAUGCUAGUCUAACUUUUGCAAUUAUCCAUGACCAAACUUUCAGCUGAACUAUCAUGAAGAUUUCACCAUGAUCUAUAGUACCAUUUCUAAAAAUCUUCUCAUUCCUUUGUUUCCAAAAUUCUUCAACGACUGUUAUCCAUACACAAAAUCAUAUGUUAUUGACGAGUUCACUUUCCUUGGUCAACCUAAACUUGGUGAGUGCUUUUUAGAAUCAUCAUGAACGAUCGAGACCACCCCCACCCAUUCAUAGCAUUUCGCCCACACCAGCCAAACUACCCUACAAGUACAAAAAUAUGUGACAUUGUUUCCUCUUCCUCCCUACACAAACAACAUAUGCUAUUCUCCACUAAAAUAUCUCUCUUCGCCAAAUUUGCUUUAGUUGCUAUUUUAUCCUCCAACACCCUUCAUGCAGUCAAAUGAGCUGAUGAUUGAGCCUUUAUCCUCCAAAACCCCUCAUACACAAAUACUCCUCCCCCUGCUCAUCGUCUUUUAUGAUAUAUGUUGAUUUGACUGUACACUUUGUUAUAUCACUAACCUUCUACACCCACUGAUCCUCCUCUUCCUCGUUGAUACUCUUGCUUCCCAUCAACCUUCUCAUAUCUUGUUCUUGGUAUUUUUCCUGAUCGAACAAGCUCCUCCUCCAUCCUAUCUUCCAUACCCACUGCAAAUUACUAUUUCACUCCCCUCCUUGCCACAACUUAUCACCCUUGCCUAUAAUUUAUAUCCACGUUCUUAUAUAUAGUAUAUGAACUAUUUAAAAAAAUUGGGUAAAAGAGUAGAGAUUAAAUGAAUAACUUUGAUUAAAUUGAAUGAUCAUAUAUAUAUAUACUCUCUUACAUCAAAGUAUGUAAUUUUAUACUUAUAAAAUUUAAUAAUUAUGUACUGUUAAAAAUAUGUACUAAAAGUGAUCGUUUAUAUCAAGUAAUUAUAAUAAAACCCAACACUUAUCAUAUAUGAUGAUGUAUAAUUAAAUUAAAAUAUACCUAUAUUUUCUUAUAUUUAUAUAUCAUACAAAAUGUAUCCAUUUUGUUUAUGCAUUAAAUAUUUUAAUUUUGUUAUUAUACAAUUCACUCAUGGCACAAGGGGUGAUCAAAAUUACAGUUAUUAUCAUUUAAAGAAAUAACAUUAAUUAAAACGCAUAUGAAUUCAUGUUGAAAUUGAGUGAAGUUAUUAGUUUGCUAUAUUUUUCUGAAAGCUGUAUCAUUUAAAUUUACCAGCUCUACAGCAUUUUCUUUAGUUUCCAAACCUUCUAAUUUAAGUUUUCCUAUCUUUCAUUAUUUUCAAUUUGUUAUAUAAUGAUUUAUUGUUGACAUUAGCAAGGAUGUUUAUUUUUGCUGAUAUAUGUCACACCUGUGCAUUUUUUUAAGACUGAUGAGGAAAGGUAAAUCAAUAUUAUAAAUAAAAAAAUAAAUAAAAAUUAUGCGGAGAUUAAAACUAAACUCAUAAUGAAAUAAAAAAAAUACAAAGAUGAAGAAAAAAUGAAACUCAGAAAUUACUUUUAAGAAUUCAAUUCUUAUGAAAGUAUAGGAAGUGAGUCCCACCAAAUAAAAUUUUAAUCGUAAAUAAAAACAUAGUUAACCAAUUUGUUAGUUCAAGAAUUACCUUAUAUAAAGGUAUGUAACAAACGAAAUAACAUAUUCUGGCACACACCAUUUUCCUUCUAUGUAUUAUUUUGCACCAAUUUAGUAGUGAAAUGGAUAUCAAUAUAUAGCUUGCACGUUUUGCAAUAAAGCAAAAAUUUAUUGACAUUUUGAAAUAAUUUGAUUUAAACCUCUUAAUAAUACACACACUAAAAACAUAUUUUAUGCAUUAUUCAUGGCCUAAACACAUCAUUUUUCAAUUCAUACUCCUCCUCUGCCUUAUAUUUUAUUGGCGUGUGUCCAAAUUUAUAGUUAUGACGUCAUUGUUUGAUUUCAGUGACCAUUUUACGUCAGAAUAAGAAUGUCAAGAAUAGGAAAAAAAUAUUUGGGUUGUUGCAUGUCCUGAGGACACAUUGUAUCACUUAUUUGCUGUCCACCAAAUUAACAACCAUUUAUACUUAUAUUUUUAUUUUUAUUCAAAUUUAUUAAAAUUCUUAAAUAGCCACAUUCUUAAUCAACUAUUGAAUCAUGAAUAUUAGAUAAGUUUUAUUCUUUAUCUCAUGAGAAGAAAAACUAGACAAUAGUAAUGCAUAAUAAUCUUGUAAUAAAUAUGAUAGAUGUUAUCUUAAUUUUUUUAGCCUAUAAACAUUAAUAUCUUUCAUGAAAUUAGAUACUUGUGAUGAUUAAAUAGUAACUCUAACAUCAUAUUAUAUAAAAUGAGUUUAAAUCUAAUAAAUCGAUUUGAUUUAUAGAAUCUAGAUGCUGAUAAAAAAUAUAGAAUCUCCAAUAAAUAAAUCUUCCAUAAAUAUCUAUAAAAACAAUUUAUGUACAGCAAUGUAUAUUCAAAAUAUAUAUAUAUAUAUAUAUAUGAAUUUAUCUAGCAGCAAUGUAUAUUCAAAAUAUAAUGAGUUAUUUAUGAAUUAAUUUUCAACUAUUGCAUGUUUAUAAGUCAUAAUAAAUAAAUAAAUAAAUAAAUAGUGAUAUAAUUUAAAACCAUUAAUUUAAUGUAGUUAUAAUUAUCCUAACUAUUAUCAGUGGUUAUCAUAAAAAAAGAAAACAGAAUUACAAAUAAAGCAUAAAAGAGCUUUUGAUACACAAAAUUUAAUCUCAUUACCAACUUACUUUCCUAUAUAAGAUUCUACAAUAAACACAAGCAGCAAUGACUAAGAUUCAGGUAUCAUCAUCAAUCUCGUGAAUUGUUGACCAAGGAAGAGUUAAUGCAUGCAUUGUAUUCAUUAAGAAGAUACACCUACACUUGAUCACAAUCUUGCAAUUAGCAUAUAUAUAUAUAUAUAUAUAUAUAUAUAUAUAUAUAUAAAUGUAUGUAUGUGUGUGGCAUAAAAGAUAGCUGCAUCUGCCACUACUUUUAUUCUUCGUGAGCUUUGAAUCGAAGUUGCCAUUACAUAAAAAGAGACAAGACAUUGCAGUGAUCAAUCUCUGCAAAUUUUGAAUACCUUAUGCGCUUACUAUGUCUAUUCAUAGAGCUCAACCCCAAACCACGCGCAGCAAACGUGUGCCUCACACUAAUCACUGCCCUUAACCAGAUCACAUCAACACUCAAAGCUUUAUUUUUCAGACGGGGACAAGGAAAUAACAUUAAAGUUUUAUAAACAAAAAAAGUUGGAAAAUUUUCACUCUAAACACAACCUGAUGAUGAUAGGCCUCAUCAUAAUUACGAUGGCCUUCUGCAAAACUAUAAACUAGAAUUGCUAUUUGCUAAAUGCUAGAAUUCAUAAUGAAGGGUGAAAACUAGAAAGCUAAUUAAACUACAAUCAUAAAAGUAUCAUACCAAGUUAAAUAAUUAAACCCUUGAUUGGUCAUUAUGAUGAAGAGACACCCACACCAAGAAAAUCAAUGAAAGGAACUUCUUUGGGUUCGAUAAUGGUCUCAUCUUCAGUUGUUUGUUGUUGGUGAUCUUUCUCUGUGGAAGCCUUCAACUUGGUGAAUGUGGAUGAGUUAUUAUCGCAAAAACUCAUCAAAAGGUCCCUCUUUAUCCUUCCAUCAUUAUCAGAACCAAGGAAACUAAAAGGACUUGUUGGAACAACCCUCUUGUAGUUGGGAAGAGAGAAGGCAGGAUUUGGAUAAAUUCUGAGAAACGAUCUAUCUGAGCUUCUGGAACAUUCUGAGAGAUAAACACUAGAAGAGCAAGAAGAACCGUUGAAAUAGUCUCUCCCUCCUUUCCUAUCCACUACUGCAGAACCGUUUGUGGUUGUUGGCACAGAAGCAAAAUUCCAAGACGCCAGAGAACUAGAGGGAGUAGUAUCUGCAACUAUCCUAUUAUUAUUAUUGUUAUUAUCCUUAUUAUUAUCGAGGCUCCGAAAGUCAAAGAAUCUUCCAUUCUCCAAUCCAAAUCUCGUACUAAACAAUAGGUCUUGAUGAGAUUGUGGUGUCCUCUUCUCGAGGAACGUGUUGGAAUCGUUGUAAACAUCUUGGAAACUUCUUUUCCCACAUAACUUCGAUUGUUCCCUCUGCUUUCUUGCCAUUAUAACGUGCCAGUGGUUCUUCACAGCAUUAUCAGUUCGACCAGGAAAAAGCCUCGCUAUGAGGGCCCACUUGUUCCCGUGAAUUCGAUGAGCUGCGAGUAACCUCUCUUCUUCCUCUUCUGUGAACGGUCUUCUGUUGAUUCUUGGGUCAAGCUGAUUGAACCACCUUAAUCUGCAACUUUUCCCUAAGGAACCAAAAUAUGAUCAUAUAAUUAAGGUUUAUUAAUCACAGCUGACACAGAGACAUGCACAAUUUUUAAGCAGAGAAUUAACAAUUUUUAUCUAUAAAUAUGUAUAUAGAUGUUAAUAUAAAGUGCUUAAGGAGUUAAUCUAGUUGGCUCUAGCUCGGUGCAAUAGUAUUAAUUCAAGCUAUAAUUAAUAAGAAACCCUUGAAUUAGAUCUUCCACUGUUCCACUAAGAUUUUUGAUUAACUUGCUAAGAAUUAAUCCGACCUACGAGAGAUUGAUAUAUACACAUGAAUCAUAAAGAUAUAUGUUUAUAUAUAUAUAUAUNNNNNNNNNNNNNNNNNNNNNNNNNNNNNNNNNNNNNNNNNNNNNNNNNNNNNNNNNNNNNNNNNNNNNNNNNNNNNNNNNNNNNNNNNNNNNNNNNNNNUAUACCUGAUCUUCCUUGGAGCUUCUCAGCAAUUGAAUUCCAGUUUUGAGCACCAUAUUGUUCAACAAGUUGUCUAAGCUUUUCAUCCUCAGCAGGUCUCCAGUGGCCACGGGGACAAGUCUUAGGGUCUUCACCUGCUGAAGAAUCCUCCAUGGAAUGAGGAAGAGAUACUGUUACUGUGGAUGGAGGUUGAGGGUAGAGAUAUUGUGGUGCAGCAGCUAGCGGCGAGAAAUCUUGAACAUCAAGCACAGAAAAGAGAAGUCUGAAAGAAGAUAUAUAAGUGGAGGAGGGAGGGGUUGGUUUAGGGUUGUGGAUGGUAAGUCACUUUUGUUGUCUUCACACGACAGAUUGUGCCCUGUGAACAUGUACUUAAAUAGAGACCUUAUCAAAUUCCUCUUUGCUUUUAACAAGAAAAAGAAAACAAAAAGAAAAAAAAGAAAGAAAUGAAAUGCCUAUUGCCGUUCGAUCCUUUUCGAAUUCCCUCAAUUAUUAUAUAAACCAUCGCACCACGUUAAUAAUCAAAUCCACUUGUUUGGUUAUCGUAUAGUUCUUAUUAAAGGGACGUCUCUCCUCGAUCGAAGACUGUGGUUGAUUUCCCACAUCAGGUAAUUGCGACCUUCAUAAAAUGAAGCAGUUUCUAAGCAAUAUCGAUACACUAAGUUGUUGGACAAUUUAUCAUUCUUAAACAAAUUAUAUAUUAUAAUGCAAAAUAAAAUCCUUCCAAAAAAAUUCUUUCUAUCAUAAAUGGUGAUACAAACAACACAGCCUUUUUUGUGUCUUCAACCGGAUCACUUCAAUAUCUGUGUCUAUCCUAAAAUAUUAUCCACUUAUUGUUACUAAUAUGUUGAUUUUGUACUUCUAUUAAAAAAUAUAAAAAAGAAAAGAGUAUUCUAAUCUCUUAAUUUUUUUUAUAAAUAGAUAUCUAAAACUUUAUUUUUAUUAUUAAAUUUUACCUCAUUUUCAUAAUAGAAUUAUGAACUUCAAAUUCUUUUUAGUUAAUCCUUAUUACAUUUCAUAUUUUUUUUUAUAAUAAAUAACUUGAACUUAAACUACAUUCUAAUGGUUCUUAAAAAAAAAAUCUAUAAAUAUUAUUUUAUUGUGUUAGAAUCAAAUUAUUUGCAUUAUAAACCUAUCACUCUUUAAUCCUUUUUUUGUUACAGUUUAUUUUCUCAUAUCUUGAAUAUACCAAAUAUGAGUUCAGAAAAAAAGGUCUUUGUUUCCUUAUUUCUGAAUCUAGUAUAUUCUAAUAAUGUUUGGGAAAGUGAUCUAAUAUAAAUAUAAAACAAAUCAAUUCUAGGGAUUUAAUAAAUAAAAGAUUGAAAUUUUUUCUUUACUAUAUAUAUAUAUAUGUGGUUUGGUCCCAAUUAAUGAGAUACAAUUUGUAAAGGAUAAAUUUUAAGGAUUACAUGAGAUAAAAUUAUAAUUAAUGUAUUUAUUUGUAAAAGGAGAGAUAAAAUGUAAAAUUAAUUGAAAAAAUAGUUUAAGUAAGAUAUUUAUAAAAUGAAGUAAAGUUUAACUAUCAAUUAAGACGCAUUAAAAUUUAAACUAUCAAUUGAAAAGAAAAGUUCUGAAAACUUAUGUUAAAUAUAUUUUUUUCCUCUUAUUUAUAUUUUAAGUUUUAAUUUAGUAUUUUAAAUUAAAAUACUUUAACGCCUUUAAAUUUCUAUGUUGGAAUAAAAUUAUACGAGUCCGUUAGGUUUUUCUUACACUAAUUUGACCAAUUUAAUGGUAUAUGAUAAGAAAUACCAAGUCAAUGGAUUGAUAACUAGUUUUAAAAGUAACAGAAGAACUAAUUUUUUUUCUAAGAGAUAUUACAGAAGACUCAAUGAAACUUUUUAAAUGUAAGGUAAAACUAAAAAUAUUAUUUAACUUUUAGUCUAAAAAUUAACAUCGAAAAAGACACACACAUGCUUAUUUAGGGUGGUUAGAAUUUAGAUGUUUAGUUGAGAAGUUUAUAUUAAACAAGAGUAUACUUAUAAAUUAAAUAAUGAAAUUUAUUGAAUUAAGGUAAACAAAGUUUAAUAAAAUAAAAUAAAAAAAUCACAACAUGUGUACGGUAAUAAUAGGUUGAAUUAAACUCUUUUAAAUACCUCAUAUUGGUAGGUGAGCAAUUUUCUUUUAAUAUAUACUUAGUAAAUAUGCAAUCAAUCUGGCAGGAUAAAACUCAUACACAUUAUACAAAAAUUAAAAGAAUUUUCUUCUCAUCAAAUUGUUUCAUGGUCUCUUGGAAGAAGAUAGAGAAAAUACAUGAAGAGCUGUGAAGAUAUAAUGUGAAGAUAUGAAGUUUGAAGUUUCUCAAUCAUGAAAGAAAUUAUUAUAGAGAUAAGAAUACUUAUUUUGAAAUUGAUGAAAGACUAGAUUUUAAGUGAUUUCAUUAUUUUAUUUUUUAUUAGUUUAGAGUUUUUUUAUAAUAGAUUUUAAGUAUCUUUAUUUUGUUUUGUUUUUGUAUGUUUCUAAUCACGAAUUUGGUUUGACCUCAUAUAAAAAGUUAUGUUGUAUAUAUGAACCCCUAAAAAGAUUUAACAUAAUUGUUCCUCUAUAAUAUUUAGAUAAGAAUAUAAUAUUUAAAUUCAUUCUGUGUAUAAUAAGCCAUUUUUAUACAUGUAAAAAAAGAGACAAGUACCACGUAAGCAAGCAAAAUCUUAUAUAAAUCAUUUAACCAAAUUUUAAUCAAAUAAAAUAAAAAAAAUAACUUAAAAUGAGUGUAUGUUAUAUAAGUUCAACCAAACUCUUUAAAAUACCUCUUUCGUCAUAUUGGUAAGUAAGCAAUUUUCUUCAAGCAAAGAUAAUCAAUUAUGUAAAAUAAAACACGUUUUAUAAAAACAUCCAAAAAGAUGAAGUUAUGAUACGAUUUUGCAUGUGAACCCGUAGAAAAAAUUUAACUUUGGUCUUCCCUGUAAUAUUUAAAUUCGUUCUGCCUAAUAUAUAUAUAUAGUUGAUUCGUUCUCCAAAAUUCCCUUAACAUUACACUGUAAUAUAUAAAUUUUCAUUUUUCUCGUCUUUCUUCACGAUUAAUUGUUCAAAGGGUCUCUUAAUAUGAAUUCUGCACGCCGUGUCGUAUAAGAACAUUAAAAAAUUUCAAUCCAAAUAUUGGAAAAAAAUGGAAGAGGUGUGACAGCAACCAUUUUGAGAGAGGGGCGUUGCUUAUGCUCAUAUAUAGUAUUGCAGGAAUUUUACAUUAAGAAGGCUAUUCACUAGGUUUCUUUUUGAGUUGGUUCAAGUUUUUCACCGUUAGGUUUCACAAACUGAUAUUAAAUUCUUGUAAUUAACCUCAAUAAAUCUGAUCUUGGAGGAGUAAAUUAAUUUUGGUAACCAUUUUUAUGUUGUAGGAGAACAAGCAAGUUGAGAGAUUAAAACCUAUUCUGAUGCGUCCAUUAAUUCUCUUUUUUCAUUCUCUAAAGUACAGCCAUAAAUGGAAAGAAUAUGUUUCCAUUUUUUUGAGUUGCAGAGAGGACUUAUCAAUAAAGUAGUCCCGUAAUUAAAAACGCACGUGAAGGCCAACGAAAAGAAGAAGAGGGAAAUGGAAUGCUUUGCGUAGUUGAUUUAAAUCCGCACAUUAAUUGGAUUCCUUAUUAUCUGCAAAAUACUUAGGUUAUUAAGACAAUGUCUAAUAAUCGUUUCAAGUCCAAAUAGCUAUCUCGAAGAGAAUUAAUCUCCCUAUGAUGUAAGAUUAUUUGAAAAAAUUGUUUUGAAAGCAAAACACGCGAGGUUAACUAGUUUAACGAUACUCUAAUUAUUUAAUUAAUUGAUUAUAUCAAAGAUACAGCAAAACCUGGUAAACAGGACUACAAUUUUGUGAAAAUGUCUGUUAUUAAUUAGUAGUGAUUUUAAUCAGUGAGAGAGAGUGAGAGAGGUGUCAAAAUCAGUUUUUAAUCCUAAGGAUUAAUUGAAAUGGCGUGUAAGUAUAGCAUCAAGAAAAGUACUUCCAAACCGUCUGCCUUAGUUUUUCAUUCUCCAAUUCCAUGCAGAUGGCAAGUCAAAUAAAACAUUGAAACAUAUAGUGAAGUAACUAUUAUUCUAAUGUGUUUCUUAACCGAUUGAGAUUUCAUACCCCACGAAAUCAAACACUUAUCUUCCCAUCAAAAUAUGAAUACAGUUUGUCUGUGAACAUCAUGUUUGUGUUUUGAAGAUAAAAUUACCACACAGAGUUGAAAUUGGUAGGUCUAUCCAUCCAACUGAUGAAUGGUAUCUUAAAACCAAAUUGUCUUCUUUCUAAUAAUUCAACUAAGUAUAAACAAUGGAACACUUCAAUAGCAACAUAUAGGUUUCAUCUCAAACACUCAGGGAUUAGUUCAACCCUCAAAGGAUAUGAUAUAGAGCCGAAUAAAUGCACUUUUCAGAUUGUCUUACAUAUCAGGUUUGAGUUUCGGAAAGGCCAUUCACCAUUUUCCCCAGCAUAUAAUUUUGAUUAUCAGUUUAAUCUAUUCUUUGUUGAUAAAAAAAAAGUGUAUGUUAUUUAAGCUAAAGAUUUUCAUUAAUAAUAAAAUUACUAAGUUGAGGACUACACAGUUGCUACUAAAACUUUACUACAUGUUGGAAGGGAUGGUUGUAAUUCCCUCAUAAUAAAAACUAUUGUUUGGACGUGUCUGGUAUGAAAAUUAGCAGUUGAUUUUGACGAAGAAAAAUGGUAACUGUAAAGGGAAAAUAAAUAUUUAAUAGAAAUCCUAGCUACAGGCAAUUGUUUUCAAUAAAAAAAUCGGAGAAAAAUGAUUUUGGUCUUGCUGUCAUUAUUACGAAUUGAAAUGCUGCACAUAACUAACUAGUAAAAGCUUAUGCCUGGUCACAAGUAAGAACAAGUCCAGCAGUAUUAAUUAUCCCAGUCAUACAGUAUUAAUCCUGCAAACUCUUAAUUGUAAUCAUAAAUUAAUCCUUUUUGUAGCCUUACGCGACUUUUCAUGAAGAUCAUUCUGUCAAAGCAAAAAAAAUUGACCCGUUUCACCAAUAGCAUUCUUGCAUACCACCUGAAGACUCUUCAACUCAAAAACAUUUCUUGGUGUAUGCAAUCUUGAAUAAGUAGAUUUUUUUCUUAUUUUGCUGCUCAGCGAAGAUAAUCAGAUCAAACCAAUUGCAUAUGUAAAGAUGACCCGUCUAAAUUAAAGGGUGUGAACUGUAUAUUAUAGCUAAGCAAAGUUUUAAUAAAGAAGAAAUUGGAAAUGAAGUUGAGGUGGUCUCUCAGAUUUGAAAUGACUACAAUAGAGCCCUAGAAGGUUGAACUCUCAUGAAUGAAAUGCAUUCUUAAACAACCAUAAAAAGGGCAUGGAGUUAAUUAAAGAUGAUAACGCGACAAAGCUUGGUUUCCCCAAAUAGUCUUAAUUAAUAUUUACUCCUGUUGUGUAUUUAUUCCACAUCGCAGUGAUGAUUUAACAGAUAUAGUAUAGGAGGAUUUCUCGUGAUACUUUGUUAGCUGUCAUUCCAAUUUACACUGCAAAACUAUUUAUUUAUAUCGUACACUAAUAUUUUUAGCUAUUACUUAAUUAUAGCACAACUCGAAUAAUUAAUCCGACAACCAUUCAAUCAAAUAAACUUUCUGGUUGAAUGUUGUAAAUGUCAUGUUAAUAAGGUAGAACGUACUAUCGUGCGACAUGUUGUAAAAGUUAACUUUAAUUUAUGCACCACGUCUUUCACAGAAGCUGUUUGUUAAAGGAAUCAUAAGAAGGUAAUAUAUUAUAUUGUUGCUUGAUUCAAAGCAAAAUAUGUGCCACAACAACAGAGAAAUAGACCGUUAAAAUGAUGGUAGCAGUUCUACAUCAUCUAUCUCUUAUGCGUGGUGCGAGUGUGGGGAGAAGCAGGAAUAGAAGGGUUUGAAAUAGCUUUCAAACAGUGAAUGCAAACUUGCACAGCCAAACAUCCAUUUCCUUCAACUGUCUAUAUAUGAAAACCACAACACCUUUUCUCUCUCAUUCACCUUCCACGUAACCUAAGCAACCCACCAUUUUCAUCAUCAUAACCCACACCCUAAAUUUGACAUCAACAGUCCCUCAAAAUCCUCAACAAACUACUUUUGACUCUUCCCAUCCAACUAUUUUUUGUACGCAUUUAUAUAUAUAUGGAUAUCACACACCACUCUCUCUUUCUCUGUAUAAUAACGUAUAUAUAUCAUCAUACAUAUAUAUAUAGAUAGACGCAUUUUUGUGCAGCUUGCAGACCCUAACUUUCCUCAGCUUCCCCUUUUGGUCAUUCUCAUUAAAUAUAUUCUGUUACAACCACGCUAGCUUCAUUAAUUCAAAUGUUGCAAAAGUAGUAUUCCAAAGUUCAGCAAACCCCCGAUUGGACUUUUUACAGACUGAAGAAGGUAGAGUGAAAACCAUACCCUUAAUAACCAUACCAAACUCCAAUUAUAUUUUUUUUCUCCUCUUCUCUUGGACCUAUCGUGAUGUUUUUACAUGCUUUCUUGCAUGAAGAAAUAGUUGGUUGAAUCUAAAUUCACUCCUGCAGCUACAUCAACAGAUUCAUGGAACACUUUGUGUAAUCCGAGGAGAGUGAAGUAACCCACAAGAAUGUACUUGUGUGAUGGACUUCAGUUCCUUGCUUGCUCUCCUAGGCAUACAAUAUAUAUUAUUAUUAUAAGUAUUGAGUGUGGAAUUUUAUUCUAUUAUAAUAGGCCCACUCAGGUAGGGUUCGUUGGCAAAUGAGUAGUUUUCUUUGUUCCUUGUCUCGCAGUUUCAGCCAAAAGCGACAUCCCCAUUCUGCGCUGUGAUAAACCUCCAAAAUGGUAUAGUUAGUGGCAUCAGACAGUGACACUUCACCUACCUACACAGCUACCCUGUUCGUGGUCCGUUUUUACUUUAUCAACGCUUAAAUUCCUUAAACUAAUUAUCAACUAAUGUUUAGUCCAACGUGCUUAGAGUCAAUUCCUCAAACAAUAUUUCUGCAACUUCCCAAUGGGCUUGCAUUAGCAACUACAAGCCCAUAAACAAAAACGCCACCAUUACUGUGUUAGUUUAGAACCUACCAAAGCACACUACCAUUCACCCUAUUUUAUCACGUUUUAAUUAUUUUUACUCAUUUUUAUAACUAUUUUAUCUCUUUAUUAAUUAUAUCAAAUAUCUUAUCUUGUAAUCAUGUGAUAAAGUUAUAUAAAUUGGGUAGAGAUGUGUUUGUUUUUUUUUUCUGUUAUAGUGUGUUUGAAUUAGAGAGGAGAUUUGAAAUAGUGGAUUUGAAGUAAUUUGAUAGAAAAAUGAGGUUGUUUGGAUGGGAGUAUCUUAGUGUAGAUUUGUGAAUAAAGUUUAUUGAAAUUUGUGAGUAAUGUGAUGGUUGUGUGAAAGUUUGUAAGUGACUUGAUAGAUAUAAUAAAUUUAAAAUAAUUAUAAAAAAUUUAAUGUAAAAAAUUUAAAAUUAAAAUUAAAAUAAAUUAAAAAUUGAUAAAUAAUAAUAAAGAUACAUAUUAAUAAUUGAAUUUUAAAUUAUUUUUUAUUUAUUAUUGUAUUAUAAUAUAAAAAUAUAUAUUAAGCAUUAUCUUUAUAUUUAUAUGAAAAUAUAUUUUUUUAUAUAUAAUCAAUUUAUACAUAAUUAAUUUUAAAAAAGCUAACUUUUUUUCACAAAUCUCUUCACAUUAUAAAAGAAAAUUUAAAAGAAUGUAAAUGCAUCGUUUUUUAUAAUUUUCUAUAUUUUUUUCUUCUGUUUUUUCGACUUUCUCUUUAAUACUUUCCUUUAUCACUUUCUUUGUCUUUGUUAUCUUUAGAGACAAACGGACCAUUAGUUAUCCGUUCUCUGUUGGGAACCUAAUCCACGUGAUGGGAUGUUCAAAUCAAAGUCGGUGAAGACUUGUACUAUUUGCCGUCAUUGUGUAGAACUAAGGAUACUACUUUAUCAUUUCAUUCAACAUUUUUUUAGUAUUCGUUGGUUGCUACAAACAGAUCAUGUGACUAGUUGUGCUGUGUACACCAGGCAUGCUUAAUGCCUUUUCUUCCCGUCAACUUGGCCCAGAAAAAUUCAUUGAAAAAUUAUUCUUGCACUAAAAUUCAGGAGAGAGAUAAAAGAAAUAGAAAAUAAAUGGUAAGAUAGGUGAUAUGAUAAAAUAAACAGAAACAGUAUUGUAAAAUUAUUUAGACAAAAAAUAUUUAUACAUUCAGAGUACGUAUAUAUACUUUGUGACUGAAUAAUAGAGUGAUAUGUAUAUUAAUAGUGUAAAGAUAUUAAAGUAGUAUGAUGUUAUUGUGUUGAAUAGAAUGACAUCUUACCUACCGAUUCUUAGAAGGCAUUUAAGAAGGGAAAUAAAAAGAUAUAGUUCUAUACUAACAUGAUUAGUGUAGGCAGAGUGAACUUGAUAUAUAGUGAUGAAUAUUGCAUGUAUGUAAUCAACCUCCCACUAGCUCAAUGGAUAUCAGCUAAUCUCACAUUUUAUUAUAUUCUGCUGACUCUUAUGUCUGUCUAAUCAUUUUCGGUAAAUUCGCAAUUAAGAACAGCUUAUGUGUGUUAACACUGUAUUCAAAUAUCUCAAUGGAGAGAAAUAUAACCUCAAACCAGCUUCUGAAACAGUGCAACAAUGGAACAAACCAGUUACCAAUAGCACUAUAAAAUGAGAUGGUUUAAGUACUAUCCCAACUACAAAUGUGACUUACCAAAAAUUAUUAAAUAAAAAUUAAUUAAUUAUUAUAUUAACUAAAUUAAAUAUUAUUUUAAAAAUUAAAAUAUUAUUAAUAUAGAAUAGUUUUUAUUAUUAAUAAAUAAAUUUUAAAUUGAUAUCUAAUUUCCUACUACUAAAUUUUAACUACUAGUUUUAAAAUCUACAAUUUAGUAACUAAAACAUUAUUAAUUAAUUAAAUAUUAAUUUAAAAAUUAUUUAUUAUUAUAAAAAAUAUUUUAAAUAUUAAUAUUUUUUUAAUUUCUAAAAUAAUAUUAAUUUAAUUAAUAUAAUAAUUAAUAAUUAUUUUUUAAUAAAUUUAAUUUAUAUUUAAUUAUUUUUAUUAAUAUAUAAAUAAUUACUACUUAAUUUUAUAAAACCUUUACAAGGUGUAGGAAUCUACAUAGGAGGUGAGAGACAAAUCAGCCUAAAAGAAAUUUUAUAUACGAAUUGAAAUAACAUUCAAAUAUUCUAAUUUUAUAUAUUAUCAAAAAAUUAAAAUUUUAAUUUGAGUAUUCAUUUUCUGUCAAAACAACAGAAAAUGUCAUAAUAUAUAUAUAUAUAUAUAUUAUUGGUUUGACAACAGUGGCAAAAUUGAAGAGGACAGGAAGAGCAUAAAUCAUUGCCUGCAUAGACUUUAAGAAUUGAUGAUAUUAUAAAGUGAACUGAUGAUGUUUUCGAGAAACGUUACAGUGGUUCGUUGGUCAAACUAUCCCUUCAUCAUAAAACCUAUACAAGAAUAAUCAUCAAGAGGGGAGGGCAAAAAGAAAUUACUUGAAAUUCAUGAUAUAGAUAAAAAGGUAAAAGGAAAAAAAUGUCAAAUUAAUAUUUAUUGAGCGUUCGAAUAUUAUUGAAAACAUAUAGAAAAAAUAUAUGAUCUGCUAUAUUUGAAAUUUUUAAUUAACUUCUAAAUAAAUUUUUUGAAUUAUCAAAUUAUACAGUAUCAUUUUUACCAACUAUUAUACCAUUAAUAUCUCCAUAUUUUAUCAAUUUAAUCAUUAAAUUAUAAAUUUAUAUUAUCUUUACUGUUUUUGUUUUGUAAGACCUAAACAUGAGUGUAUUUCAAAGAAAUUAUAUUACUUUAAUUUUAAUCUAUAACAAGAAAUAGAUGUAAAUUUAAUAUGCAUAGCUUAUAUUACAAAUAUAAUUAUUUUAUGUAUGAGUUAAAGAUCAGAUUUUGAAAAAAUAAUAAUGCUUUUAAAUUAAUUUAUUCACAUAAGUUUGUUAUUUAUUAUUAUUACUAGCCAUAUUUUUAAAAAUAUUUUUAAACUUUAGAUGAAAUUUAAAAUUAUAUUUUAAUUUCUAAAAGCAAAAAAUUAUAUAAAAAGGAAUUAGAAACGUAUUUAAUAUUUUAGGAAUUUUGGAACUGGAACCUGUACUUUAGCCCUUAUUUAUAAUUUGGAUUUUAUCAUCACUUUUAAACCCUUGUCUGUUAUCUUUUGGAAUAACCUCAUCAAGAGUUUGGGUUUUAUCAGAUCAAAGAUAUCUGGGCCUUAGGGCCCACUUUUAUUUAAAAAAAUGUCUUGGUGUUAUAGCUUUACGGAAUUACAGUUUUUUUUCAUUAUUUACAAAUUCUAAUUAAAAUUUAGGGUUCAGAGUUUAAUUAAAAUUCUAGGUUACGUAUCUUAGAGGUAUAACCAAAAUUAGAGGUUUUGAAAAAAAAGGUUGGAGUCUGAAAAUUCUAGACACCUUUAAUUUAAGAAGUCAUAGUAAGUGUUUAAUUUGUAUCAUUUCUAAAAAUUGAUCUUUUUAUUUUCUAAUGAAAAUUAUACUAAAAAUACAAUAGAAAAUAACUUUAAAAAAUCCAAGUUCAAUUUUAGUAAGAUGUUUAUUUAUAAUCAUUUAUCUCUUGACUAUAAAUGAAAAAGAAGUGUGGGACAAAAUUUGCUUAAACAAAUAUUCUCCAAUUUUAGAAGUCUUUACAAGAUAUUUUCUAAAAUUUAAAUAUUUUUUAGAAAUAAAACACGAAAUUUGUAAGGAUAUAGAAAAUAACUUUAAAGUAGCAGGGGUACAUUUUAAGUGACAUCUUUAUUAUUAAAAUAAAAAAAUAAAAAGAGUAUAUAAAUAGAAAAUUCAGUUAUUCAGGUUUCAUUUUAAAAGAACCACCAUCCCUCUAAAAGUUUUCUUUUCCUUUCCUCUCCCUUCUUCCCAAGAUUCUGACCUCUUUUUGUACCCUUUUCCUUUUCUCUCUUUCUCUCUAUGAUUCUAAACCUCAGUUAUCAGUUUGACGAUCGGAGUCUGGGACUCCUGGCAAUACUCUACAAGAUUGUCCGAUCAAAAUUUUAAACAGAGUAAGUUCAUUUUUGUCAGCUUUAAGGUUAAUCUCUGUUAACGGUCCUAGUUAUAUAGUUAGAUUUUGAUUAGGAAUCUGUGGUGCAGGUUAAUUACCUUUAAGCUUUUGAAGCUCUUAGUGAGGUAAGGGAAACUAGUCUUAUUAUUUUCAAUGAAACCCUAGGUUAGAAGAUUCUGGAUGUGGGGAUGACGUGGUUACCAAUUCCAAUUGUUUUUGCUGGUAGGAUUGUCUCUUUUGAACAGUAAAGUAAUAUAUUGACUGGAAUGGUUGAUUUUGAAUCUUUUAUAUUGAUUUUAAGGUGAAUAAUUUGUUGAAAGUGUUUGUGAUUGAGAAUUGAAAGUGUUUGAAUGAUAAUAUAAAUGAGUUGAACUGUUUUUUUUAAUAUUUUGUUGAAUUACUUAAGUGAGAUGUUUGAUGAGAAGUGGUUGUGUGAUUGUAGAUGAUGAUUGAUUUAAAGAGCUUAUCUUUGGAAUUAAUUAUGUGUUUAAGUAAAGUUUGAGAUAUAUUUGGAUUGUUUAGAAAGUUUAAAUAUGAUGUGAUUGAGUGGUGCAUUGAUAUGUUAAAUGAUGCAUGUAAUGAGGUUAAAGUGUGAUCAAGACGUAGUAUUUCAUACCAUGUUGAGAUUAUUAUUAUGGUGUAUUAAUUUGUGAGUCUCCUGUGAAUGAGACGAUCCUAUUCUACAGAUAGAAUGAAAUCACAUAGAUGAAGUUAUUCAGUUGGUGAGAGUCGAAGGAGGUCCAUUUGGCUGAGUCUGAGAUUUGAAAGAAUUUAUCAGAGCAUAUCAAAUGGAUUUACCCUGACAUAUGAAGAUGAUGAGAUAUUGAGAUAAUUAUGUGCAUGGUUGUGUGGGUUUCACAGCAGUAGUAUAACAUGUGCAGGUCUCUGGAUGCUAAUUUCAAUACACGAGUCUUUCGAAAGUAGAGUCAAGUGUCUGAGUAUGUGAAUCAGUAGAAAUAUGACAUGAGUAAUGUGGAUGAUGAACGUGAUAAAACCUUGAUGAACUUGUGAAAAUGUGUGAAUAUUGAUGGUUUAUGUUGAUAUUUAAAGUGUUAUAUUUGAAAUUUUAAAAAUAGCUAGCUUACCAUGUGCUUUGUCUUGUGUUUGUUUUCUAUAAUCUGUGAUGAGUGUUAAUUUAUAUAGGAGGAGAUGAAGUUGCAGGUGAUAGAGCUCUUCAGUGCCAGAGGAACAUAUGUUUUAUGUUGAAUGUUUUGUUUGUAAACUUUUGUGUAAAUAUUAAAAUCCCUAUGAAGAAUGAUAUAUUUUUAAGAUAUAGUUAUGAAAUAGUUAUAUAUAUUCAUAUGUUAAUUAAAUAUUUCUUAUUUUAUUGUUAUUUUAUUAUGUAUAGGUAAAAUUAGGGAUGUUACAAAAUUAAUAACAUUAAAAAAUAUAUUUAUAUCAAAAAAUAGUUUUGAAAUACAUUGCAUACUUUAAAAUAAAAUCGAGUAUCUUAUUUUGAAUAUAAUAAACAUUUAAGUAACUUUAAAUCAUAGAUAUGACUGUCUUACUCUUUACCUUGCUUAGUAAACUACACUAACAUUUUCGAGGUUGCACAAAAUUACACACUUUUUUUUCCACAUUUACAACAAUUCAGUCUAAUAUUUCUCAAACAAUGAAAGGAGAUCAGUAUAAUAUAUAAAAAAAAGUCUAUGAGAUAUUGUUUUUCAAACAAUUAAGCUGUGUUACUUAAGAAUAAAAAAAUAAUAAUAAAAUAUUUAGUUUCGCAAAACCUCAAUAACAACAUAAUUACUCAUCACUUAAUAAACACUCAUUACAUCAUGAAUGUUGAACCUGGAACAGUUGUACUUAUAUACACAAAUAUUCAACAUUUUUCUUAAUUCACAGACAUUUGUUUUAUUACAAACUCUCAUAAAACUUUUUGUUAUGAAGUUUAGAGGUAACACAUAGUAGUUAGCUUUAUUACAUUGCAUUACUUGUCUUGUUAAGGAAGUCAAAUGAACAAAUUAUAAUAAAACAAUAAAAAUUAUUAAUGAAAAGAUUACUGUAUUUUACACCAAUAUUUUGUGAUAAAGAUCAAAUACCCUCUAAUCGUACAGAUUGAACUUUUAAGUUCUUAAGGAAAAAAUGUUGUGUUUUCAAUACUUUUAGUUAAUUGUGUGUUUCUAUAUAGGUUUUUAUUUAAAAGAUAAAGUUUGGAUUUUUUUUAUUAAAUACUCUUUCUAACUGAAUAUAAAAAUAAAAUGCGAUUCAGUUGGCUUCAGUUUAAGUUUAAUAUAAAAUAUAGAUCAAACCAAACUAAUGUUUUAUGUUUUUGAUUUACACUACAAGCCAAUAAACCAAUAUUUAAAUAUACUACAAUAAUUAGUUGCAAAAGUAAUUAAAUUAGAGACCAUUUUAAAUUAUUUUUUUUGUUUUUAAAUUAGUUUAUAUUAUUGUGUAAUAGUUUCUAAAUUGGUAUCUAAUUAACAAUUAAGAUUUAUACUAGCAAAUUUAGAAUCUAAAUAAUUGGUAGUUAAAACCUUGGUAGCUAAUUAGAUACUAAUUUAUAAACUAUUUCACAAUAAUAUAAACUAAUUUAGAAACUUUUUUUUUUAGUUUAUAAAAUAGUUUCUAAUUUAGUUACUAUUGCAAUUAAUUAUUUUGAUCUCUAAGUAUUGGUUUUUAUUUGAUGAUUUUCUUAUAGUAUUAGAAUCACAAUUUGUGUCAUCAUAAAUUGUUAAAUAUUUUAUAAUAAAACAAUUGUCAAGUAGAGACACAUAUUAUGAAUUAUUUUUUUAUGAUUUUGUUAUAAUCAUAAUUUCAAUUUUUUUUCUCGUAUUUUUAAAGAAAUUACCUAAUCUUAUAGUUGAAAAUUAAAAUACAAAUAAAUUUGUUAUAUUUUUUUAAUAGGUAUAAAUAUAUUGUAAGUAAACUAUAAAAUUAUAAAAUAACCUUAAGAAAAACUAAAUUCAAAGAAAAUUAAACUUUUAUUUUUUUUGUUAAAUUUAUUCGAUUCUAGAUAUUCCUAAUAACAAAUUCUAUAGCAUAUUUCAAACUAUAAGAGAUAAAUAUGUAGUAAAUACUACAGUAAAAUAGUUGUGACAAUCUAUAUACUAAUUUAUUUUUACCUUUUCAUAUUACAUGCAUUAAUUUUAUAAAAAGGUAUAUAAUGAUAUUAUUGAAUGGAUUUUUAAAUGGUCAAAUUUGUUAUUUAAAAUUUUAUUAAAUGUGAUUAAUGAGGAAAGAGAAUUAUAUAGGUAGUAAUAAAUCUAGAAGAGAUAUAUAGUGUAUAUUAAAUAGUAGAAUCCUUAAGUAAAUGAGAUAUAUAUAUUUCAUUACUUUUCAUGUUUCUACACUACAACUUGCUAUAUAGUAAGUAUAAGAAGUUGCCUGGUUUUGUUUUGUUGUGAACUAUUAUCUAAGGAGAUAUAAUGUUUUCUUGUGUAAUAUUAUGGGAGUGAGUAUAUUUGAUUUUGAGUCUAGUAGAGGUGUUUAAUAUGUGUUUUUGACAAGUGUUUAAGUUAAAAGUGAUAGUAAAUCAAUGUGUUUAUUUAAUGAUGAUUUUGAUUAUGCAUUCAUUUUUUUUAUUAUUCUAUUAUUUCUUAUUUCUUAUCUUAGUAUGAUCAAAAUAUAAAGUAUUAAUCAAUUUUUAAAAUAAUCUUAAAAUUAAAUUUGCAUUGAAAAGCUAUUUUUUUAUCCUUUUUAAUAUAAUAAUCGAUUAACUUCAUAAACUAUUUUAUAAUCGAUUAUCCCAAAUAAAAAUCUACUCUUCUAGUAAAAAAAAAUUCAAAAGUUUCGCAAAUAAUUGAUUAUGUUAUGUGAAAAAUAUUUUCACAAAUAAUCAAUUAUCUUGAUUUAAAAUUGUUUAUGGGUGACAUGAAUGACAUAAUAAUCGAUUAAAUUUAAACAUAAUCAACUAUAUUAAUAAGUAACCAUAAAACUAUUUCAAAUCGUUAUAAAAAGAAAAGUCUUCAAGUUUUCUCAUAAGAACACAUAUCAAUACUUUUGAAAAGAACUUGGUAACUUUCUAAAUAAAAGUUUUCUUUGAGUAUUAUACAUUACAUCUUGUUAAAAAGAAUUGUUCAAGCACUAUAAGGAAACACAAUAUUAGAGACCAAGAGGGAGCGAUAACUAAAAGAUUCGGUCAAGACAACCUUAAUUUGACAACAUGCAACAUGUGAAGAGGAAAGCUAGAGUCAGGUUGACACUACCUUAAAGGGUGGAGAAGCUAGCUCCAAGAAAAAGAAAAGCUAGAACUUGGCCCUUACUAAUUUUGUGAGUUUGGUAGGGUUUAGAGUGGACUAGACCAUCUCAUGUUGACAGGUUUAAGUUAAGGUUUGGUCCUCGCUAAUUUUGUGAGUUUGGUAGGUUUAGCAUGGACUAGACCAUCUCAUGUUGUUAAUUAAGUGUAACCUAUGGCUUGGUCAUCACUAAUUUUGUGAGUUUAUGAGGGUUUAGCAAGGGUUAGAUCGUCUCAUGUUGACAAGUUUAAGCUAGGGUUUGAUCCUAGCUAAUUUUGUGAAUUUUGUAGGGUUUAGCUCUCUCUUCACAUGUUAACUAAAAUUCUGGUAACUAAUUAGAUAUCAAUUUAGAAACUAUUUAUUAAUAAUAUAAACUAUUUUAAAUACCAAUAUUUUUAAAAUCUUUAAAAUAGUAUCUAAUUUAGUUAAUUUAGUGACUAAUUAUUUUUUGUCUUUAAAAUUAGUUUUUAUUUGAUAAUUUUCUUGUAGUGAUAUAUAUUAAGAAUAUCAAGUUAUGGAGAAUGUUACAAUACGUUGACUAUCAUGUUAUAUUUUAAAAGUAUAUUUUUGUUGUAUUUUUUAUCUUCAAUACAAUAAGGGGGAAAAUACCAUUGGUAUCUUAAAAUAACAAAAGCACGAAAGUAUAUUUGUAAUGUAUAUAAACAUUUUAACACAAAAUAAAUGCAAUUUUACUGUAAAGUAGACAUAAUGAAAAGAUGUUAUAGUAUUGGAAGAUCCAUCCUCCAUAAUCAUAGAAAUGAACUACAAGUGUAAAGGAAAAACAAUGUUAGGCACCUCUUUAAGAUUAUGAAAUGAAAACAUAUAUCUGUUGUCUGAUUUGGAAAUGUGCUUGUUUGUUCGAAUUCAAUUCUCAUGUUAUAAAAACUUGGAAUGUUCCUCUCGGGCUUCAAUGGUUUUACCCAAGUGGGUGAAGUAAUUCAGUAAGCCCACUAUGAGUGGGAAGAAAACUGAGAUAUGCUAAAAGACAUUGCAUAACAUAUAAGACCAAGAAUUAGGCUACAAUAGUUGAACUUAAACUUGGACCACUUUGAAAUUUGUCCACUGUGAUUGGUUCAAUAUUCUGUUCGAAAAUAAAAAUGUGGGAUGUAAGAGCCUGUGCAUCACUUUUCACUUUAUUUUUAAUCCAAAUAAUAUCAGUUUCUUUCUUUUGUUUUCUCCAUAAUUUUCCACUCUCACAUAUCCUCAUUCAAUUUAAAUAAAAUAUUAAAGAAAAACAAAAAUAUAUUUUAAGCUUAUUAUAUACGGAUUUUGCUUAUAUUUUAAGCUUGAUUUAUUUUAUUAUAUUAAGUAUUUAAAAAAUAUAAUUUUUUUAAAUAAAUCUUUAUUAUUUUUUUAAUUAAGUUAUGUGACUAUUAUCUUAUCUUAUUAUUUUAUUUAAUUUUUUUAAUAGUUAAUAUAAAAUAAUAGUAUCGUUAAUUAAUAAAGUAAUUUUUAUGAUUUUUACGUUAUUAUAAUAUCGUUAAUGCAUGUGAGAUGAUAUAUCCUUUUUAUUCCACAUAUUUACAAUAAAAACAAUAAAAUAGAUUUAUUAUUUUACAUUAAUUAUAUUAUCAUUUUAUAUUAAUUAUAAAAUUUUACAUUUUUUAAUGUUCAAAAAUAAAUAAAUAAGAUUGUGAAACAAAAUAACACUUAUAUUAUCUAUUUAACAAACACAGUUAAAUAAUAAAUAUUUAAUUAAAAAUUAUAACUUUUAAGUAUUUAAUAAAUAAAUAAAAUUAAUACAAGUUUAACUAAAUAUACAUAAAUUAAAUUUAUGAGAGACUUGAAUUAAGAAUAUACAUUAUAUUUGUAAGAUUUAUUAAUAAUUGAACACUGUUCAAAAUAUACAACCAUUGACGCGUUACCUUUUGACUUUCUUGAGUUCAUUUUGAAAAAAAGGGUAUAGUUUGGAUGAGUGCUUAUCAUUGUCACUAACUCACUUUUCAUACACAAUUUAUGCAAAAUGUACAGCGGUUGAUGGUCAGAGACAACCUAAUUUUUAUGUGCUUCCUUUCUUUGUCCAGAAGACUUUUCAUUAUAAAGAGUGUGAAUAGGGAAGAAACAUUAUGAAUUAAUUAUUAUUAUUAUUAUUAUUAUUAGCUUUAGUAUAAGUCUGGAUCUGGCUUAUUUAUUUAUUACAUAGUUUGAGUUUAAUCUGUUUAACAGUGUGAUUUGACCUGAAAACAUGUUAGUAGCUUGUUUUUAUAAGAAAAAAGUUAUAAACAAUCAAAUAAAUUUAACUAGGCUAACAAACCUAAAAUGAUAAUAGAUAUUAAUUAUUAUAUAAUUUUUUAUUUUUGAAAGACUAAUAUUAAAUUACAUAAGAAAGUUAAAAAAAUAAUAAUAAGUCAUUAUAUUAAAAAUUAACAGAUCCACAAAACAUAGGGAGCUACUUAUUUUGUCAUAGAAUAAAAAAUAAGAAAAAGUUUUAUAAGCUAAAAUAAUUAAACAAUAAGCAAGAUCAAUUAAUAACCAUUAAACAUUUGUAGCUUUAUGCUAUUAACCUCUAUGUUUUCUCUUAAAAUUAAAAAUUCCAUAUUAAAAAAUAUCUUAAUUAUUUAACACAAAAGUAUAGCAAUUGUAUAGCAACCGAGAAAAAUAAUCUUAGUGUAGAAGAAAUACAAUUAAAAUGACACUUGAAUAUUUUAUUAUUAAAGUUAAAAGAGCAUAUAAAUAGAAAUUUAGUUAUUAAAGUUUCAUCUUAAAAAAUACAUCCUCUUUCUAAAAACUCCUUUUCCUUUCAUCUGUCUUUUGUAUAAGAUUAUGAUCUCCUUGCUCAUCAGUUUGACGAUCAGAUUCCACCAUCAGACUCUUGGUAGUGGAUACUACAAGACUGCCUGAUCAGAAUCUUUGAUAGAGUAAGCUCAUUUUUGUUCUUCUCUUUGAGUCAAAUUUUGAACUUGUUAGGUUGUCUUUGUCUUUCGCCUUUUCUAUUUCUUAUUGCGGCUGAAGGUUUGGUAGGCGUGUCAAGGAUGGCAGAUGAGAAAGGUUUGAUUGAUAGUCUAGAAAUUGGGGACAGGAAAGUGAAGGUUAAUAUGCUACAGUACACAAACGAUACUAUGUUCUUUUGUGAAGUCAAUUCUAAGAGUGUGUUUAACAUUAAGGUGGCGUUAAACUGUUUUGAAUUGUGCUCUGGCCUUAAGGUGAACUUCUUGAAAAAUAGGAUUGGCGGGUUGGGAAUUGAUCAGAUUACACUGCAGCGGUUUGCGACUGUUCUUAAUUGUGAGAUGAUGACAACUCCUUUUAAAUAUUUGGAAUUGUUGGUUGGGGGAGUCACAAGAGAGAUGUUUUUUGGGGUGGUGUGAUUGAAAAAUUGAAGUCAAGGCUAAGUAGAUGGAAAGGUAGGCUUCUCUCCCUAGCCGAGAAAAUUUGCCUUAUUAAGUUUGUGCUUUUGUCAAUUCCACUAUUUUAUAUGUCUUUAUUUAAAUUGUCUGUUGUAAUUUUAAAAGAGAUUGUGAGAAUCCAGAGGCAUUUUUUAUAGGGGUGGGGGUCGGAAGGGAGGAAGAUCGUUUGGGCUUCUUGAAAGAAAGUUUGUGAGUCUCGAGAGGCUGGCGGUUGGGUAUCAUUGAUUUGAAAGAUUUCAAUUUUGCUCUCUUAUGAAAAUGGAUUUGGCGUCUUGGGACGGACAAGAGUGGCUUGUGGAAGGAUAUUCUUGAGUCCAAAUAUGGAGGUUGGAGAAGUCUGAGAGAUCAAAGGAAUAAUGUUAAGGAAUCUCUUUGGUGGAUAGACUUGAAGGAGGUUUGGGCGUUGGAGAGUUGGGGAAGGAGUUUUGAAAAUCGUUUCCAGUGGAAGAUUGGUAACAUGAAGAAAAUCAGUUUUUGGGAUGAUGAUUGGGCGGGUUGUGGUGUUUUGAAGAGGGUUUUUACGAGGCUGAGUUCUUUGAGUAUGCAUUCCGAGUCUAAGUUAGUCGAGUCUGGGGUUUGGGUUGAUGGUAUUUGGGAGUGGAAUUUAGCUUGGAGAAGGAACCUGUUUAAGUGGGAAAGGGUUUCAGAGAGUCAACUCCUUUUGAAGAUCCAAGGUUUGAGGAUGGAGUGAGAUUUGGAUGAUGGUUGGGUCUGGAAGGAUAGCAAGUUGUCUUCUUACUUGGUUAAUUCUGCUUAUGCUUUCCUAAGGGGUGAGUUCGAAGGGGGAACAAUUCCAUGUAUGUCAAGUUUUGGAGGACUAAAGCUUUGUCAUCCGCCCAUUUCACUGCUUGGAAGGUGUUAGAAAAUAAACUAACCACCAAGAAUAAUUUGGUGAGGAGGGGAGUAAUGACCGAGAGCAAUAUGUGUGUUUUGUGCGGGUUGGAAGAGGAGUCUUGCAGCCAUUUGUUCUUCGAGUGCAGAUUAACUUGACUUGUCUGAAGUUAGUGUUACGCUUGGUUAGGUUUGGCGUUCGUGGAUCAUUCUGAUUCGCGUGCUCAUUUUCAACAGUUUAGGUUGUGUAGUGCAUCUGAAUCCGUUAAUGCGGUGUGGGGGACAAUUUGGAUUGUUGUAGUAAGUGAUAUUUGGAGUCUCAGGAAUAAGAUAAUCUUUAAAGGAGGGGUGGUGGAUGCUUCAGAAGUAUUUGCUCUUAUUCAAUUAAAGGCUUCUUUGUGGUCGUCUCCAAGGUACCAUUAGCUUGUUUUUCUUACUCUGACUGGUGUCUUGAUCCUCUGGUUUGCAUGAACAUGAUUUAGUGUUGUUUUUGUGUGUUGGAUUUAUCUUAGAUGUUUGGUUGGAUGUUGGCUUAGUCCUCUGUUUUGUGCUCAGAGGAUGAGUAUAGUUAUGUAUAAGGGUUGGAUCACCCCUAAAGUGGUUCCUAUUUAUUGAAUCUUUAUUGUUGAUAAAAAGAAUGUUGUCUCUGUCUUUGCUUUGCAUGUGACUCUUUUAGCUUCAAGGUGAAUCUCUAUUAGUUCGGGGUCCUAGUGAUAUAGUUAAAUUUUUUAUUAGGACUCUAUGGUGCAAUUUAAUUACCUUUAAGCUUUUGGUAGAUUUCGAGCUCUUAGUGAGCAUCUGCUCAAGUUCAGGUAAGAGAAGCUAGCCUUAAUUUCCAAUAGAACACUAGGCUAGAAGAUCUGGAUGUGAGGGUGACGUGGUCACCAGUCUCAAACUUUCUUGUAGGAUUGUUUGUUUUAAGUAUAUUAGAAGUUGAUUGAGAUUUGAAUGUGAAAUUUUAUAUAUGGUAGAUGUUAUAAAAUUAUAUUUUUUUUUAUUUGAAUAAGUAAAUGAAUGUAUUUAAGUAGUUUGAUGAAUCACUUAAAGGAUAAUGUUGUUAAGUAUUGAUUGUUUGGUUUUGAUUUAGAGUAAUUGUUCAACUUUAACCAGGACUUUGUACUUUGGUUUAGUAUAUUUGAUAAAAUAAAAAUUUGAAUGAAAAUAUUAGGUACUCUCGGGUCUAUUUUCGCUAAAAUAAGAUGGGAUCUUGUUCAAAGCAAAAAUGGGAUAAUUUCUGAAGUACUUUCUGGUCCAUUUUCGCUAAAACUACAUGGAAUUUUGUUCAACUGAAAAUGGGGAAAGUCUAGAGUGUCGCUAGUCCAUUUUAGUUCAAACCAAUUUUUUUCGCUCAAGCCAAAAAAUUCUUGAUGCACGCGGGUAUAUUUUCGCUCGCACUAAAAUUUUUCGUUCAAACCAAAAAAAUCCUAGGUGUAGGUCUAUUUUUGCUCACACUAAAAAAUUUUCGCUCAAGCCAAAAAAAAUUGUAAAAAAAGAACUGAAUAUUUAAUAUUUGCUUUUAAAAGUUGGUUUAUUUCUUUCUGUAAUUUUUACUUAUACAUUAUGUAAACUUUUAUUUUAUGUAUAUUAAAUUGAAAAUUUAUUUAAUUAGAUAUUAUAUGAUUAUUGAAUGAUGUGUUUUGGAAAUUCUAAACUUUUGUAUGAUUUGAUUGUGUGAUUUUGGAUAUUGCGAGAUUCAGAAUAUGAAUUUUAAUCAAGACAUAGUAUUUUCAAGAAAAAAAUAGCGUGUAAAGAUUGUUUAGGAUGUGCAUUGACUAGAGAUUCUCUCUGAGUCUAAGUCAACGCACGAGUCUUUCGAAAGUAGAGUCAAGUGUGUAUGUGUUGUGAGUCCGUAAAAGUCUGACUUGUGAAAUAUUGUUACGAAGUGGACUUUAAGUCUAACUCAACCCCAUAAAACCGGCUCAUAGGAUUGAGGUUUGCACCCACUUAUAUACGAUGAAAGGCUCUAAUCUCUAGUCGAUGUGGAAUCUCCAAAAUAUAUAUAUAUAUAUAUAUAUAUUUAAUGUAAUAAUUAAAUUAUGUCCUUCUUAAUAAACGAAUUAGACCAGAGCUUUAGGUAUUGAAGCCAUAGGUCCUUAAACUUGGCCGUUGGCCUGAUCUAUUUCCAUUCCUAAAUGUCAAUGCUGGUUUAAGUUCAAAUAUGGUUGGUUUGGUUCAACCCAAAUCUUGAAUCUUGAUGAAGACUAAGGUUUUGAAGGGUUGUUUUGUUGUUAACAGCUGCUUAUGCUGAAUACUGUGCUCAAAUUCUCUAAUUCUCUGUGUCUGCAUCAAUUUUCUAAAAUGAAAAUAUAUAUCAUACAAAAUACUGAAACUUCAAUGUCAUCAACCUUGCCUGACCAAACUAACCACACCAAUGAAUAAGAAACUAUCUCCUUAAACACUUUACAUUAACAACAUAUGUGUAUGUUUUCAAACUCAUCUUAAGAUCGAAUUUUAAAAGGUUUGAUGAUGGAUCCCUCUUAUAGAAAGUAUAAUAAUGAUGAUGGAAAGAGAAAACAAUGAAUAAGUUUUUAAUUUUAGUGAGUUGUUGUUAUUGCUUAUCCCACAAUCUAAGUCCCCUUAUUUGGUUUAUUUGGAUAAGAUGGGACCAAGUGAUUAGGACUUUAUAUUAUUAAAAGUAAAGCUAGUGGGUAUUACUCUUUGGAGUCAUUCUUCAAUUUCAACUACAUAAUCAUUCUCAGUUAAUUAUUAUUAACUUCUCUUUGAUUCGUUUCAUACAACAAAACUACUACAUUAACUUUCAUCCUUAAUUAGACAAGAUGGACCCAUUUUUUUUAAAAAUAUUAAAAUAUACGUUUAACAGUUUAGCAUAAAUAAGAAAUAUUUCAAAAGAUAAACUUGUAUUCUAAGUAUUUUAUUUAGUUAUAUACUUAAAAUUUGAAUUAAAAGUUAAACUAAAACCAUUUUUAAUAAUAUACAUACUUAAAACUCAAUUUACAUCCACUUAUAUAUGUUAAGAUAAAUUUUAAAUGACUCUGAUAACAUAUUAAGAAGUGAACUUUAAACAUAACUCAAUCUUUUAAAAUCAACUCAUAAAAUAAAAUUUACACUUAUUUAUAUAUAAUAAAAUAUUUUAAUAUUUAAGAGAAUUGAAAUUUCCAACAAUAAUUAAAUCAUUGAAACCAAAAUUCAAUCCAAUAAAACUUGUAUUCUUAAAAAUGUAUUUUGGGAAAAUGAAAUGUAGAUUUUUCUGUAGACAAAAUCUUGCUAUAUGCAGGAAGCAAAGUCCAAACUUGGGAAAGUAGAUGAGCCUGCGAAACUUUGACUCUGUCAACAAGUACAAAAUCUUGCUAAAUUCAUUUUACUAUUUCCAAUGUUUCAUCUAUUAUAAAAUUGAAACUUGCAACAUUCCCAUUCCAUCACAUUCCACGCCUAAAAAUAGAUCACUGACGUUAUAUGACGUGAGACCCUACGUCAAUACGCACAGUAAAAUAAAUGUAUUCUAAUUAUCAUACAUAUCUAUCUUAAAGCAACUCCUUUAAAAGACUUAUUUGACCCCACAAUUCUCAAAAAUCAAAAGAUAAAUUAGAAGCAAGGAUAACAGAGUGGGAAUUUCCUCCAUAAUAGAACAUUUGAACUCAGUAUUAACAUUAAGACUAUAUAUAUUUAGAAUGAAAGAAACGUAGGGGUAAAGGAGAAGAAAUAUUAAUAUUGUGCUAAAUGCAUCAAAGUCUUGUUACUUUUUUAUGGAAGUCUUUCAUCACUUUUCCACUUGCUUCCCACUACCAAUUUCCAGAACCUCAGGUUUUCUUUUAGUAAAUUAUAAAUCAGAGUUCUGUUCAUAAACAGACUGCUCAAAGAAUCAAUGAAUCGUUUAAAUUACUCAUAAAAAUAUGUACUUUAUCAAAAUAAAUAUUAUCUAUAUUAUAACAAAAAAUAAAAUAAAAAAUUUAGAUAAAGUCUCCAAUGGUGUAUGUUAAACUUUGUUUAAUUUUUUAAAGUCUAUAAUUAAUCAUGGAGAUCAACAACGAAUGGCAGUAAACAUGACUAAAAUGAAAAAUACUUCUUAUUAAGUGAUUUUCUUAGCUUUUAUCUUUUAAUAGAGAAGAUCUUUUUCUUUUUGAAAUUAGAAUAAUUUGUAAUAUAAUUUAAACUAUCCUUAAAGAAACAUGGAGUGUAAUUUCCACUGCUUUUUUUUUAUUAAGAUUGUUGAAUUCCUCUUAACUGAAUUCCAUAUUUUGGUCCAAUCAUUGUGAGAUUCAAAGGUUUUUUCUUCACUCUUAAACAGUUAGUUAACAGUAUAUAUAGGUUCUCAAGUUGAGUCUUGUUAAUACUGGCAUUUGUCUUAUUUGUUGCGAUUCUACCAACCUGAACUCCUAAUCCACCAACUUUCUUAUUUAGAAAACUGUCAAACGCUGCUAUUGCUAUUUGGCUUGGCUAUAUCUCUAUGACACUAGUCAAAGACCAGUUCUAACCUCUCUUCUCUCUCUAAACACAAUUCUCAGAUUCGUACUCAUCUUUCUGUGUACAAAAUGGCAGGGUAGGAAGAGUGCUAUGAUUCUUGUGCUUCUUGGUUUCUAAUUUCGCAGGUACACUUCCUCCCUGUGGUGAUUCAUCUUAAUUUCCAUCCACAAAAUCUAGAUGAUAUGUUUCAAAUACUGUAACUUAUUGCUCCUUUUGAUGAAUGCUACUAUCUGUUGCAGUCCUAGUAAACUGAUUUCAAUCUGCAGCAGAUGAUACGUGUUAUAGUGUGAUGCAUGCAUGUGAUUGCAGCAGAUGAUUCCAAUCCUCAGUUCUUCCUCUAAGAAAGUUUUUAACUUUUCCUUGUAUAGGUCUCUGGUCCCAAAGGGUUUUUGUUAAGCCUUUUCUGUUACUGUCACUUGAUCUAUCUACUCGUAUAUUGGGCUACAAUUUCAAAUAAGAAUUGGCUUUUGGUUCGAAGUAUUGCUUUUGUCUUACAAAAUAUGCUGUGGAUUUUGAGGCCGGUGAUUCUCCCAUCUAAACACAAAUAAAGAUAUAGAUACUAUCAAAAGAGUUUUGUGCAAGAUUAUCAGUUUUAGCCAAACUUAUUUGAAGCCUUGUUUUACGAGUCUCUUGAUAAUAACAUCUUAGUUAGUAUUUGCAGUAGGAAUUUCUUAUCAAUAUGAUUUCUGGUUAGAUUUAUCUUAUAUGACUUUGGAAGAGCAAAUGUCAUAUCUCUACAAUUUGAAUGUCUAAAGAAUCAUCGAACAAUUUGGGGUUUUUUUUCUUUUUGUUUCCGGAGCAUUUGAUUUGAUUUCAAGAGUUUGUUUUUAUGUGGAUCGGAUCUAGAAUCUAGAAUCUGCAGAUAGAAAGAAGAUCAUAGUUUAAAUGAUAAAGCACACAAGAGGUUUUUAAUAUUUAUUUUACUUUUCCAAAUACAGAGCAGGCCACUAUGACAGGGAUAAUGGUCUUUGCUAUGCUAAGGUGGAAUUUUAAGCUGUCAACUCAUGUUUGACUGGAUCCAGUAACUAACUUUUAUUUUUAGAAGCAUAUUUGAAAUUCAUUCGCGUGGUUUGCCGAGUAGGAAAACAUUAAGUACUUGAACAAUUUCAACCAUGGUGGUUCAUCCGAGAUUCAAGUAGCACCAAAUCCUCUUUCCGUUGCCACACUGAAUAUGAUUAGUUCAAUUGCACAAGUUAUGCGAGAGAUAUUCUUAAUCUGGAACAUUAUUUUUCUCAGAUAAAAAACUUUUGUGAAUUUGAACAUGAUGGAUCAUCAAACCAACUGAUUUAGGAUGACUUUACUAUAUUUAUCUCUUGACUGAGGCAACAAAACUCAGUAGUGUAUCUAGUAUUUUUAUUUUUUUUUCAGUUCACAUGGAUUUAUAGUUCUACCUGAAAGUUCACCUAAUGUUUUUUUCUUCUUAUCCUUUUGUUUCUCUUAUCAGGGCAUAGUCAUCCUUUAAGGUUCAACAAGAUUUUAUCGCUGAGCAACUCUGCCUGCCGUACUGUUUCUCAAGGUGGGAAAGGUAAAAUAUAUAUAUUUAUAGGUUUUAUUUAUUACAGAUUUCAAAGAAUUUUACUGGCUAAUUAAUUAGUCAUGUUUUUUAUACAGCCUAAAAUUCUGCGUGAAUUGUAUAACAGGGGAAUUAUGUCAUUAGUUAGGUCUGUUGAUCUAGCUCCUACAUCGUAUAAAAAUGCCAAGCUCUUCUCACUAAAGGGAACUGAUGUUAGACCAGGUUUGUCCUCCCAAAUUUUUGGUCCUGAUAAGCAUAGGAGCAUGGACAUGGCAGAUUCUUACUCCAGCGAGAGUUAUGAGAAGUAUUUCCAUGACUGUCAAACAGAAGAACUGAUAGAACCAUCUAAUUCCAGCAUCUCUGGAAGCUCAAUUCCCCCUGAUGUAGCCUCUUCUUACCAGCUUACAGCCAGUUCAGAAGCUUCUGUGGUUGCCAAUAACCCAUUUGAUUGUUCUUUCAUGUCUACAAUGCAUCAUGAUGGUUAUCAGUCCAACUUUGGAUCAGAUUUGAUGGAUAAUGGAAGCCUCGAUUCCCGUAAAACUGACGGUCUAAUGAGUUUAAAACUACAAGCAUUGGAGAGGGCAUUGCUUGAUGAUAGUGAGGCUGAGGAGGAGGAGCUGGAAGAGGAAGACAUAUUUGAGGCUGUUCAAAGCAUGGAAAUUGAUCCAGACCUUGCUGAGUGGGCUGAUUCCAUGCAGAAUGUAGUCCUCCAUGACUCACCAAAGGAGUACUCUUCUUCAGAUUCCAGCAUCAGCAGCAUCAGCAGCACCAAAGAAAUAUCACUAACUUCUCAGACCCCCAAGCAGCUGCUUUAUGAAUGUGCUAUUGCACUUUCAGAAGGAAACGAAGUGGAAGGAUCAUCCAUGAUAAACAAUCUCAGGCAGAUGGUCUCAAUUCAAGGAGAGCCUUCUCAAAGAAUUGCAGCCUAUAUGGUUGAGGGACUUGCAGCUCGCCUAGCCGAAUCCGGCAAAAGUAUUUACAAAGCUCUGAGAUGCAAGGAACCUCCUUCUUCAGACCGUCUAGCAGCUAUGCAGAUACUGUUUGAGGUUUGCCCAUGUUUCAAAUUUGGAUUUAUUGCUGCUAACAAUGCAAUUACAGAAGCAGUGAAAGAUGACAUGAACAUUCAUAUCAUAGACUUUGACAUCAAUCAAGGAAGCCAGUACAUUAAUCUAAUCCAAACACUUGCUUCAAGGUCAAGUAAGCCACCCCAUGUUAGAUUGACUGGUGUUGAUGAUCCUGAGUCCGUGCAGCGAUCUAUUGGAGGCCUAAAGAACAUAGGACAACGACUAGAAAAACUAGCAGAGGCACUUGGUUUACCAUUUGAGUUCCGAGCAGUGGCAUCAAGGACUUCCAUUGUCACCCCAUCAAUGCUCAACUGUAGUCCUGGGGAAGCACUUGUGGUGAACUUUGCAUUCCAGCUUCAUCAUAUGCCUGAUGAGAGUGUUUCUACAGUAAACGAACGGGACCAACUUCUUCGGUUGGUGAAGAGCUUGAACCCAAAGCUUGUGACAGUUGUGGAGCAAGAUGUGAACACAAACACCACCCCCUUCUUGCCUAGAUUUGUUGAAUCCUACAAUUACUACUCUGCUGUGUUUGAGUCACUUGAUGUUACUCUUCCUAGAGAAAGCCAGGAUAGGAUGAAUGUUGAAAGGCAAUGCUUGGCCAGGGACAUUGUCAAUGUUGUUGCAUGUGAGGGCGAGGAUAGGAUAGAACGGUAUGAAGUGGCAGGAAAAUGGAGAGCAAGGAUGACAAUGGCUGGCUUCACUUCAUCUCCAAUGAGCACAAAUGUGACUGAUGAAAUCCGAAAACUCAUUAAGGUGAUGUAUUGUGACAGGUACAAGAUAAAGGAGGAAAUGGGUGCACUUCACUUUGGGUGGGAAGACAAAAACUUGAUCGUUGCAUCGGCAUGGAAGUUACCAAGAUAAUGAAUUAUGUUAAUUAGUAGACACACUUAUUGUAGUACUGGUAAUGUAGUCUUUGCUUGCUUGUUUAGUGUGUAGAAUAAUCCUGAUAUAUCUAUUGUAGCGUUUGCUUGCUAUACUACUAACUUACAAUCUUAAUCUAAUAACCAAAUUUUCAUUUUAUCUAACAUGGGUGGAGUAAUGGCCAUAUUUAUGUUUAAGGUAAUAAAUAUUUUUUAAUUUGAAAAUUUUCAGAAAUAAAAUUAACUAAUAUAACAUAAUGUGUUUGUCUUUUAUUUAAUAUAAUAAAUAUUAUAUAGUUCUUUUAGUUAAAAAAGUAUUCUCUUUUUUUUUCCUCCUCAUAAUUCCUUUGAAAUAUGCACUCAGUUACUCCUUUUUAAUGCUAGUUGUUAGGGUGGAUAAUCAAACUAAACCAUUCUACUAAAUGAGCCCUAUUUUAAAUGAUUCAAGAGUUAUAACAUAGGCUUACAUUCAACAAUGCUUCAUAAUGGUACAAAUGAUAAAUAUUUAAGGUCUUGAAGAUUCCUCUCUUAAAAGUUAGUUUCAAGGGAAAAAAUCAUAUCAUUUAAAUGUUUCACCAAAUGUCGCCAUCCAUACUUAGAUCAUGAUUCUCGCAUAAACUAUAAUUCAUUUAGCCUUAGCAACUCUUUACUAAUACAAUAUCAAAGCACAAAUUUUUAAAAAAAAAUGUUAACUACCAAAAAUUUGGUAUAGUUAAAAUUUGAUAUUUUUUUUAGUUCAUAUUGAAUGACACAUUAAAUGUUUAAGAGAAAUCCUACUGAUUUCACUACAAAUAAAAUCAGUAUUAUCUACGAAUUUUUAUCCACGGAUUUUAAUUCGUAGGUAAAUUCAGCAUUACCUACACACAACAUUAUUUACUAAUAUUACCUACAAAUCUGAAUUCGUAAGUAAAUUCAGCAUUACCUACCCACUAUUACUCACGGAUCUUAUUACCUACGAACUUUUAUCCACAGAUCUCUAUUAACUACCAACUAUUAUCAUAAUAAUUAUCUACAUAAUAUUAAAAAUAUUAUUAUAAUAUAAUUAAUUAUAAAAUCAUAAAUAAUAAUAAUAAUAAAUAAUAAUCAUAACUAAUAAGUAUAACAUAUUUUUAAUAUUAUAAAAUUAAUAAUAUUAAUAUAAUAAUAUAAUUAGUAUUAUAUUAAUAAUAUGAAUAAUAAUAAUAAUAAUAAUAAAAUUAGUAAUAUUAAUAGUAUUAAUGAUAUAAUAAAAUUAAUAAUAUUAGUAAUAAUAACAUUAAUAAUAUAAAUACUAUUAAUAAAAAUAUUAAUAAAAUUAAUAUUAUUUAUAAUAUUAAUAUUACUUAUAAUAUUAAUAUUAUUAAUAAUAUUAACACUAUUUUUAAUAUUUAAUAAUAUUAAUUAUAUUUAAUAAUAUUUAAGAAUAUUAAUGAUAUUCAAUAAUAUUAAUAAUAUUUAAUAAUGUUAAUAAUUUUUAAUAAUGUUAAUAAUUUUUAUAUUAUUAACUAUAUUAAUAUUAUUAAUCUUACUAAUAAAUAUAAUAAUAAUCAUAAUGUGACAACAAAAUUUGACUGGUGUAAUGUUUAAAACUUCUUUGGACAUUUCUCAAGAAACUUGGCUUUGAGCAUAGUGUAAUCAAUAAUUCCGAUUUACCCAUGUAUUUUUGCUAUUUUACCUACAAAAUUCUUCCGUAAAUAAUUUGGAUUAUAAGUAUAUUCUUACAUUAAUGUAUUUAAUUCACUUACAUUAAUGUAUUUAAUUCAUGGUAUCUUGCGAAUUUUUUAAAUAAAUUUUAAAUCUUUAAAUUGAGAAACUAAAAAUAGCUAGUAAUAUUCUUAUGUUCAAGAAACUUUUUCCAAAACCUAAAUUUAGAUAUAGCUUAUAAAGAAAUAACAUAUUUUAAAUUCUGAAUUGAAAUAGGAAAACAUCUUAUAAAAUUGUUUAAUUUAUUCUUUGAACGUCUAAUGAAAUAAAUAUCUACAUUCGUAUAUAAAUGGACGCUACAAUACUCAUAUUAGUAAAUUGAAGAAAAAUUAUACAUUUUAAUUCUUUAACUUGAAGUGACAAGAUGAUAUAAAAAAAAUAGUAAUUUGCAUGAAUAAAUAAAUCCAACAAUGCAUGUUAAUAGGUUGGUACUAGACCAAUUUAAUGGAUAUUUUUAACACUUGGUUUGGUUAACUAUUUUGCAACAUCACCAAAAAAAUGUAUCUUCCUUUCGCCUCUUAUAAUACAAAUAAACAAAACCGUGACUGAUGAAGUUAUCAUCUUGGUCCACCAUGGACAACAACUUGUGAAAAAACCUUGCACAUUGGUUGAAAAACAAGUUAACUCAUUGAAGAGUACCAAUUUGUCUGCCCAAAGAAGAGAGUUUUUCAAAAACAAAUGAGACAAAGUUCCUUUCUUUCUUAAGAUUCAAGAGCGUCAAAUUUAUUACAAGUUAUUUGAUACGAUAGGAGGUUUUUAUUCACAUGUUAUGUGGAUUAAUUAUCAGCAUUUUGUUGCCUUGUUCAGUGGUUUGGUCACAAUCAUGUGAAGAAUUUGAAACAGAUGAACAUUUUCCACAUAUCAGAUAUUUGCUUUUUGUACCCAUCAAAACAGAUAUUUUCAUUUAUUUUAUUCUUUGUUAAUAUCUAUAUACAUGUUAAAGUUUUUCUUCCUAUACUUAAAAACUACAUUUUAGAGUUUUUUUUAACAUUUCAUGUCUCCAAUUGUGUAACAGUUUCAUAUUAUCAGAAAACUAACAAGAAUUAAAAGAUAUAAAAGGAGAUAUUCUUAUGAUAAUUAAAACAUAAAAACUUUAAAUAUAAAAAACUAAAAGGUUGACACAAAUACAAGGACAUAUAAUCAAUUAAAUCUCAAAAUAUAUCUUACUGGAUUGUCUUUAAUUAUUAAUAAACUUCACUUUGAUUUUAUAAAAAUUUAAUUACACAUUAUUUUUAUUUUAUUUUUUAAAACUAAACCAUUAUCGUCUAUCAUUACUCUGGUGUCAAUUGCUAAUAAUUUUUUUUGACAUGUUAUCAAUAACAACAUUAUUAAUUACUUAUUUGUAUAAAAUAUUAACAAAAAUAUUUAAUAAUGUGAUUUAACACCUAUUACGUCUUAAUUUUUUCAUGAUAAUAAUAACUAAUAAUGAUAUUAUUAAAUAUGAGAUGGUUAAUUAGUGAUGGAAAAAAAAAUGUUUACAAUUUCUUUUAUCCCAGAACCACCAUUAGAGAGGUUUGAAUAAAGUGUAGUUAACAAUAGACUUUGUAUAUGUGCUGAUAGAAGAAGGAAUUAUCAAAAGACGGUAUAUGAUGUGGCUUGAUAAGGUUGCUUAUUAAUAAUGAGAGUGGAAAAUAGUGGAUUGGUUGAUUCCUAUCCUAACUAGUUCUGACCUUGUAUUCUUGCACUUCAUUUCACAACCACAUAAUUUCAUGGAGGUCAUGUCACAUCAAUUCUAAAUUACUAAUUUACUCAAACAAUAUUCCUAAAAAUAUGUCACUGGUUUUCAAUUUUAUUUGCAUUUGUGAGAGCAAAUAACUUAUCAGUUCCUGUAUUUUUGAUGAAAAAAACAUAAUAAAGUUGGUGGGAUUUAACAGGCUGACAAAUCUUAGAAUAUUAGCAAAAACAAAAUAAGAAUUAGAAAACCCUAGUAUAUUAUAAGAUUAUGUACAUCUUCAAGAGUAAAAGAAAAGGUAUUAAAUAUUUUUUAUUCUGGUUUUGGGUACUUUGAUGGUGAUGCAGUCCUCUUGUAAUAAGUUUUUGGAGAAAUUGUAGGUUUUAGUGGGAUAAAAAAGUUUAUUGACAACAAAAUGAGAUCCACAUGAAUUUGAGCCUUCUUAGAACCUCACAAUCUUGUAAUAAUAUCCACAUAGGGAUAUAGAUAGUACAUAAAGAAACAAAAGAAUUGAAAAGAUUAUCCAGGAGUGUAUUUUGUAACAAAGUUUAGAGCAAAGCGGGUAGGAAGCUAGCAUGGCCCUGGAGAAGUGUUUAACAGUAGGCACAGCCACACCCCAAUGCCUUUCUCCGUGCUUUCCAACUUCAAGGGAAAAGCUUGUUUUCCCAACCCACAGAGGUUUCAAGAAAUCCAUGCCGAACGCAAAACUCUCAUACCAAUCUCUCUAUUCAACCUACCGAAAAUCCCGUUUUGUUUGCAAUGCUCGUGAAGCAGUAAAUGAAGGUAAGUGAUUAUCCCAUAUGCAAGCUUCUAACCUUUCUGCACUGAGUAAACCAUCUUCUGACAUGCUUUUCCAUUUUAAUUCGUAUUAGGAAUUUCAGAAUGUGUUAUAUUGGAUAGUCUAGUUUCCCGAAGUACCUUAGGAGAGAUGUUUUAACCACUAGUACAAAGUGCAAAUUCUCCUACUUGUAAAAAAAUAUUAAAUGAAAAAGGAAAUAUAUUCAUUUUUUAAAUAUUUAAAGCGCAUUCAAUAUUUUAUAAGAAAGUAGUACAGGAAUUAGAAUUAUUCUUUUAAAUAUUUAUUGCAGAUUACAGUUUACUAGGAAUUAUGAAAUUUUGUAGGUCUCAUUAUCAUUUAAUGGAUCUCACUUACUAUUCUAUAAUUUCUAACUUUCAAUAAAUUUUAAUCGGAAACAAUGUUAAGACUUGUCUAUGUUUUAUGGUUGGGCUGCUUAGACUUGGCAUUAUUAAAACUAGUGUCAGGUUCCAGAACAAUAUAAACUUCAUAUACAUUCGGCAAUUUUAAUGUAUAGUGCAUGAUUUCUACCUGACAUUUGGGCCAUGUUUUUACUCGAAUGAAGUAGCAGAUUGAUUUUCCAAUUUCAUCUUGGAAUUUAUGUAUAAGUUUGCUUGUUUUCUUGUACCGAUUUCUAAACUAAUUUUCCAGGGCAUAAGAAAGCAUUAAAGUAGCAGCUCUAAUUUCUAAAUCAAACAAGCUUUAAUUAAGUGACUCCCUUUCUGUUUUGUUUUGUCUAAUGAAAUAAUACAUGUGCUCAAACUUGGCAGUAAAAGAGGUGACUGACGCAAACUGGAAUCAACUUGUGAUUGCCAAUGAAACCCCUGUUCUGGUAGAGUUUUGGGCACCAUGGUGUGGUCCAUGCAGGAUGAUAGCACCUGUUAUUGAAGAGUUAGCGAAGGAAUAUGGUGAAAAACUUGCAUGCUACAAGCUUAACACAGAUGACUCCCCAAACACAGCAACUCAGUACGGCAUCAGAAGCAUACCAACAGUUCUGUUCUUCAAGAAUGGAGAGAAAAAAGAAAGCAUAAUUGGUGCAGUUCCCAAGUCUACUCUGUCAGCGACAGUUGAAAAAUAUAUUGAUUUAUAAGCUGGGAGUGAUAAAAAAAAAGGGCAAGCAUUACAAUGCCAAAAAUGAAAGGAUUGGAAAGGGAGAAGUGAUAAUAUUGACAUUGCAAAUUUCAUUCUCUUUCAUUUUGUUUCCAUGCCCUAUAAGGCAAUAGAUAGUGUCUGUUUAAAAGUGUAAGAACCAUCUUCUCAUCAGUGGCAUGACACUUUGAAGUAAUACUUGUACCAUUUUUUCAAUUUGUAAAGGUUACAUUGGAUAAAGAGACCUCAUUCAAUGUUUGAAUGUUUGAUUACUUCCCCGUGCUUAGGAACACUUCAAAUUGAUCAUUGCUUGGGACAAUAAUUAACAAUUCCCCCAACAACCAGUUGCUUUUUUGAAUACCAAAACUUGCCACCUUCCUCAAGCGUGUCCUUAUGUCAAGGAUGAGUUUGUGAAAGCUAGUAAGAAAUAUUAAUAAAAAAACGUUACACUUGAAUUCACAAGAAAAAUCAGCCCCGUCAGCCACACAACCAGCCAACAAAUUUUCAUUUCUUAUAUAUAAAAUCAUAUAGUGGCACAGUGGCCUACGCCCUAUCACUACCCAACCCAAAUACUCUGCCAUCAUCGGGGGCCGAUGGCAAUACCAUUGCUCAUGUUGCAUGAGCAGCUUCUAAGAACCACACCAUCCAUACCAUCUACAAAGGCUCUCAAGGAGAAGGUUUCCAAUCAAAUUGAAGAUUACUAAAACCAUUUACUGCCCCUAGCCCGCUAAGUAGUUGGUUUGACAAAUCUUGUUGAUGAUUCAUAGCUUGAUCUCGAGCAAGAGAUGCCAUUCCUCCCCUUCCAUUCAUGAUUGAAUUAUUCACCACAGCAGCUCUCAUUCCAUUAGGCAUAGAGGAUUGACCAAGACCCAUUGUGCCAUAAUUACCAACCCCAACGCCUGAAUUACUGUUCAUUGACCCGUUACCCAUCAAGCCAUUGCCACCAUUGAGCCCUGUAUUGGCACUCACUGGCAGAAUACCAUUUACAGUUUUCACAUCAUUUCCAAGAGAACCAACACCAAUCAUUCCACCUGCACCGUUAAUCUGAGAGGACAUCAUCAUUUCAUGUAUGAUUUUCUGGACUGAGCUUUGAGUAUCACUAGGGUCAGGAUCACCUGAUAUAGAUGGCUGCUGCUGUUGCAUGGAAAUAUUAGCUGCUGGGUUAGUUGCGCUCAUGUGAUUGGCAGAUGUUAAAGUAGGGUGAGAUGUUUGUGGGGGGUUGUUAGAAGAGGGCGUCGGUGAUUGAAAAGGGGAUGAAUUUGGCUGGGCCUGUGGCACCGUAUUGGAAGAACCUGGGGAUGGAAUCUGAACAGAACUACCUCCAUAUGGACUACUUGCAUUGUUCAUUGAAUUUUGCUGUCUAGAAUUCAUUGAAUUCUGGUGGAGAAGUCCAACAAUAGUACUUGUGGUGGUUGAUGUGGAUGCCGAGUUGACAUUGUUAUUUACACUGACCAUACCAUUGCUAGAAGCAAUUUGCAUGGCAGCAGCUUGUACCGAGUUUUGAUCACCAUUUGAGUUAUGGGCCACCAUUUGUUGCUGUUGCUGCUGCUGUAAUUGUUCUUCAUGCUGUUGUGCUUGACCACGAGGUCCAGAUGAACCAUUUGUCCUCCGAGGGAACUUUGCCAAGCUAUCUGAGAGAUGGAAAAAUAAUAGAAAGAAUAGAAAUUUCAUCAUACCUAUUAUCAUGAUCAAACAGCUGGAAAUAAUUAUUAAGAAAAAAAAAAUAUUCACAAGACUUUUAGAAAACAAGAUACAAGUUAUCUCGAAGACCUAAACUUUCGUCUAAUUAAGUGAGGAAAAAAUUAGAGAAUAACAGAAAGAAUUAUAACUCAUUUCCCUGAUUAGGUGCAGGGAUCAAAGAUAGAUGUGACUGCUGAGUUGGUUGCAUAUAAUCCAUGUCGUGUUAAACAAAAACGGUUCCAUGCUUGGGGCAAAAAAGCACAAAGAAAAAGUCUUGCUCCUCAAGAAGUUCAGUCAACUUUCACCAGUAUCAUGACCUCAAACCUACCCUAUUUACUGUUUGAAAAUAUUAAGUGAGUGAUUUAUUACAUAUCUGUGUCCCCCCAAAAUAGACAUGAGGAUAUUUUAAUGUUAGGAAGUCAAAGACAUUAAUACCAAGAUACAGAAACAGGAUUCAAGUACAAAGUAAAACAGCUGACAAAGGAAAAAGUCUUUCCUCCCAAAUAAUAGUCUCGAAUCUCAAGUUGAAAUAGCCUAAUAGUAAACUCCAACAAAUAAACCUUUAGGGGAUGAACUCCAAUUGUCCACUCUUGAUUCCCUUCAACAUCUAUUUAUCAUUAUUAUCGUACCAACUACAUCUCCAAGCCAAAUUCCAAAGCAAAAUACCAAGAGGGAUUGCAAUUUCUCUAUAUGCAUAUUGCUUGAUAGUUAAGUAACCUAGGCUAUUUCUUCCUCUCCUGACCAUAAAGGUAAAUUCCAUGCGGGCUCAAGAAGACUUUAUUCCAUCUCACAUACCUCCAAACCAAACACUUAAGCAUACAUCAAUCUUCCAUAAAAGUGUCCUCCACUAUCCCUAAAAUCCAGAGACGGACCCUUAACAUUUAACAACUGUUGUUAGUAGGCUUUUCAAGUACAACUACACAUUUACAACUUGAAUCUCUAGGACCAACUCUUAACCAGAUCAUGAACAAUCAAUCCUCUAUCUUUGUAUCUUUAACAACCUUUUUUGUCAUAAGGAAACUUCGUCUGGAAUUGAUUCCAUCACCAUGCAUAGCUUAGAAAGGUUGGAUGCAAGCUCCUCAAAUAUCAACCAAGUAGGACUAUGUUGAGACAAAAACUGAUAUCCAGAAAACAACUCUAAGCUGUAAUGUAUAAAGGUCAAGUAGGAAACUAAACAUGUCACAAAGAACGCAAUUUCUACACAAUGCAAUUUUUAAAUUGGAAAAUAGAAAUGGUAAAACCAAAAUUACAAAAGUAUAAGGAACAGAUUUUUCCUUUUAAUAAAGUAUUAUUUACAGACACAUUCAUGUGCAGACUUAAAAAUGAGAAAUAAACAAGUAAAUUAUUGACUUACCCAUAGGUCCAGUCCGAGUUUCCCUGCUGUAAUCUAUCAAGUCUUUCAUACUAUUUACAACUUCUGAUAUCUGCAGUAUAAACAAGAAACAAUAAACUUAAGUUUGUUGUGCUCACUCUGUUUGAAUAGAGUUCAUUGGAGAUUAUUCUCCAAAUGAAACUCAAUUUUUCUGAAUUUAGCCCUUGAUAAUCACUCCUCCAGAAGUCUGUUUUUCUAUAAAAAUAUAAAUGCACCAUCAAACAUGAGCCAGUGAUUACUGGGCCCCAACUCCUCUCAGGAGAUCUUAUUAAAACAUGAACAGAAACCAGCAUAAAUGCUAUAUUUGCUGUCAAAUUGAGAGAAACAAAAAUAAGAAAGGCUUCCCAGUUAAAAUAACCAAGGCAAACGGGGUGUUCUGAUCACAAAUUCAACAGUCAGGGAUAGGUAACACAAAAAGACAUGGUAGUUCCGGAAAAAGAAACCAAGUGCAAUUUGAAGCAUUAAAAGGAAAUAAAUACAUAAUUUCCCACAAUAAAAUAUAUAUUAAGAUUAAACACUAAAAAUAUAUGGGGUAAGCAAUGUCUUAAGAAUAGAACACUACCUGUAGGCAGCGCACAUAUCUCUUUGUGUAUCCUAAAUCAUUAACCAAUGGUACUUCUAAGGCUUUAGCCAACUGACGGGCCGAUGCAACAAACCUGGAAAAGAAGCGUGUAAAAAUAUUAAAAGAAAAAACACAGACUUUCAUAAAAAGCAAAACCUAAUUAAGACAAAAAGAAGUCAAGUAAAAGGACUAGUGCAAUCUAAAUUAUAGACAGUAGACAAAACAGAAGAAAGUAGAGUAUAUAAGAAUUGGAAAUGAAUGUAUAAAGCAUGAAACACGUCCCAGAGUGUUGUAACAGUGAGACUCACACGAAAAGGCACCAAUAUUUGUCAGGAAAAAGAUUGUCAAUGAGAAUGAAACAAAAAAGAAAUAUACAAAUCUAUACAUUUGAAAUAGAUCCGCCUAACACGCAAAAAAAAUCCAUUUACGUUUUAAUUGAGACAAUAAAAAAUAUAUUAGUGCAAUAACUUGUUCACACUAAACAAAAAAAUUGUUGUAAAAAAUACAUUGAAAAUUAAGGAAAUUUUUGUAAUACUCAAACUUCAAGAGGGGAGCUAAAAUCCCAACAAAACAAAAGGGUUUUACACAGAAAACAUUAAAAGUAGAAUGGCACUUGAACAUUAAAAUACUACCUGACUAUGCUAAAAAGAUUACAAACAUUACUCAACACAGCAAAUGUUACUAAUUGCAAUCACCAGAUAAAAGCAAAAGUUACAAGAACAUAGUCUAGCCACAUGCCUAAAUCCAAAAAUAAAUACAAAACACAUCGCUCAUUCCACUGUUGAGGUUAAAGUAAAUGGUGAACUGAGAUCUGAGAACAGUGAAGGCAGCAGAAGUGCAGACAGCAAUGUUAUCAAGAUCAGGAGGAGGGUUACAAGAAUGUAAAAUGUAGGAUCCUAACAAGGAUCAUAAGAUCCUACCAAAAUUAUAUAAAUAUAUUUCAAUACACAAGUAUGAUAAUGAUAGUAUAAUUGGAUAAUACAUAUAACAAAAUCCCUGAAAUUCAGUUAAAAGUUUAAAUAUCUAUUUUACAAGUAUUGUAUAAUUUUAUAAAUAUUGUAAAGUAUUAACAAUAUCUCAGUCUAUUCUAAAUAAUAAUUAUGAAAAAAAACAGAGAACAAAUAUAUCAUAAAACCCAAAGAAUAUAAGAAAAUAUCUUCAAAUAAAGGCAAAAAUGAACCCAACUCAUGAGUUUUCAAGGGAAAAUAAAAAGGGAAAGAAGACAGCCAAAUUGUAGAAUGAAAAAUAAGUGUUUAGAGUACAGAUGCAAUGGUUUGCCAAGAACAGAAUACAAAAGGAAAAAUACAGCAAAUCGCUCUUAUCAACAAAAAUCCAAGCACUCAGUCACAGUCCCAGCAAGUCAGAGAGAGUGAGAGAGCCAAGUACAAGAGCCGGAUACUGAACGCAGAUCAUAGACACAGGGGUCGAGUGAAGACUGAGAGAGGCCAAGAGACAGAAUCGAUUGAGGGGAAGAAUACAAUUUGUCCAGGUCUGAAAAUGGGGGAGAAGCAGAAACUAUCAAUUUAGGACAACAAAAAAAACUAUUAAAACAAAUUUGGGUAAAACCAGGUCACGCAACCCAACCCAAAAAGCAAAGCUGGCAAUACCAGAAAAAGAACCAAUUACACCAACUCAUUCCGAUCCUACUAGGAUGUUGUUACAUCCUACCACUUCAUGAUCUUACUCAAAAUGCAGCUUGUUAACAGGAAGCAAGAUUGCAAAAUGAAGCAAAAUCACCAUUUUAAUUGCAAUCCUGAUAACACUGCCUCACAAACAAAGAAGAAGCUGACAGAGAAGGUCAUCAAUGAGUCUCCAACUGAGAUUGUAAAUGAUAGUUAUUUUCUUACGUUGAAUCUGAAACUAAAAAAAAAUGUUUUUUAUGACAAGAACACAGUUCUUAUGUAAGAACUGUUCUUACAUAAGGAGUCCAACUCAACGAACGUGCAAUCUAAAAAGAACCAGUUCUUAUUUGUACAAACAGCAGAAGCAACUCCAGUUAGAGUUGUGCUAAUGUACAUAAGCAUGCUCAAACAUUCAUAUGAAUCCCUUUUCAAAAGGGUAAAGGAAGUAUGUCAUGCCCCCAUCCCAUGGUCUUGCAAUAAGAAAGGUACAAGAUAAUUAAAACAAAAUUAUCCAGUUUUAAAUUAAAAUUAAUAAAAGACACAAAAAUUAACAUAAAGGAUAAAUGGUAAAAUUAACUUACAUAUUGCAAUUAUUUUGUAAUUCUGGAACAGAUAUAUUUGGUGUUGCAUUUUGAGUAAAAGCCUGGUAUUUUUGAGCAACUGCUCCAAGCUGGCUAACCUGUACAUACAAUAAUAAUAAGAUAAGAAAAUACCAUAAUGUAUAAUAUAAUAUCUAAAUGCAUAGCAAAGCACUAUUCUGUCAAAAUCUCUACAGUACGAAACCAGCAUUACAAAAGGCAUUCCUAACAAAAUAAUAAUCAUAACAUUAGCAACAAGACUAGGAAUCCAUAGAUCCUAGCAAAGAUCUCAUCCAAUUUCAAUCUCAAAACUUAUUCCACACCUACAGUAAUAGAGAAAAAAUUAUCAAGACUAACAAAAACCAACAAAGAGUAAAUGGGCUCAUUAAUCAAUAUCAAUAUGCAAAGUAUGUUUGUCUAUUUAAAUAAACAGAUAAUAUAAUAGUUGUAAUUAAAGUCCAAUCAGAAUGCAAUUAAUGGCAACCUGUGGUAUUAACAAUCUCCUCGGUAUGAGCUCCUCAUGGCGCCGAGCACAAAAUUCCCAAGAACAUAUCUGCAAAUGAAAAUGCCAAUUAAUCUUUCUUUCAUAUAAAGAAAAUCAAUAAUGACAAUAAAAUAUAAUAUAAGCUGUCAAAUUAUUUUAAUAUUAAUAUUUUCAUAUAUAACCUUCAGGUCUGGAGAGAAAACUAUUCGAAGUUGACCAUCACGAACAACUCGAAGUUGCUCAAAAACGCUUUCUUGUAUUGCUUUUGCGUAAUCUAGAACUAUCUGACCAGAGGUAUUAUGAUAUUCACGAGGCAUGUCAACAUAAAGUAGUUCUUCCAAAGUACCACUUUCAUACUUUAUCUUGAAAAGCCGGGGAAGAACCUCAACAGUUGCUUCUGGGAAAAGAGAAUGACAGCUAAGAAAGGCAAUAAGCACUACACACCCAUUCACAUAUAUUUCAAGAUGGCAACAUUUUCAAACAGAAAAGAACCAAAAAGUAGAUUGAACAGGGACAUAUACGAAGAAAUAACCCCAAAAACCAAAACUUACCAAAACCACGUCCAGGCUUGCGAUUACAUAUUUCGCAGUGCCAUACAUCCUGAAAAUAUUUAAAGAAUUCAUCUGUAAUGUUAAACUGACGAGUAGCAACAAUGAAACUGCUAUAUUUGGUUCCUUGAAUACCAGAAUUUAUCCAUUGCAACAUUCAAAGCAAUUUGUUACUGAAGUUUUAAAGCGACAUUAUAUGGAAAUAGUGACAACAAAAUCAUGAUGCCAAUCAGUAAUCAGUAAGUAUAGUACAACUGUACAAUCAAUAAUGCAAUGAGAUGAUUAAUUCAUAAACUUAGAUAGGGUUAUACAUGACUCAAAAUUAAUAAGACAAACAAUUUUGUUUAUAAGGUUUUCUCUUUGAAGAUACCUGAAGGGAAACUCCAGUUGUUUGUCUUCCACUUCCAUACAUAGAAACACACCAUUUCUUCUUGGCAUUAGGAGCAAAAUACUCAGCAACAAACUUUCUCCAGAACUCAAUAUUGUUAUCCUGCAUGAAAUCAAAUUGAAAAUAUCACUUAAAUGAGACUUCUUGUAUGCAGAAAUAGAGUAAGGUCAAUACAUAGGAUCAUAGUUGGUUCUUACUUCAGGUCUAUGUUGUUGCUGAUACAUGUAAUGUGUCAGCCGCCUAGCACACAUUCCGGGUUCAUAUGCUGGUUUCACAGUUCUCAUUAGCAUGCUCUGCUGUUGAAAUUGCUGCGGUAGCUGGGACCGUUGUUGAGGCAUUGCCUUCAAGAGUUGUUGCUGCUGAUGUUGUUGUUGUAACUGUAAAAGCCUGUGCUGGCGCAAAAGAUUGAUCUGGGCAACAGUAGCCUGAGAUGAUUGACUAGACAUGUGGAGGAAUUGCUGUUGCUGUUGUUGUUGUUGUUGCUGCUGUUGCUGCUGCAAAAAUAAUGGUUGAUCAGAAUGCUGAGGCUCCAUUUUAACAGGUCCCAGUGUUCUCAUUGUCUGCAUUUGUUGUGGCUCCAAUUUAACUGAAGAAAGGUUCCUUAAUGACUGCAAUGGCUGCUGCUGCUGUCCAAGUUGAUCGUUGCUUACCUGGGGCUCUAGCUUUACUGGUCCCAUACCACCUAUUCCUCCUCGAAUUGAUUGAAAAUGCUGCUGUGGAGGCAGCUGCUGCGUAUUUAGAGGGCCAGAGAACUGUUGCAUUGACUGCUGACUGUGUUGGAAAUUUUGAGGUUCAAGCUGUUGGGAAUGUUGUUGAUGUUGUUGAUCAGGCAACAUCUGGUUACUAGAAGGGUUUGAAAAUUGUUGACCCUGACCUUGACCAGAGGAAGCAGCAUUUACUAUAUUUGACUGUACAAACGUGGAAGAAGAAUUAUUGAAGCUCAUUCCAUUGCCAACAGUGGAGAGUGGAUCUGUUUCAGCUCCAGUAUCAAUUGCUCCCCGUUGGCUACUUCCUGGACCAGAUAGCCCAGGAUUCUGAGCUCCAUUUGGGAAAGAUUGAUUCAGUAUGGAAGUUACAUUGGACAUAUUUCCUAGAAUGUUCAUGUUGUUGAACUGAGUACGAGGAGACACAAGUGAAGGGAAGGAUGUCUGCGGCAUGGGACCCCCUUGAGCUCCUAGCAUUCCAGAAUUUGAUCUUAAAAGAGAUGGUGAAACAGACUGGGCACCACCAAUGGGAGUGGGUGGCCCCGGAGGCACCAUCUUUCGAUGUCACGGCCUUCAAGCAAUCACCUAAGCAUAACAACUAAGUUACUUAAAACACAAGUUCAACAAAGUACAAUUACACAACAGCUUGUGAGAAACUGGGCACGUUCACAACGCUCAACCCAGAAAGUACUACUUCAACCCCGAGUUCAAGGCAAAAGUCUUCACUGUGAUCCAACAGAAGUACGUGGUGUUGAGUUUUACCAAACACAAGCCAUACACCAAAGAAAACCAAAACCAAGAAACAUUCUUUGAUUCUGAACAUUACAAUUGCGCUACCUCCCUUAAAGGAGCAACCUCCAAACAGCUCUCGCAUGAAUCUCUGUACAACACAUGACUUCUCAGAUCCAACCCAUCCAUCAGUGCAUACAAUUAUACCCAAGAAAAACCAUUAACAAAAAAGAAAGCCCGAAAAUUUCAACAAACAAUACUAUCAAACUAAACACUAAAAGAAACUCUAAAAAUUAAAAGAAAAAAAUUAAUCAAAUUAAGACACAUCUCACACCAAAAUCAAUAAAACCCGAAGAAUUACCAUUUUUUAAAAGCCCAAGCUUAAUUGAAAAAGGGGAGAAAAGUGUAAAGCAUAAACUUCAUCAAAGUAGUGACAAAAAUAGCAGCCGAUCGAAGCUUAGCUUAAGCGAAUCAGCGAUCCAGAGCUACAAAUGACACAAAUGAGGCGCAGUAUUGAGAAAAAACAGGGACAGACACUUAGACGAAAGGGUGAGAACGUCGGAAGUGUAAAGUUAGCAGUUGCCAUGACUCACCGAGAGUUGAAAUUUGCGAAAUUGAAUAGUGGCAGAAUCCGGUGAGUGAUCAACAGAGUGAGAAUGAACGAAAAGCGUAGAACUUUGCAGUUGGGGUUUCCGAGUUCGCAUCCAGAAUAAGUGUCUAGGGUUUUCUCAGUGCAGAAGCAGCAGCAUCUUCUUUAAUCUCAGUGAAACGCACUGUUGGUGUUGUUGCUGCUGGUGCUUCAUGGCGUGUGUUCUAGAGAGAGAAAGUGUAGAGAGAGAAAGAGAGAAAGGGUCAUUGCGGACGUCAAGAUUGUAUUCGAUCAGAUUGAAUUUUCUUCAUUCUUUGGUCCUUCCUUUUCGCUUCUAUUCCCUUUCUUUCUCUCUCUUCCUCCUCUCUCACAAUGAAGUCAAAUGCCAUUCCACUCUCGUUAUGCACAUGCACCAUGUUGUUCAUCAUCAUCAUUCAUAAUGAUGUUAUCUCAUCAUCAAUAUCUUUGUGCAUCAGUAUCAUCAUCAUUAUCUCUACCACAUACUAAUAGCUAGUGCAAUACUAAAUUACGUAUAUAUCCUUUGUUUAUUCUUCUUUUUACGGAGGUAAUCCCUCUCCGUUUUAAUGUGUGGCAUGCUUUGUGACCAUUAGGUGGAUGAUUGCUUUCACCUAACCUAAAAUCUGUGAUUAGCUUAAUCAACUCUAUUUUUAUAAGAUAAGCAUUUUGUUACAUUAAUAUUUUUAUUUAGGUCAGAACAAAUAUUUCUGUAUAACUAUAAUUUAUAAUGAAUAAAUCUUUAUAUUACAAUAAAAAAAGUUAUAUUAAAUAUUUUUUAAGUAUAAGUUAUAUUUCAGUAUAGGAUAAAUAAUUUAUAUUAUAAUAUAAGAUUAUAUUUAGGAUAUUAUUAAGAGAAGGAAUUUUUUAGUUUUUCAAAAAUAUAAAAUUGGAAAAGAACAUUUCUUAUAUUUGAUUUACCUUUUAAAAAAUAUAACUUUCAGAAAAUAUUUUUUUAUGAGAAUGAUUAAAUGUUCUCAUAAAAGCAUUCCUAUAUAGAUUAGAAUAGAAAUUAAGUUAAAAAUUAUCAUAUUGCUUUAAUUAAAUUAUUCAAUGCAGUAACAUAUUAAAAAAAAUUAAAAAUAGUACUCCUUAGUUUGUAAAAAGUUAUAUAAAUAUUUUUUAAAAAUAUUUUUUAUCAAUCAAAUAUCCUUGGAAUAAUAAUUUCUAGGAUUGUAUUGAUUGUGAUCAUGAUUUUCGAAAAUAAACACCUCUUAAUUAUUGAUCACAUUAUAAAGAAUAUUUGAAGUUCAAUUUAAAAUAAAUAUAUAUAUAUAUAUAUUAAAAUAUUUAAACUGUUCAGAAAAUAAGUUUUUUUUAAGAAUUUCUUGAUCAAAUUAAACUUGACAUUAAAAUUAAAUUUGAUUAAUAUAUAAAUCAAUAAAUAUCUAAUACAUAAAAUUAAGAAAAGGCAUGUUACCAAAUAAAAGCAAUAAUAAUAAUAACUCCUAAAACUGAUCUCCUUUAUAAAAAAAAACCUUGUAAACCGUUUUGUUAAAGAAUAAUUCUUAAAAUAAAAACUUCCAUUUUAUAUGAUAAUCAAAACUUAUAAUAUAAAACGUAAUUAUAACUAAUAAAUAUUUUUGUAUUAAAUAAAAUGUAUUACAAUUAAAAUUCUAAAUAAAUAUAUUAAAUAUUCUAUAUUAGUUUUAUAAUAAAUAAUUAAAAUUUUAGCAUAGUUAUUUUAAAAUUUAAGCAAUCAAAAUAUUCAGAAAAAUCAAUAUAAAUUAAAACAACUGUUUGUGAGUGUAUUAGUUAUCAUUCUGUAUAAUGACAGUAUUUUUAAUUGUUUUUUUACACGUUUUAUCUAUUUCGAUCUACCAUUUACAACAUCUUUUAUUUCUAACUUGAAUUUUGAUGCUCUUACAAUAAAUAAUUAAUGAUAAAAGUAAUAUCGUAUUGUGAUAUGAAUUAUUUAUUAUCAAAUUUAACAAUAUUAUAAUUAAUAUAUUUUAAAAUAUCUAUUUAUUAUAAACUUGGUUAGAUAGAAUAACUUAAUAUUCAUUUCGUACAAGAAGCAACUAAGAUACUAGUAUACAUAACACUAAAAGUAUAAUAGUAUGACUUAGAGAGAUAUCUUCAUUAUUUUUGUAAAAGAAAUAGGUAAAAUUAUAUCCAAAUGAGAGAAUUAAUGUUGUUUAAAGAAAUUCUAAUUGCGAGAAUAAAGAUAAUGAAUAUAUACAUAGGGGUUUCUGUUCUUGGGUAAAUUUAUUUGGUCUUCAUAUAUUCCGCCUUCCAAAACUUUUGUUCUUUGGCUUCCUACAUAUUAACAUAUUCAAAAUAAAGAUCUACAUAUUUGUUUUAUUUGUACGCUUUGUGAAAAACACGAUGAAUCUAUUCAACAUUUAUUUUUUGAAUGUGCUAACGUUUUGCGUAUUUGGAGUUGGGUUCAACACAUUUUUCCUACUUAUGAUUUCUCUAAUAAGGAUUAUCUUCUUUCUUUUAUUAAGAGUGAUGGUAUUCCGUUGGUUAAAUUGGUUAAACUAGCUGUGAUAACUUUUUCUAUUUGGAUGAUAUGGCGUAUGAGGAAUUAUGCUCAUUUUCAUGAUAAGAUUGAGGUUUCUAGGGCUAUUUUGGUUAUUAAAGAUUUAACUUGUCUAGUGGGUAGUUCGUCUAAAGCUUCAAUGAAGAAUGAUAUGUUCGAUUUCAAUGUGCUCAAGUUUUUUGGUAUUAACACUCGUACUGGUAAAGUUCUACGUCCUCUUCUUGUUAGAUGGGAGUUUCCUUCACCACAAUGGGUUAAAAUUAACAUUGAUGGGGCUGCUAGGGGUUAUCCAGGUCUUGCCGCUUGUGGAAGUAUUUUUCGUGCGAGUAUGGGGAAGUUUAUUGAAGCUUGUUGGGUAUGAAGCCAAGACUAAUUGGGUUGGGCUGACUAGACACAUGUUUAGUGAGUGGGCUUAAUUAUUAUGUCCCUUUAUUAUCUCUAUUUAUCUCUAUUUAAAGAGAUCAUUGUACUUGUAAUUAGUGUGCAACAGGAUAUAAUGUAAACCUAAUAGUUGCCCGGGUGGAUGUAGGUUGCAGUUGGCGACCGAACCACGUUAAAUCUUGUGUCGUUUAUUUUUCUGUAGUUGAUUCGUGAUUAUGUGUGUUGUUUUCGUGUGCGUUUUUCCCAUCAAGUGGUAUCAAGAGCCUUGGUUCGUUUACACACUAGAGAUCCAAUCAGCAGAAAUUAAUCGACGAGAUGUGAAAAUUGCGGUUGUAGUAGCGUCCCAGAGUUAGGGUUUCGCAGAGGCGGGAACAAUGUCCCAAAGUUAGGGUUUCGCAGAGGCGGCAACAACAUCUCAAAGCUAGGGUUUUGCAGGGGUUGCAGCAGCGUCCUAAGGCUUAGGGUUUCCCAUAUCUGCUUCACAACAGCGGUGACCAGCGACGGUGGUGGUGCAGAGCGCCAGGGCAGUGGGGACUACGACCAGGUCUGUUGGUGAGUGAUUUUGGGUGGUGCAAUUUUUGUGUUCUUGAUUUAAAAAAAAAAGAUUGCCAAGAUCUGAAAUUAGUUGUACCGAGUAUCUCGUCUAGUCAUUUGAGAUGGCAGAAGAAGGGAAGUUUCAAAUUGAAAAUUCGAUGGUACAAAUUUCAGUUGGUGGAAAGUGCAAAUUGAGGAUUUGCGAGUUCAGUUACUGAGCACAUCAAUAUUCGAUCUUAUCCAGACUUACGUCAGUGGGCAUUAAGUUCGAUGAUGAAGUUCAAGCUUUACUAUUGCUAUUGUCUUUGCCUGACAGUUGGUCCGGAACGGUUACAGUAGUUACCAGUUCAGCGGGAUCUGAUUGAUUCACUUUUGAGAAGAUUCGUGAUCUCAUUCUUGGCGAGGAUGUCCAAAGAAGGAGUUCUGGGGAAUUAUCUAGUGAAUCGCUUUAUGUCAUCAGAGGAGAGAAAUAUCAGAGAUAGUGGGAGCAAGAACAAAAGAAGGAGUCAGUCAAAGACUUGGGAUUGCUCAAGUGUAACAUGUUGGAACUGCAAGGAGGUGGGGCAUUUCAGGAAUCAAUGNNNNNNNNNNNNNNNNNNNNNNNNNNNNNNNNNNNNNNNNNNNNNNNNNNNNNNNNNNNNNNNNNNNNNNNNNNNNNNNNNNNNNNNNNNNNNNNNNNNNACGAGGACCUCUUAGUCUGUUGCGCGGAGAGCAGUGUGGAUUCCUGGGUCAUGGAUUCUGAAGCAUUGCAGAAUCUAGUUAUUGGAGACUUUGGAAAGGUAAGACUAGCGGACAAUAGAACUCUUGAUGUUAUGCGGGCAUGGGUGACAUAGUGUUGAAGACACCAAUUGGUUUUUGGACUUUGAAGGAUGUCAGAGUUGUUCCAAGCUUGAGGAAAAGUUUGAUUUCUGUUAGGCAGUUGGACGAACAGGGACAUGAAGUGAAGUUCGGAAAUCAGCAGUGGAAGGUCGUCAAGGGAAAUCUUGUCAUGGCCUGCGAAAGAAAGAGAGGUUCGUUGUAUAUAGUCAGAUUACCGUGUCUGAGGGAGUGACCAUCCCAGUUCAGAAGAUAAACAAAGUCCGGUUCACAGAAUCUCGUGGGUAGAAUAGGGUUGUCUUUACAAGAGAGAAACCCAAAGCCACAGGUCAGAUUCAAGAUGAACGAGCAUGGAAAGGUUCAGGUAGACCAGUCAAAGGUACUUGUGACAGUGGGAGCACGGGUCAUGCUUCAGCUAAGGUUCCUAGAUGACAGUGGGUUAGGAGAACCAGUAUUCCAACGGUUGAAACUUCUCCAGAAAAAUUCUUGUUGAAUAUGGAGAGUGUUUGUUUUCAGGUUGUUCCAGGAUCCGGCAGUUCCUGUAAGUGGGAGUCGGUAGGAACAAAGAACGGGUCAGUGACUGACAUGUUGAAACUCAGGUUGUUCCAGGAUCUGACAGUUCCUGUAAGUGGGAGUCGGUAGGAACAGAGAACAAGUCAGUGACUGACGUGUUGAAACUCAGGGGAGUUUUAACGAAGUUUUCAAAAUGAUUAAGAAGGCUGGUGGCAACUAGAGGUGGAACAGUGAGUUCCAUCGACAAAUUACAGAAGUACAUGUACACAGUUGAAGCGCAAGUGAACAUUGUUCCGUGACUUCAAGUGGAAGAUUGUUGGUAUGAAGUCAAGACCAAUUGGGUUGGGUUGACAAGACACCAUGUACACAGUUGAAGCGUAGGUGAACAUUGUUCCGUGGCUUCAAGUGAGAGAUUGUUGGGUAUGAAGCCAGGACCAAUUAGGUUGGGCUGACUAGACACAUGUUUAGUGAGUGGGCUUAAUUAUUAUGUCCCUUUAUUAUCUCUAUUUAAAGAGAUCAUUGUACUUGUAAUUGGUGUGCAACGGGAUAUAAUGUAAACCUAAUAGUUGCCCGAGUGGAUGUAGGUUGCAGUUGGCGACCGAACCACGUUAAAUCUUGUGUCGUUUAUUUUUCUGCAGUUGAUUCAUGAUUAUGUGUGUUGUUUCCGUGUGCGUUUCCCAUCAAAGCUUUCUCUGCGUUUCUUGACGUUCAGACUGCUUUGGUUGCUGAAUUUUAUGGAGUUAUAUAUGCUUUGGAGGAAGCUCAAAAGUUGGGUCUUACUAAUGUCUGGCUGAAAUGUGACUUUGUCUUGGUUUGUGUUGCGUUUACCGCUAGGACAAAUGUUCCUUGGAUGCUUCGUAAUCGAUGGAAUACUUGUCUUAAUUACUGUGGACAGGUUUAGGGUUACUCAUAUUUUUCGUGAAGGGAAUGUGUGUGUUGAUAAGUUAGUUAAUUCAUGAUUUAUUCAUAGAGAAUCCUUUCAAUGAUAUAAUAGGCUUCCAUCUAGUUUGUUAUUAAAAUUAUUUAUUAAUAGGUAUAGUUUACCUAUAUAUCGUUUUUGUUAACAUAUGAGUUUUGAUCUAGUCUUUCCAUAUUUUUAUAUUUUCUUUCUUUUUCUUUUUUUAAUAAUAUUUUUUUUCAUGACAAAUGAUUGUUGUUAUUUGAUGUGUCAAUCCAGCUGAGAUGUCAAGUAGUAUAGUGAUGCAUAACAUGAAAGUUUGUAUGAAAAAAAUAUAAUAAUGAAACUUCUACUAUUUCAUCUUAUUUAUUAUAAUUUAUAAUAUAAAAAUGUAAUCAUAUCAUUUUUUUUCUUUUAUUUACAUUUAAGAUUUUGUUUACAUUAUGUUUAUUAGUACUAGGAAAUAAUUGCUUCAACUUUAAAAAUAAUGGAAGAUACAAUACAAAUAUUUUAAAAAAUAAUGGAAGAUACAUCUUUGUUGAGGGUUUUUCCUUUUAUACUCUUUAUAUUUAUUUCCAUCUUCAUUUUUGCAGUAUCAUGUUUUACUAAGUGGGUAGUAAUGUAAUAAUUAAAACUAUUGUUUUUUUAUGUUACUCACUUGCACACUUUCAAGUCUUUUUUUAUUGAAAUUAUAAUGUUUAAAUGUAUAUGCAUAUGUAAUUAAUUUAAUUUUUUUAUAGUUAUCCUCUUAACCACAUACUAUAAAUGAAAAUGGAUAACUUGUAUAUAUAUAAAAGUUCAUCAAGUAUGAAUUUAUUAAUUAUAAUCACAAUAUUACAUAAAAAUAUCAAUAAUGGUAUAAAAUGGUAUAAAAGAACUUUAAACAAAUCAAUUGAAUAUAGUGAUAAAUUGAUAUCCUAUAAUCUGGAGUGACCAAAUAAUGAUUGAUUUUUUCUAUUAUAAUUUUGUGACUGAUGAGAAAAAUAAUCGUCAAGUCACGUACAACUAGAAUUUUCACUAUUAUUUAUAUUUAAUCAUUAUUUCAAUUACACAUAAAUUUAACAACUAUUUUUUUAACUUUGAUGAACUAUUUUGAUAGCUAAAAGUCAAUUUUGUGUGUGAACUAAUUGAUAAAGUUCAUAAUAUAAUUAACAUUAAAUCAUAAAUAAUUGUAAAUCAAAUUCAUCUAAUAUCAUAUAUCAUAUUACAAUAUAUAAAAAAUAACAAAUAUUUUUAAAAUAUUCAUAUUAAAUUCAAACUCAAAUACUAUCCUAAUACUUAAGGUCAUAUGUACCAUAUUACAGGUACAAACCACCAUAAUCAACUCACUUUUAAAAGACUAGUAUUAAUAUGCUCUAGCUAGUAUAAAUUUUACCUCACAAUCUUCUAUAAUUGGAUAAUAUAAUAUUCAAUAGCCAUUAAUUACUCACAUCACUCUCUGUCUUUAUUCAAAUCAUAUUAUAAAAAAACUACUUAAUAUUCAAUCAUAUUAAUAUUUCUGAUUUUAAAUAAUUUUUAAUAGAUAAUUAUCAUUACAUAAGAUGGAAUAAUCUACUUAAAAUAAUGAAAGGAUAGUCUAAAUAUGAUUUUGAAAAUAAAAAAAGUAUAUGAUAAAAUUAUAACAUUACUGAACUUGUUAUAUGAAAAAUAAUAUUAAAAUAAUAACAAUUAAAAAUAUAUCUAUAUUUUUAUCACAUCAAAAUAGUAUUAAAAUAAUAAAUAUUAAAAAUAUAUAUGAUUUUUUAAAAUAGUAUUAAAAUAAUAUACGUGAUAAUUAUUUUUUAAAUAAAAAAUGUUAUAUAGUUAUUUUUUAAUGAAAAAAAGUUAUUUAAUUAUUUACUUUAUUGAAUAAAUAAAUUAUUAUUUUUAUUAAAAGAAAAAUUUAUCUAAUUAAAAAUGUGAUCUUUAUAUAAUAGUAUAGACAAUAUAAUAUUAAAUUGAUAUAUGGGGUAGUUAUUUUAUAAAUGAAGAGGUUAUAUAAUUAUAUUUUCAUAAAUAGAUAUUUUUUAAUUAUUAAAGGAUAAAAAGUUUUAAUUAAAAAGUAAUAAUAAAAAAAUAUAUAUUAAUUUUUAAAUAUAUAAAAGCAUGAAGUAACAAGAUGACUCAUUAGGUUUACGUGGGUCCACGUUGCUCUUUAUUUAUUUUACAAUUGACACGUCCAAGUCUUGAAGGUCCCUCCACUUAAUUCUAUCUCAAAUCACACACAUUUUAUCUUUACUCAAAUUAAAAAAUUUAUAUAUUGCAUACAAUACAUAAAUUUUUAAAUAUAACUAAAAGAAUUAUUAAAUAAUAAUAAAUUUAGAAACUAAAAAUAAUAUAUUAACUACAUUAAAUAUUAUUUUAAAAACUAAAAAUUUAUUAUAUCUAAAAUAACUUUUAUUAUUAAUAAAAAAUUAUAAAAUAUUUUAUAAAUUUAUAUUUAAAUUAUUUAUAUAAUAUCUUAAUUAUUAAUAUUUUAAAUUUUGAGUUAAUCUUUAAAAUAUUAAUAUGGAUUAAAUUAUAAUAGUUAAUUGUUAGAUAUCAAUUUAAAAUUGUUUUAUAACUUUGUAUUAAUAAUACAAUUAUUUAAAUAUUAAUAAUUUAUAAAAUAAUAUAUAAUUUAAUUAAAUAAUAAUUAAUUUUUUUAUAAUUUUAGAAAACACUCUUAAAUGAAUGUUUUAAAUUUGUUAUGAAAAGCUGGUACAUGUUGAAUUCAAUGCCAAGUACAACCUUUUUUUUAAUCAACAAUUGCAAGUACAACCUGAUUUGCCUUUUCACAUCUUUUAUGAAUAAUUAGUUACUAAGGCUUUACAACACUCUCGCAUUCUAACUAAUGUUCUCUUUUUAAGAAUAUAUAUAUCCUUUUAUAAGAGAACUAAAUAAUUUAUUAAAAUGAAAAUAUGAUGAAUAUAAUAUAUGCAGAAACUAUAAAACCUGGACGAGAUUGGAUAGAAUAGGAUAGGACGCAAACCAAACACAAGAACAUGGAAUCCGGUAUAUAUGUAUAUAUCUUUCAUUCAUCACAUCACUUGAUAUUGGAAGAAAUGUUACUUUCUUUCUUACCAGUUUUUUUGAAAUUUAUGCAAGCUAUUCUUGUGGCUAUUAAUUUUUUCAUUCUUUUUCCUGAAUCACCAACUCUUCAUUUGGGACUUUUAUUCUUCUUACUUCCUUUCCAUUAAUAUAUAAAUAUAUUAUAAUAAAAAAAAGUAUGGGGUACAUUUUUUUAUCCCAAAAAUAAUAUUAUUUUGUAAAUAUAUAUUAAAGUGAAUUAAUUACUGAAAAUAAAAAAUUUAAAAAUAGAUAAUUAAUAUCUGAAAAAUGAAAAUGUGACAUUCGAAAAAUAAAUUCUAUUAAAAUAAAAAUCAAUCAUAUAUUUUUUUAUAACCACUUAAUAUAUUUAAGAAAAGAAGAAUCAAAUCCUGAAAUAUAUUUUUCAUUUUUAUAAGUAACAAAAAUAUGAUAAAAAGACAUUCUAUUACAAAAAUUAGACCAUUAUUUUUUAUAAUUACUCAAUACAUUAAACAAAAAUAAACUUAUGAUUAUUUUUAAAAUAACUAUUAUAUUUUAACAUACAUUUACAAAUCAAUUGAAAAAAUUACUAUAAUAAGUCAAAGAAAUAUAAUGUUAAAAAAUAUAUUCAAAUAAGUGUUGCUUUUUUUAACAUCCUUAAUUUUUUUAAUCCAUAUAUAAUAAAAUAAAAGUAAAACAAACGCUAUCUACUUAACGUACGAAUAUAUAUAUAACUAUCUCAUAAUUGUAUCUAAAAUCAUAAAGAUUUUAUUAUAUAAAUAAAAAAAUUUAAAAAUAAACAGACGGCUCACUUAAGAGUUCUAUUACCUGCAAUCUCAUAUGCUUCCGUGUACAACACGAUCAUCACAUAUAAAGAAACAAACACAAACAAAUAACAGGAUAAGUUAGCUAUAACAAAAUUUUCUAUAUAAUUUAAAUUUCAAAUUGUUACACAAAAUUCAUAAAUUCUCAUACAAUUUAUCAAACAUUUCACAUAACCAUCAAUUGUCUAUCAACAAUUUCAAAAUUCAUCUUUCUCAUGUCAGUCAUCUACUGACUCACAACACAUAGACACUUAACUCUACUUCUGAAAGACUCGUGCGUUGACUUAGAUUCAGAGAUCUGCACCUGUCAUACUAUCUCACUGUGAAAUCCACACAGCUAUGCGCAUAAAUAAUCUCAAUAUCAUUUCUCUCCUAGUAUGACAGGCUUAAUUCAUAUAACAAGUCAAGUUAGUUAUCUUUCAAACAACUUACCCAUUCAUAUGAACCUCCUUCGACUCUCACCACCUGAAUAAACUCCAUCUAUAUGAUUCCAUUAUCUCAGAAGAGUCAUGAUAUCUCCUUCUAAACGAAUCACUAGUCAAUGCACAUCCUAAACAAUCUUAACACGGUAUUUUCUUUCCUGAAAAUACUAUGUCUUUAUUAAAAUUAAAAUUCAUAUUCUGACUCUCACAAUAUCUAAAUCACACAAUCAAAUCAUACAAAAGUUUAGAAUUUCCAAAUCACACAACAAUUCAUUCACUAAUCAUAUAAACAUUUUAAAAUUUUCUAAACAAUUCAAUUAUAUCUAAAAAUCCACUUAAACACAUAACUAAGUUCCAAAUAUAUGCUUUCUAAAUCAAUCAUCAUCUAAAAUCAAACAACCACUUCUCAUCAAACAUCUCAUUUAAGUAAUUCAACAAAAUAUUAAAAAACAGUUCAACUCAUUUAUAUUAUCAUUCAAACAUUUUAAAUUUUCAAACACAAACACUUUCAACAACUUAUUCACCUUAAAAUCAAUAUAAAAUAUUCAGAAUUAACCAUUUCAAUCAAUAUAUUACUUUACUCUUCAAAAGAGACAAUCCUGCAAGCAAAAAUUUGAACCGGUGACCACGUCACCCCCACAUUCAGAUCUUCUAACUUAGGGUUCUAUAAAAUAAAUAAAACUAGCUUCCCUUACCUGGACUUGAGCAGAUGCUCACUAAGAGCUCCAACCCACCAAAAGCUUAAGGAUAACCUAACCUGCACCAUAAAGUCUUGAUAAAAAAUCUAACUAUAUCACUAAGACCUUGAUCUAGCAGAGACUAAUCUUGAAGAUAAAAACCUCACAUGCAAACUUAAACUAAAAUGCAACCCUAACAAGAUAAAAACUAACUCAAAAGAAAAUGAGCCAAGAAUGAACUUACUCUAUCUAAGAUUCUGCGGGAAAUCUCGUAGAGUUCACUUCCAGGAGUUCAAUGGCAGACUCCGAUCAUUAAACUGAUGAGCGAGGAUGUCAGAAUCUUAGAGAGAUGGUGGUUCUUGUUGGAGAUCCCACAUCGACUAGAGAUUAGAGCCUUUCAUUGUAUAUAAGUGGGUGCAAACCUCAAUCUCAUGAGCCGGUUUUAUGGGGUUGAGUUAGGCUUAAAGUCCACUCUUUCGUAAUAUGAUAUCAGAGCCAUUUCGAGCCUAUCCUAGCGAGUGUUUGUGUUGGGCCUAUCGUGCCACCCGCUAUCGGGCCGCUAUCGGACCACCCAUAAUAUAUAGUCCCACGCGUGAGGGGGUGUGUUGGAGAUCCCACAUCGACUAGAGAUUAGAGCCUUUCAUUGAAUAUAAGUGGGUGCAAACCUCAACCCUAUGAGCUUCGUGCCACCCGCUAUCGGGCCGCUAUCGGACCACCCAUAAUAUAUAGUCCCACGCGUGAGGAGGGUGUGUUGGAGAUCCCACAUCGACUAGAGAUUAGAGCCUUUCAUUGUAUAUAAGUGGGUGCAAACCUCAAUCUCAUGAGUCGGUUUUAUGGGGUUGAGUUAGGCUUAAAGUCCACUCUUUCGUAAUAGUUCUUUUAAAAUAAAACCUAAAUAACUAAACUUCUAUUUAUAUAGUUUUUUCCUUUUAAUAAUAAAAUAUUCAGGUGUCAUUUUAAUUGUACAAUUUCUACUCUAAGACUAUUUUUCUCGGUCCUUACAUUUUUACUAAUAUUUUGAAUUAAAAUAUUAAUAUAACAUUGGUAAUUUGCAUCACGACAUUAUUUUUAAUAAAUAUGAGUAUUCAUAGCCAAAUUUAAAUGUUUAUUUUGAUUGAAUAAAAUUUGAAAAGUAUUAAAAUUUAGAAUAUAUCUAAAAAUCAUCUCAUUAUAAUCUAUCAUAUCAUGUUAAUAAAAUUAUCUCCAAACUUAAUUUAAUAUGUCUCAUAAGAGUAAUUUUUGUUUAACAUGUGGAGGAAGAGUUUAUUUUGGUGGUGGUGCUAACCUUAUUCACUAGUCUUGGAGGAAAUAAACUAAAAUAUUUAAUGGAAGGAAACUAUACAAAGAAUACAAAGUGACUCAUUUUGAUGUUUCUGUUUUUAAUUUCAUACAAUAUUGGACACACAUAGAUGUGUUAGAAUUUAUUUGAGAGGUCAAUUUAGAAGGUUAUCUACUGUUUAUAUCACAGUAUAUAAAUACAACAUAAAUCGCAUUUAUUCUUUGUUGUUUUUGUUUAUUGUAAAAAGACAUAUCUUGUAUUUUUAUAUUUUAUUCUAGUUUCUUUGGUAUUAUAAAAAAAUCAUUCAUAUAUAUAUAUAUAAAUUGUUUAAUAUCGUACAUAAUAUUUAAUAGAAUAAAUCUUUAAAUAUAAUAAAGUAGAGGAUGAAAUAUUCAUCAUGAUAUAUUAUUAGCCUGACAUGAAAAAAUAUUUGGAUAUAUAUAUUAAUAAAAAAAUCCAAACCAAACAAAAAAAUAAUAAUUUGAUUUUUUUUUUGUAACCAUACUUAACAUAACUUCUAUUUUUUAUUCAUAUAUAUUUUUAACGGAAAAAUCAAAUCAAACUACAGUCACAAAUGCUGGUGAUAUAUUUGAAAAAUAUAUAAUAUCACACCAUGUAUAUAAUUUUGUCAUGAUAAAAAACAAGGAUGUAUCUAAUUUUACCAUGAUAAAAAAACAAGAUAGUGUUUAGUUCAUCAUGGUUGUGACAAGGAAAGUGGUGAUUUUAGUCUAUCUAAAACCUUGAAGUAUUGUUAAAUCUAAAAUAAACAACUUCAAAUAUUAACUUUCAUCUUAAUUAAAAUAAAAUAAUUUAUACUAGGCAAAGUCUUAACAUAUUUCAUUAUAAGUGUUAUAAUUUAAUUUGACCUAUAAUUUAUCGUAUGAUUUAUUAUUCUUUUAUUUAUUUUAUCAACAAAGAUGAAGAAGGUCAAAAAAAGGUAAUAAUAUACCAUUAAAAAAAAAUAUUACAUGAAAAUAAAAGAAUAAAAAAACCUAUAAAUGGACUUUCCUCUAGUGUCCUAUAUGCUAUCAUCCAACACAAAACUAUCAAACACAAAACUAUCAACCAAAAAAUAGUUUACUAAUCCAAAAUCAAUUACAAAAAUUAUUCAUAUCUUAUACAAAUGUGAAAUUUGUGCUAUUAAGGAGAGUCGUAAUAGGAAGUAAAAAAAAAAAAGACUUUAUAUUUUUUCACAAGAACUUGUUAUUUUGCACUAGACCAAAACGCAAAAGGUAUAUUUUUAUAUAUAAGUUUUGUCAUUCAGUCCCUUCUUUAUAUUGAUUUCAUCUUAAUGAUUGCCAAAAUUCAAUUGGGUGGACACACAAUUAGAAUGAAGAACACGAAUUUAUGAUACUUGUCAUGAAUCUAAAUUUUUCCUUAUCUAUAUGAGUUUCAUUUUAAUGACUACAAACAUUUAAUUGGAGGAUAGACCAGUCAAAUAGGAGAACAAAGAUUUAUGAUACUUAUCAUAAAUUCAAGUUUUCCCAUAAGAGCUUGUUAUUUUGCAUAAGGCCAAGAAGCAAAAGGUCUACCACUAAAGUAUACUGACAAUUAGUAUAUAUAUAUAUAUAUUAUAUAUAUAUAUUUUAUAUAUAUAUAUAUAAUUACAUAGAAUAUCUGACAUUCAGUCUCUUCCUUGUGUUGGUUUCAUUUGUUUGUUAUUCUGGAUAAGGUCAAGAAGCAAAAAGUAUACUACUAGAGUAUACUGACAAUUAGUACCAUAAGACAAUCAAUAUAUAAUUACAUAGAAUGUUUCAUCUUAAUGAUUGCAAAAAUCCAAUUGGAUGGACACAUAGUUAGAAUGGAGAACAAGAAUUUAUGAUACUUAUCAUGAAUCCAAGUUUUUCCUCUUCUGUAUUGGUUUCAUUUUAAUGACUACAAACAUUCAAUUGGAAGAUAGACCAGUCAAAUAGGAGAACAAGUAUUUAUGAUACUUAUCAUGAAUCCAAGUUUUCCCAUAAGAGUUUGUUAUUUUGCAUAAGGUCAAGAAGCAAAAAGUCUACCACUAAAGUAUACUGACAAAUAGUAUAUAUAAUUACAUAGAAUGUCUGACAUUCAGUCCUUCCCUGCAUUGGUUUCAUUUUAAUAAUUGCAAACAUCCAAUUGGAUGGAUACACCAGUCAAAAUAGGAGAACAAGGAUUCAAGAUAUUUAUUAUGAAUCUAAAUUUUUCCAAAAGAGCUUGUUCCCAAAAGAGUUUGUUAUUCUGAAUAAGGCCAAUAAACAAAAAGUAUACUACUAGAGUACACUGACAAUUAGUACCAUAAAACAAUCCAUAUAUAACUACAUAGAAUGUCUCUCAUUCAGUCUUUUCUCUGUAUUGGUUCAUUUUAAUGAUUGCAAAUAUUCAAUUGGAUGGAUACAAAGUCAUAAGUGUAUCUUACUUUUAAGAAAAUAACAAAUUAAUGCAUUUAUUUAUUUAUUUAUUAUGUUUGUAAAAAAAAUGUAUAAAGGGAAGUGCAUCUGUAAUACCUUUGGACCAAAAUCUAAUUCAUUAAAGUAAAAAUUAAUAAAAAAGUAACACUAUAAAAAAAAAAGUAACAUAACAUCUAUUUUUUGUUAAAAUAUUUGCAUGAAUGUUUUUUAAUAAUAAUUUUUUUAGUAAAUAUGUGCUGUAAAUAUUUAAAUAAAUUUUUUGAUGCUAUCCAAGAAUUAAAUUUUUAUUUUUAUUUUAUUUCACCUUAAUUAAUUUUUUAUACUUAUUAGUAUGAUAAUGUAUCACAGUAAAAUUGUUACGUUUUUUUUUUAACUUUGAUUAUUUAAAAUUUUAAUUUAGAAAAUAUUAGUGAAUUAAUAUCUAAAUUAUGUAAACAUAAUAAUAAGUUGUGCUGGUUCCAAAAGAAAAGAGGAAUUAUUGUGUACUAUGAUUUGGGAGGAAACUGUCAAGUUCUUCAAUUGAUUAAUUUCUAGUUAUGGUUGACAAAUAUUUUAAAAUUCAAAAGUCAAAUUUGGCUUAAAAACUUAAAAUGAGGAAAAAAAAUCAGCUGUCAUUUUAUGAUAAUUAUUAUUAAUUACAAAAAAUGUAUUGUUAUUUUAUUUUAAAUAAAAUGAAUUUUUAAAAUUAUAACAUAGCAAUAAACAAUAAAAGAAGGAAUGAGCGAAAUAAAUUUAUUCGAAAGAGAAAAUAAAAUAUGAGAGGACAAUUUUUAUUUUUUAUUUUUUUCAAUUUUUUUUUUCAUUUCUAUUUGUCAUAUAUUUUUAUUUUUAUUUACUCUAUUCUUCACUAAUUAAAUUAAUUUUUUAUUACUUUAUUUCUUAAUUUAAAAUUUGAGUGUUUCUGUUAUUUUCAUAAUUUUAAUUUUUAAAUUUAAUCCAGUAGUUAUUUGAACAUAUGUGUUAUAUUUCUUUUAUUUAAAUUUGAAUGAAUCCAAAGUUUGACAAUAUAUAUUAAGAAAUAUUUUAAUAAUUAAAAUAAAAAUGUAAGAAACUAAUAUAUGCAAAUUUAAACAUUGGAUAACAAAACUAGAAUUCUUGAAAUUUGAUAACUAAAAUCAUAUAAAAGCAAGAGAUUUUAAAUUUAAGAAAAAAGAUUAUAAAUUGCUUUUAUUCUUUUUUUCAGUAGGGGACCAUUAACCUUUUUGACUUUGAGUAGUUUUCUACACCACUUUUUAGCCAUUGAUGUUGUCUUUCAUAGCUAGAUCAACGGUUCCAAGUUCAAGAGAGCCCAACUUGGAAGGACCAUGAAUUUCCUCUCUGAAGUUUGAUGUCAUAGGAAGGAUGAGAUUAAUGAUGUGGAUGGUAACAUGAAGAUGACAUCAUUAUGGAUGGGAUGUGAUGGAUUAUCGAUUACAUGAAAUGCUCUGAGAUUUAGGUAUGAAAGAACACUGUUGUGUUAGUGAGUAAUAAUGCUAUGAAUAUAAAAACAUAAACAAAAUAUUAGAAUGUGUUCCUAAGACUCUAUUUUAUGCAGUAAAUAUUUUUAUCAAGGGUUAAGGAAAAAUAUUAUGAUAAUAGUUCAUAAGAGUUUUUAUUUUAUUUUUAUAAAAGAUAUUAAUUUUAAUUUAUUCUAAAAUAUCAAUAAAACUAAAUUAUUUAAGUGGUUGAUAUAUUACUAAUAUAUUUUGCAAUAAUUUAAAUAAGUGUAUAAUAAGAAUUUAAUAAUGAAUACACCUGAAAGAAAUUUUAUGUCUUUUAUAAUAAAGUCAGAAGAUGCUCUCUCCUCGUUUACCAAUGGUUAAAUUAAUUUGUUGCAUUUGAUGGUAAAUUCAACUUAAACCUAGAUGAUGCAGUAUUGAAUUUAAAACUUAGUAAGAAAAAAUAUGUUUUUUUUUUGUUUUUUUUAUCGAAAUAGGAAAAAAUAUGUGUAACAGUUUAUGAUGAUCAAUAAUAACUAAUUGUGAAUAGGAAAAAUUCUAGAACUUUCACUUUAAGAAAAUAAUAUUAUUUUAAUUUAGGUUGAAGACAUUUUUAAGAAACUUUAAAAAAUGUUAAAAUACCAUAAAAAAACUACUUUUUGAACAUGCUUGCACGGAUUCAUUUAAAUUGUUUUUUAUAAUCAUAUAUAUAUAUAUAAAACUUUAAAUAUAUGUAUUGUUAUAAGUACAAUAUUAGUAACAAUAGAACCCUUUUAGAGAAAAUUGUGCAAAUUUUUUAAAUCAUAUAUAUUUUUAAAUAGUUAAAGUAUAUUUUACAUAAGGAAAGUGAAUUUAUUUUAAAAAAGAAUUUAUAUAUCAUAUUCAAUUGUUGAAUCAAUUUUUUAAAUUAUUAUUUUUUUGGAAAAAAAUUAAUUUUAGAAUAAAUGUUAAUAUAUUUUCAAUGUUACAAUCACAGUUUUUAUAAAUUUAUAUACAUCUGUAAAAUAUUUAAUACUUAAAUGAAAAUAAAAUAAUAAAAUAAAGUAUAUUUGAACUAAAAUAUCAAGAAAAAAUCAAUACUAUAUUAUUAUUAUUAUUAAAAUUGUAAUUUUAUUACAAUAUCAUUUAUUAACAUAUUUAUGAUUUUAAUAAAAAUAAAUUAAAAAUAAUGAAAAAUGAUAUAUACAUAUAUAAUUUAUUAUUUAAAUGUAUGUUUGAUCAUUAAUUUGGAAUUUUAGUAUCAAUAAAUGUAACACAUGAGUUUAAAAGAUAAUUUUUAAUUAAAUAAAAAAAUAAAAAAAUAAAAAAAAUAAAAAAACAAUAUAAGCAAUCACUUCUUAUUUCCUUAUAAUUUUAUCUCAAAUUUUGAUUAUAUGAGAUUCUUUAAGAUUAAAUCUAAGUGUUUGUUGUGUUAUCUGAUUACAUAUAUGAGGAGGAGAUAAGUCAGUUAUUUUCUAUUAAGAAUUUUAUCUUUUUUGUUUUUAGGUGUUUUGUGAGGGUUAAUUUUGUUGGUGUCAGAUUGGAUAAUAGAGACUUUCAUUAGUUUGAUAAGAUUUUUAGACAAAAUUAUCGUCUAUAAUGGUUCAAAGAUUAUGAUUUUGACUAAAAAAGAGUCUAUGAAAGAUCGUACAAGAAGAGGGAUUAACCUAGAGAAGGAUAUAGACGUUAGUUCUUAUAAUAAUCGUCGUUUAUAUCUUUAUAUAAGUAUAUUAAAAUAUUAUAUUAUGUAAAAAAUAGGCGUCGGUUACUAAAACAAUUGGCGUCUAUAGUGACUUAAUAUACUACGGUUUUAAAUCUAUAAGUCAAGACUAUAAAUGACUUGCUCAUAAAUUACAAUUUUAUAACCAGCGCAUCUAAGGUCCUAAAACACCACUGUCGAAGUGCAUUUUUAUACUAAUGCCUAGAAGUUAGAAAAUAUAUAUUUUCUUAAAAGUUAGAAAAUAUAUAUUUUCUUAGAGAAUGAGUUAAUAUUGACACCUAUUCAAUAAAAUGAUUAUUUAAAUGUAUGAUUAUUAUUGAAUUAAUAUGCAUGUGAAAUGUAUACCUUUAUCUUUAUACGAAAAUGUUGGAAUAAUGUAACUAUUAUGUGAAAGUAUUGGUUAGUAAGAUACUUUUAUUAAGGUAGUUAGUGAUUUAGAAAUUAUUCAUUCAUAGUAUUGGUAUAUGAUUUUUGUAAAUGGUUUAUUUUUUCUUUAAAAAUGUUAUUUUCAGGAUUGACAUUGCUCAAGCUGUGACAUAUACUCAAGCAAGGAUACCACUUGCAACACCUAAGGGGUGAGUUAUGAUAUUACAUGCCUCACUCAAGCAAAAGGAAAACAGUUAUUGAAAAGUAUUGAAAUAGGUGAGAGAAAGGUCAAAGUAAGUAUAUUGCAUUACGCAGAUGAUACUCUGUUUUGUUGUAAUGACAAUUUUCAGAGUUUAUUUAUCAUAAAGUCAAUUCUAUAUUGUUUUGAGCUGACUUCUAGUCUGAAAGUGAAUAAUUCUAAGAGUAGAAUUGGAGGGGAAGGUGUUAAUCUGAGUAGUUGAAAUAGUUUUUCUUCAAUCCUCAAUUGUGGUUUGAUGAAAAUUCCCUUUACUUAUUUGAGAAUGGUGGUGGGAGAAAAUUAUAAGAGAUGUAAUUCUUGGGAAUGUGUGUUAGGAAAGGUAUGAAAAAGAUUGGACAAGUGGAAAUGGAAUGACUUAUAUAUGGCUGGUGGGAUUUGUAUGAUAAAAUUUGUAUUAACCUCCUUACCUUUAUUUUAUUUGUUGAAUGUUUCUUGUUCCUGUGGCAGUGAUGAAAGAACUAAAAAAGGUUCAGUCAUUGUUUCUUUGAGGCUGAGGUUCGGAGGGGAGGAAAAUAGCUUGGGUGUCUUGGGAAAAAAAUGUACUGGCAGAGAAUUUGGUGGAAUAGAUAACAAGCAUUUUAACUAUGCUUUAUUAGGUAAAUGGAUUUAGAGGCUUAAGUCAGAGGAAAGAGGUUUAUAGAAAGAUAUUUUUGAGUCUAAAUACAGGGGUUGGAGAGAUCUAAAGGAGAAUAGAAUUAGAAAUAAGGAUUUGUGGUGGAGAGAUUUGAAAAAGAUUUGGAAUUUAGAAGAAUGGGAAAACGAUUUUGACGACAAUGGCACGUGGGAUUUGGGUAUGGGAAAAAAUGUAAGAUUUUGGAAAGAUAAGUGGUUGGAGAGAGUAGAGCUAAGGAAGGAAUUUCCAAGGUUGUAUGGUCUAUCAUUAAAUAAAGAUAAUACGUUGAAUCAAGUUAGGGAGUGGUCCGGUGUUAGUUGGAGUUGGAAGUUGGAAUGAAGAAGGAACUUGUUGUUUAGGAGUCAGAUUAAGUAGAUCAAUUGUUGUCUAUGUUAGUCAAUAAGGAAGUGGUCAAGGAAGCUACUGAUUGUGAAAAAGUUGAUAAUUGGAUUUGGAAGGAGGGGGAUUCUAGGAGGUAUACGGUUAAGUAUGCUUAUGUAAUUUUAAGGAGAGAAUUACAAGGUGAAGAUAGUUUAAUCUUUGAACAAUUUUGGAAGAUAAAGUCUAUCCCACUGCACAAAAACUGCUUGGAGAGUGUUACAAAAGGCUUUAGCAACAAAGGAUAAUUUGUCUAGACAUGGUGUUGUUUUAUUAAAUAAUUUGUGUUUUAUGUGGUGUGGAAGAAGAGUCUAUAAAUCAUUUGUUUUUUAAUUGUAAAAUUGAUUGACUUAUUUGGGGAAUGUGUUAUAAUUGGUAAGGGGUGUCGACAAUUAAUCAUUAUGAUGCGAAAUCACAUUUCAUGCAUAACAAAUUUCCUUUUUUGAAUGCUAAGAGCAAUAGAAUUUGAGGGAGUAUUUGGAUAGAAAUAAUUGGGGAGGUUUGGAAACAUAGGAAUGGUUGUAUUUUUAAAAAUGAUAGAGUUGAUCAUGAGGAAGUUUUCACUUUUGCACAAAUGAAGGUUUGGUCGUGGUUACUGAAAAAGGAACAUGUAAUCGUUUUUUCUUAUUCAGAUUGGUGAUUGGAACCUUUGGAAUGUAUGAGAUACAUUAGCAAAGGUAAUUGAGUUGUUUUUUCUGUCGUGCCUUAUGUAAUAGUAUUAUUUGGCUUAUUUGUUGGUGUUUUACAGUAGAAUGCACACUUGAACUCUAGAAGAAAUCAAUUUAUUUAAAAUACUUUGAAACUUAAAUACUAAUAUCCAUGAUCCUUAAUCAUAACUGAAAAAAUGAUUGGAUUCUAAAAAUAAGCAAAGAAAUCAGAUACAUGAUCAAGGAAAGGAAAUAACUAACUCCUAAAAUCAAGGAGUACUACUUUGAAUAAGUUAAACAUUAACAAAAUAGAAAAAAAAAGUGACAACAUUCUUAAACACGUGACUUAACACUCUUGCUUGUUUAAAUGCUGCAAACUCCAAGUUUCUUCCUAUGCUUCAAUAACUUAACUCCAAAGUUCUAAGUACCCUUGAUGUAUUUGAUGACUUUUUUUGCGGCCCUCAUGUGAGUCUCAUAUGGGAAAUGCAUGAAUUUGGAUAAAACACUUACUGCAUUUAGAAUGCCAAGUUUGGUUGUUGUUAAAUACAUUAGACAUCCUAUCAAGCUUUUGAAUUUAGCUUCAUCGACUUUGGCAGAUCCAUCUUCUUUGACCAACUUCUCCUUUUGAUUCAUGGGAGUGCCCAUUGCCUUGCAAUCUUACAUUUGAAACUUUUUAAGUAUUUUUUUGCAUACUUCUUCUGACAGAUAAAUACUUUAUCCUGACUUUGCUUAAUUUCCAUUCCAAGAAAGUAAGUCAUUAGGCUAAGGUCUGUCAUUUCAAAGACCUUCUUCAUGUUUAACUUGAACUGAUCGACCUGAUCAAGAUUAUUUCCAGUGACUAACAAAUCAUAUACAUAAAGAGAGAUGAUUAGAAUAUUUGCACCAUCAUGCUUGACAUAUAGAGUAAGUUCAAAUAAACUUUUCUCAAACCUAAACUAAUAAAGUGAUAAUCUAUUCUACUGUAUCAAGCCCUUGGAACUUGUUUUAGGUCAUAUAGUGCCUUCUUCAGUAAGUACACAUUGUCUUCAUUUUCUUUGUCCGCAAAUUCUUUAGGUUGCUCAACACAAUUUUCUUCUUUAAAAAUCCAUUUAGGAAUACUAAUUUGACAUCCAACUGAAACACUUUCCAAUUAUUUUGAGCAGCGAGAGCAAAAAGCAAUUUGAUUCUGUCAAGCCUAGCAACAGGUGCAAAUGUGUUUGAAUAAUCAACUCCAAACACUUAAACUACUAGCCUUGCUUUAAGCUUGUUGACUGAGCCAUUGGGAUUUAACUUAGUCUUAAAUACCCACUGGUGAACAUAUAUUUAUUCACAUUCAAUAACUUUAAUAAUAAAUAAAUCCAUUUUUUAAUUAAUAUUCAUAUAAUUGGGUUUAUUUGGGCCUUAACUAUUAUUUUUGUUAAUUUUGUGUUUUUAAAGUAAAUGAUCUGAAAGAAGUGUCUACCUUUGUGAAUGGGUCAAAUAUGCAAAAAUCCAAGUUUCUUCUUGAAUCAAAAUAGAAAACAAAUUCUCUAGAGAAGAAAGAGAAAAUAAAAUCUACAAUAUCCCAGAAACAGAAUUGGAAGCAAAUCUUCUGCAAAAUACAAAAAUUCUAGAAAGUUGGAAACUUAGAAACUAUUAAGAAAAUUUAAACUACAAUAUUUUUCCAAAAUUCUUGGAGCAGAAAAACCUAUAAAAGGACACAAGCAUCAAGGAGAAAGGGGGGAGCUUCAUAGGGUUUUCUUAGUUUCUUUUCUUUUGUUUUGUUUCCGCAUGGAAGGCUAAACCUUUUUGGUUGUUUCCUUUGCAAUUUCCCAUUUAGUUAUGAGGUUUUGAUCAAUAAAAGUUUCGAUUUUUAAUUCUUUAUAGUAGUUGUUUUAAUAUUCUAAUCUUCUGGAAAACUGGUUUUUGUGAGAUGUUGUACUUGAAUACAUAAUUGAAAGUCUUCCUUAUCUUAAACUUUGGUUUCUUAGUUAGUUGACAUUGUUCUAAUUAUUUUUUUGGGCGUAUAAUUCAAGAGAGAGGAGAUAAGCAUUCCCAUGGAGUAUACGCAUGGAACAAAGUGGGUAUUGAUUAAACCAGUAAACACAUGCUUUAUUGGUGAGUGUUAGUUGAAUCAGAUUGACGCAUGUUCAAUCUGGUUUAGCUCUGUAGGAGGAUUGAGAAAUGAUUAAUCUUUAGAGAACAUGUGAAGAAUUCAAUGGUGGAAGAACUUGUGGAUCAACCGCUUUUUAAUUGCUAUUUUAAUCUCUUUUAUAUUUUAUGCAUAACUAUCUCAACCCCCUUUUAUUUUUAUUAUUGCUAACUUUUAUUGCUUGUAAGAUUCUAAACAUUGAUUUACCAAACUUGAGGUUAUCUAACCGCUUCUAUACUAUCAUCUCUCUAGUGUUAGACAAAUCUACAUUAAGAUCAUCUUAAUUUGAAAACAAAACAACAACUAUCACCCACUCCACUCCUAUUAUUUUUCUGUCAUGUGGUUUUUCAACCAGCUCCCAAGUUUUUUCUUUCUCAAUUAUUGACAACUCCUCUUCAUUGUAGACAUCAAAUGUUUAUUAUGUUUUGCAUCAUGAUAUCCAGCAAGUUCACAAACAACCACAUUGCAUCUUUGAUAUAUAUAUCAGAGAGUAAUCUUGUACCUCUAAGUUAGUUCAUUCUACCAUUCUUCAUUUACAUGUUCCUUUAGAGUGUUAACAAUGGAUAAAUGCCUUGAUUUACUUGGAAUCUAAUUUGCCCUAUUUGAGUCUUUCCAACUCUAUUGUUCAUCUUCCACAAAAUAAACAUCUCUGCUCACAAUAAUACGUGCAAUUUCUGGUUGAAACACCCUGUAAGCCUUGGAACCAAUACUAUAUCCAAUAAAAAUGUAGUUGUUGCCUUCUUGUCAAGCUUGUCACAUUUGAUCCGUGGAAUAAAAGUGAAACACAGGAAACCAAACACUUUCAAAAAUUUUAGAGAUGGUCUGUAUCCAUACCAAACUUCAAAUGGUGUCUGAUCUUUCAUUGCCUUUAUUGGAAUUCGAUUUUGUAAAAGCGCAACAGUGUUUGCUGCUUCCACCCAAAAUUUCUUUGGGAGAUUCUUUGUCUUCUUUGUUGUUACUACCAAAUAGAUUCAUACAUAAUAAAUUUGUUGUUACACUACAUUUAGAGUUUGAUAAAAAUAUCAAUGAUUCUUUACCUUCUUUGUUCCUUUUCCAUGUGAUGUCUUCCACUAGUUUGACUUUCACCAAACAUUUAGUACUAUAGCAAACCACUCUGACAUCCCCAACAUCAUCAUGAUUAUCCUUUACAACUACUUCUUAACACACCAUAACACACCCAAAUUACCCUUUUACACCUGUUGUGAUGCAACAUUUUAUUAUAAAUGCAUAAUAUUAGACACUAGCAUCAUUGGGUGUAAAAUAAACAGUUCAAAUUGCCAACUCUCUUAUACUGAUAAGUGUUUAAUUUCAGUAAUAUUUCAUAUUAAAAUAUAAGCACCUAUGAAUAUUUAUUGCUAAUUUACAUGUAAAAUAAUCCCUAAUUUAUGAAUUUAUACCUGUUGAAGAUGGUUUAAACCUAACAAUACCUUCUUACAUUUUUAUGAGCUUUAUUUGAAUAAGAGCAUUGUAUUCCCAAAUUUGGUAUUAAUUGCGGAUUUUUAGGGAGAAUUGGAGAUUUUGAGUAAAGGAGAAUAUUUUGAGCUAAAAGAGAAAGCUGGAAGGUCCCAUAAUGGAAAAAGAUGCAGAAAAAGAUUGAGACUUUUUUUAUGUUUUAUCACUUAGCCCAUUAGCGCGACACAGGAAGCGACAUAACCUUAGAAAACUAGGAUAAAUAGAGGGCUAGAAGCUCAAUCCUAGUAUGCCAGAUUGAGAGAAAAACACAAGAGAGUCUCAUUUUGGGACAGAGUGUUAGAAAAAGUUAAGAGCAUAUUAGGUAGAUGGAAAGGUAGAUUUCUUUCAUUGGUCGAGAGGGUUUGUCUAAUUAAGUCGGUUCUUUCUUCUAUUCCGUUGUUCUAUAUAUCUAUGUAUAAGUUGCCUUCUACUGUGCUAAAACUGGCAAUCUUGGUAUUUUGAACUUAAGGCUUUUCAAUGCGGUUCUGCUGGGAAAGUGAAUUUGGCGUCUGGGUACCGAGAAUGGUGGUUUAUGGAAGGAAAUUCUCGAGUCUAAAUACAGAGGUUGGAGAAUUGGAAGAGCAAAGGAUCAAUACUAAGGAUUCUAGCUGGUGGAGAGAUUUGAAGGGGGUUUGGGGGAUGGAGGAAUGAGGUAGAAACUUUGAGAACUGUUUUGAGUAGAGAGUGGGAAAAAGGAAAAAUGUUUGGGUGGGCAACGAAGAUUUGAAAAGCAAUUUUCCAAGACUUUUUUCUUUGUGUGGUAAUAAAGAAGGUAAUUUAGAGUCUUGUGGGGAGUGGUUUAAUGAUAGUUGGGAGUGGAAGUUAGUCUGAAGGAAAUGUCUAUUUGAUUGGGAGAAAAAUCAGAAAGUCCAGCUGUUACAAAAGGUGCAUGGAAAGGCUCUUGUCUUGAAUUAUGAAGAUAGUUGGGUUUGGAAGGUUGGUAAGGAUAGUGGAUUUUCGGUAAAGUUUGCCUAUGUUAAUUUAAGAGGCCCUUACGAGGGAUAUAGUCUGUUUGUUUCUCUAUGGAAGACUUUUGCUUUGCCCUCAACCCAGUUUACUUCUUGAAGGGUGUUGCUUAAUUUGGUUGCCACUAAAGAUAAAUUGGAAAGACGCGGGGUCUCGGUUGUUAGCAACCUUUGUUGUUUUUGCAUGAUCAAAGUGGAGUCAACAAGUCAUUUGUUUUUUGAAUGCAGGAUUGCUUGGCUAGUUUGGAAACAAUGUUAUGCAAGGCUGGGGAUAACGUUGGUAGAUCAUUUUGAUCUUGUUUCACACUUCUUGCAUUUUAAUUUGUUAAAUGCUCCUGUCUAGGUAAAUGUUGUUUGGGGUAGUAUUUGGAUUGCAAUUGUUAGUGAAAUCUGGAAGCAUAAGAAUAAACAUAUUUUCAAAGGUGGAGUGAUUGAUCAUUCAGAAAUGUUCACCUUUACUCAAUUAAAGGUUUGGUCUUGGGUAACAUCUAAAUCUGUUUCUGCUCACUUUAUAUUUUUCGAGUGGUGCUUCGAUCCUAUGGCUUGUAUGUUUUUGAUUAAGUGAGCUUUUGCAAGGUUUCUUCCUUUGGCUAGGUUGUUUGUUGUUUUUAGUUUUGUAAGGAUUAGGUUGUUUGGAAGAGGUUAUGUGGAUAUUGUUGUGUUAUAUUCAUGUAUAAGGGUUGAGUCACCCCUAAAGUGAUUUAUAUUUAUUCAUUUUUUACUUAUUGAUAAAAAAAAUCAAUAAAAAUUAAUUAAUAAUACUUUUAGAAAUGUAAAGAUCUUAUAGAUAUAUUAAUGAAACAAUUUAAAUAAUAACACAACUUAUUGUAUCUGAUGGAACAUUUGAAUUGCUAAAUGAUAAACCUCCUAGUAAAGUAGUCAUUUGACAUUUCAUUUCCCUUUCAAUCUAUUGCUUCAUUUGAUAAUGUAGAGUUUUCAUAUUGUUGAUAUUCGAUUAAUUAACAUUGAGAUUACAAUUCACUUUGAAGUUGAAUGUUAGCCUUUUCUUGUUUUUGGAUAAUGUUAGUCAAAUCUUUCUAUUCUAACUCUACAUCAUUUGUUCUUUUGUGCAUUCUCCACUUGACUUUGAACAAAUUGUCUCUUUAUAUUUUUUUUCUGUCAUGGAUGCACUUCCUAUAUACUUUGUGAGUGAUUUGAUUUUGUUCCUUGUAUAAAUGAAAAAUGUUUAACUAAAGGCGCAUGUACUUUUUAAAUUUAUUCUCCAUACACUUCACCCACAUGUUAACAAAAAAUAAUUAAUAUUUAGAAUAUUUCAAAAUAUUAAAUUAAAUAUGAUCCUCCAUAGAGCUUUCCCAAUUGAACCUAGGCCUUCUCCACCUUAAUAACCUCCAGUUCCACCCUACAUCCUCCCAAGUACCCACUUCAGCCACCAUCUUUCCUUGGUCCAACAAAAUAGAAAACAACCUGGGAAACAGAGUUAUAAGCUUAUUAUUCUCCAACCAUACGUCUUCCCGAAAUCUGACUUUGUCACUAGCUCCAACUUUCCAUUCAAUCGAUUUCUGGAACCAUUCGUCGCCUUCUCCCUCAUCACAAGCCCUAGACAGAUCUCUCCACCACCAAGAAUAAUAAUUACUCGAAUCUUGAGUUCUUACUCCCCCCGUGUAAUACUUGGAUGCUAGAAUCUCUUUCCAUUUCCCCUUUUCCUCACUCAAUAGUCUCCAGUUCCAUUUUGCUAGCNNNNNNNNNNNNNNNNNNNNNNNNNNNNNNNNNNNNNNNNNNNNNNNNNNNNNNNNNNNNNNNNNNNNNNNNNNNNNNNNNNNNNNNNNNNNNNNNNNNNNNNNNNNNNNNNNNNNNNNNNNNNNNNNNNNNNNNNNNNNNNNNNNNNNNNNNNNNNNNNNNNNNNNNNNNNNNNNNNNNNNNNNNNNNNNNNNNNNNNNNNNNNNNNNNNNNNNNNNNNNNNNNNNNNNNNNNNNNNNNNNNNNNNNNNNNNNNNNNNNNNNNNNNNNNNNNNNNNNNNNNNNNNNNNNNNNNNNNNNNNNNNNNNNNNNNNNNNNNNNNNNNNNNNNNNNNNNNNNNNNNNNNNNNNNNNNNNNNNNNNNNNNNNNNNNNNNNNNNNNNNNNNNNNNNNNNNNNNNNNNNNNNNNNNNNNNNNNNNNNNNNNNNNNNNNNNNNNNNNNNNNNNNNNNNNNNNNNNNNNNNNNNNNNNNNNNNNNNNNNNNNNNNNNNNNNNNNNNNNNNNNNNNNNNNNNNNNNNNNNNNNNNNNNNNNNNNNNNNNNNNNNNNNNNNNNNNNAACAAAGAUUUUCAUCCUAACUUUCCAGAAUUGGUUAUUCAAACCAUAGAAAAUAGGUGGUCUGUUGAUUGAUGCACCCUCUCCAUAGAACGAAAGUUGGGGGCUCGAAGACGAUCAGAUACCGUCCUAGUCUCAACCAUAAACGAUGCCGACCAGGGAUCAGCGGAUGUUGCUUUUAGGACUCCGCUGGCACCUUAUGAGAAAUCAAAGUCUUUGGGUUCCGGGGGGAGUAUGGUCGCAAGGCUGAAACUUAAAGGAAUUGACGGAAGGGGCACCACCAGGAGUGGAGCCUGCGGCUUAAUUUGACUCAACACGGGGAAACUUACCAGGUCCAGACAUAGUAAGGAUUGACAGACUGAGAGCUCUUUCUUGAUUCUAUGGGUGGUGGAGAGAAUGAUUAGUAUCUUCUUCUCUAUUAAAUAAAAAAUUAAAUAUAUUUAACUGGAGAGUGGAGAUUUCUUACCUUACUUUUUUUGAUUUAAACUGAUAUUCUCUUUUAUUAAAAUUGUAGAAUUUUAAAAUUGAUUUAAGAAACGGAUUUUAUGAUUCUCCACUACACAUAACCCAUGUAUCCUACUUCCCACUUUCUCUCUCAUGUAUAGGUACCUACUCCCCACUUUCUCUCUCCAACACAUUCUUUUUUUUACCAUACUUUUCAUGUAAAUAAAUAAAUUCAUUCAUUCUCUUACCGCUCUCACUAUUUUAUUAACUUACUCUUUAACAGUAUACUCUUUAACUUCUCAUUUUGAUGUUAUUAAGAGAAAUUGUUUUUGAAGAAUAAAAAGAUACUAAAAAAAGAGAAAUAAAAAAUGCGAAUACACACUACUCUUUAAUUGUAUACUCUUUAACUUCUCAUUUUAAUUUUAUUAAGAGAAAUUGUUUUUGAAAAAUAAAAAAAUACUAAAGAAACAAAAAUAAAAAAUGCGGAUACACAGUGCCUGUGUUCCCACUGGUCUAUACCUAUAUAUAAAGGGAUUCCCCACUUUAACUGCUCUAAAUUGUUUUCCUACUUUAUCCUUGCUUAAUAUUUUGUUUUAUCAAUUUAUUUUGGUUAUUUGGACAUUUUGGAUUCUCCACUUUAACUGCUCUAAAUUGUUUUCCUAUUUUAUCCUUAUUUAAUAUUUUGUUUUAUCAAUUUAUUUUGGUUAUUUGGACAUUUUAUAAUUUUAGAAGUUAAUAAAACAGUUUUUUAAUUUUAUUUUAUUUUAUUUUUUCUCACUACUUAACUCACAGGAGAGUGGAGAAAUGUGUUACUUUUUUGUUUUAAACUAAUAUUCUUCUUUAUUAAAUAAACGUUUUUUAAUUUUAAAAUUUUAUUUUAUUUGUUCUCAUGGGCAGGUGAGUGGAGAAAUUUGUUACUUUUCUGUUUCAAAACUAAUAUUCUUCUUUAUUAAAUAAGCGUUUUUUAAUUUUUUAAUUUUAUUUUAUUUGUUCUCACUAAUGGGCAAGAGAGUGGAGAGAUUGAUACGUUUUAUUAGAGAAGAGUGGAGAGAGAGGGGUGAAAUAUGGGUUUAUGCACGGUUACUUUUUUUAGGCAAAAAAAAUUAUAUAUAAGAAAACUAUGAGAGAGGAAAAAUAUAGAAACAUCUUAAAAACUAUUGUCUGAUGCUAUUUGAUAUUCUUUCUACAAAGUCCCAAGUGCGCGCAAAUUCAAUUUUGGUAUUCUUUCAACAAAUUCAAUUUUUGUGUGUUUUCUUUCAUAUUUCUCAAGCACAAGAGGAAGAAGGGAGAUAGAGAAGAAAUCGAGAAGUUCCAAGUUGUGAUGCUCAGCGUGAGCAAACACUUUUAUUGUUGACCCUUCCAACAUCUAAAUGCAAGCACACACAGUCUUCCUUGGUUGCCACUAUGCCUCCCGCCUCCUCAAAAUUCUAAUUUUGAGAUUCUGAAACAGUGUAUUACUGUUCCUCUUCACAUUUCAUCACAGCCACUUCACUAUGUAUUCUGUCUCCUCAAUGCUUCAAAAACUCUAAUUUUUAGAUUCUGAAAUGUGUAUUGCUAAUUUUCUUCAUAUUUCAUCUCUUUUAUUUAUCUUAUUUUGCUUUUCCUAUUUCUUUAAUGUAUACAUUUUAUUUUAUUUUUUCCAAUAGAGAAGUUUAGUUUAUUUUAUAAAUUAAUAACUUCAAUUUCUUUACUCAUUAAGAAUCAUGUAAGGAUCUAGAAAAUAACCAGAAGUGGUAUAUUUUAAAUGAUACCUGAAUAUUUUAUUAUUAAAAUGAAAAUGACAUAUAAAUAGAAAAUUCAGUUAUUCAGGUUUCAUUUUAAAAUAACCACCAUCUCUCUAAANNNNNNNNNNNNNNNNNNNNNNNNNNNNNNNNNNNNNNNNNNNNNNNNNNNNNNNNNNNNNNNNNNNNNNNNNNNNNNNNNNNNNNNNNNNNNNNNNNNNNNNNNNNNNNNNNNNNNNNNNNNNNNNNNNNNNNNNNNNNNNNNNNNNNNNNNNNNNNNNNNNNNNNNNNNNNNNNNNNNNNNNNNNNNNNNNNNNNNNNNNNNNNNNNNNNNNNNNNNNNNNNNNNNNNNNNNNNNNNNNNNNNNNNNNNNNNNNNNNNNNNNNNNNNNNNNNNNNNNNNNNNNNNNNNNNNNNNNNNNNNNNNNNNNNNNNNNNNNNNNNNNNNNNNNNNNNNNNNNNNNNNNNNNNNNNNNNNNNNNNNNNNNNNNNNNNNNNNNNNNNNNNNNNNNNNNNNNNNNNNNNNNNNNNNNNNNNNNNNNNNNNNNNNNNNNNNNNNNNNNNNNNNNNNNNNNNNNNNNNNNNNNNNNNNNNNNNNNNNNNNNNNNNNNNNNNNNNNNNNNNNNNNNNNNNNNNNNNNNNNNNNNNNNNNNNNNNNNNNNNNNNNNNNNNNNNNNNNNNNNNNNNNNNNNNNNNNNNNNNNNNNNNNNNNNNNNNNNNNNNNNNNNNNNNNNNNNNNNNNNNNNNNNNNNNNNNNNNNNNNNNNNNNNNNNNNNNNNNNNNNNNNNNNNNNNNNNNNNNNNNNNNNNNNNNNNNNNNNNNNNNNNNNNNNNNNNNNNNNNNNNNNNNNNNNNNNNNNNNNNNNNNNNNNNNNNNNNNNNNNNNNNNNNNNNNNNNNNNGAUGAGAAGUGGUUGUGUGAUUUCAGAUGAUGAUUGAUUUAAAGAGCAUAUAUUUGGAAUUAAUUAUGUGUUUUAAGUAAAGUUUGAGAUAUAUUUGGAUUGUUUAGAAAGUUUAUAUAUAUAUGAAGUGAUUGAGUGGUGCAUUGAUAUGUUAAAUGAUGUAUGUAAUGAGGUUAAAGUGUGAUCAAGACGUAGUAUGUUCAGGAAAGGAAAUACCAUGUUGAGAUUGUUAUUAGGGUGUAUUGAUUUGUGAGUGUCCUGUGAAUGAGACGAUCCUGACUCUACUGAUAUAAUGGAAUCAAAUAGAUGAAGUUAUUCAGUUGGUGAGAGUCGAAGGAGGUCCAUUUGGCUGAUUCUGAGGUUUGAAAGGACUGAUCAGAGCAUAUACAAAUUGGGAUUUACCCUGUCAUAUGAAGAUGAUGAGAUAUUGAGAUAAUUAUGUGCACGGCUGUGUGGGUUUCACAGCAGUAGUAUGACAGGUGCAGGUCUCUGGAUGCUAAUUUCAAUACACGAGUCUUCCGGAAGUAGAGUCAAGUGUCUAUGUGUUGUGAGUCAGUAAAAGUCUGACAUAUGAAAGAUGAAUUUUAUGAAUGUAAUAGACUAUGGUUUGAGAAAUCAUAUGAGAAUUGAUGAAUUAUGCUUAUUAAUUUGAAAUUUAAAUUAUAUCAAAACUUUUUAUAUAGAUAGCUUACCCUGUUAUUUGUUUGUGUUUGUUUCUUUAUCUGUGAUGAUCGUGUUUUACAUGGGAGCAGAGAUUUCAGGUGAUAGAGCUCCUUAGCUGGAGAAUGAGAUAAUUUUAUUUAAAUGUUUUGUUUUGUUGUUAAAACUUUUGAUGUAUAUAUAUUAAAUCCCUAUGAAGAGGGAUAUUUCUUUUGAGAUACACAUAUGAGAAAGUAGUAUAUAUUAUUUGUAAUUAGAUAUUGCUUGUUUUACUUUUAUUACAUUAUAUAUGGGUAAAAUUAAGGAUGUUACAAAUCACAUUAUUAAAAUAAUAUUACAUUUGAUUUAUUGUGAUAAAAAAAUAUAAUUAUUUAAUUAUUUUAAACAUAUUUAAUUAAAAAUAUAUAUAUAUUUAUAUCUUCUUCUUCUAUUUAUUUAUAUAUAAAGGGGAUUCUCCUUUUUAACCGCUCUUAAUUUUUUCCCUAUUUUAUUCUUAUAUAAAUAUUUGAUUAUAUUAUGGACAUUGUCAUUUCUUAUUUUCUCUAAAAUAUGUAAUAUAUGUGGAGGAACAAUUUUAAAUUGAAAUAGAGGUUCGAGACGGUUUUGAAUUGAAAAAGUUGUUACUUUUCAAACAGUUGCAUAGAAAGAAGAAUGUCUCUUCAAAUUUGAGAGAAAGAAAAAUAUUAGUGGAAAUACUGGAGAAGAUGAACGGUUUUGAAUUGCAAAAGUGGUUAAUGUGUGUGACAUUCUUUGGAAAUAAAAUUUGUAAAGAAUAAAACACUUAGAAUGAUGAUCAAUUACUCGCAUUGGUUAAACCAAUUCACAAAGUAUAAUAAUUUUACAUAAUAAUGAUAAUGUUAUUUUUUAUUUAUAAUAUACUAUAAAUUUAUAUUGUUAAGAUAAAUGUGCAAAUAAUAAUAUUAUUUAUUCAAAUUUUAAUAUUAAACAUAAAUAUAUAUAUAUAUAUAUAUAUAUAUAUAUAAAAAUGAAAAAAUAAGAAAUGCGGAUACACUGGCGCGUGAGCGCCUGUGUUCCCGCUAGUAUAUAUAAAUUAAAUUAGGUAAAUAAAUCAAUAUCAAUUUUAAUAAUGAUUUAUUUAAUUUAAAAAAAACAUGGUAUACAAAUACAUAUACUUGUUUUAAGUUGCUUAACAUUAGAAUUUAAUUUUAAUGGUCUUGUUAUCUAUAAAAUAUAAAAGUAAAUAAUCACAUUUUGAAAGAAACACAAAUGAAACACUAGUUAUAUUAUCAACAUGCAUUAGAUUAUAUUGUUUAAUUAAACUAAAUAUAAACAUUUAUAUAUUUUAAGAGUCUCAUUAUAUAACUUUUUUACUAUUUUUUUCAUCUUAUUCACUUAAAUAUUAAAACUCUUCUAAUUCUUUGGGCCUAUACCUUCAUCAUGCUCUUCAUAUCUUUUUUUUCUCUUCUAGGUAUUUUGUGUGAGAACUUUCAAAGCAUAAGAUAUAUGUGAUAAUUCCAAAACCUCUAAUCUUAUUUUGUUUUCUGCACUUCUACAUAGCCUUUGUUUUUCACGGUUAGACAUGCUUUUCAUCCACACAAACAAGGAGAUAUUUUCUAUCAAUUUUUUCACCUACAUUUAGGAUAAAAAAUAAUAAUUAAAUAACCAAAAAGUAAUUACUAGUUCUCAAGUUUUCAAAAGAACUACAACAACUAAAAUGAAAAACAAAAGAACUACACCAACUAAAAUGAAAAAGAAAUAGUAUUAUAGCUUGAUUUCAUUCAUUUCAUAAUGGAAAUCUUAGAACUGUCUGUAUUAAAGGAUAUAGAUACCGGAGUUAUAGAAGGAUCCUUCUAUUAAUUUCGGUAUCCAUAUAACAUAUUAUGAGUGGUCCGAUAAUGGUCCAAUUGCAGGUGACUUGAUAAAUCUAACAAACACUCGUUAUGAUAGGUUCAAAAUGACUCUGAUACCAUAUCCUUUAAUAGUCUGACUAGUUAGGAUAAUAUACUUCACUAAUUAAAUGUUAUAAAAGGAUUUAUUUUGAUAAUAAACUUCCCUUCAAAGUGUAGGUUUUAAAUAUCUCUUGUUAAGGAAAGUUAAUGGUCUCAAAUUGCAUAUAUUGAUUGUAUAAAACUAUGAAUGUUAGGAACAUUAGCUCCAGAUCUCCUUAUUUGGUAUGUUUUAUAUUAUGUCAUGUUGGUGGAAUAGUUGGUACAACUUUUUUAGCAGUGUAAUAAAAUGUACCUAUCUGACACCACACAUCUAGGCGGGUUGUAACAGUUAAGAUAUUAGAUAACAUAGGGCCCAAAGGGCCCAAAAUCCAGAGUGAAUAAAGACGUAGAAUGAAAUCUACUAAGAUUUAUUUUUUUCUGAUAAAAAAGAAGAAAUCUACUAAGAAAACAUUCGAUGUUGUUCUUAAAUUUUUAUAGCACACAUCAUAUGAUAUUAUUCUUCUUAUACGCUAAUAUCAUCAUGGGAAACUGACAAGCUUAUAGCCACAACAGGGUCUAAAAGUUGUGAAUAAGUUCUGGUUGAAAGAAUGUAGGGAAACAUUAGUACAUAUGUUUUGGAUAUCUGAUAUCCUUAAAAUAAUCUGAUGUAGGGGUAAGUUAUUUUCAUUUUUUUUAUCAGAAAUAAAAAAUUAAUAAAUAAUAGUAUUUAAAAGAUAUUCUAACAAUUAUACAAAAAGUUAUAUGAAGUAGUCCAACAAAAAUUUCUCUUACAUAUAAUCUUAAAAUGAAUUCAGCAAAAAAAUUUCUUACAUAUAAUUAAUCUUAAAAUGAAUCCAGCAAAAUCUAUAGUAGAAAUCUAAAAAUAUAAUUAAAUAUAGAAUAAGUGUUAAGCUCAAGUAUUAGUCAAGGUUAUAAAAAACAGAAAGAUGUCUAAGCCAAAAGAUCUUUUAAACCAUCUAUCAUAUUGCUGCCUAAAAUCUUUAUAAAAAAAAAAAUACUACCUGAUCUGGAGCAACUGCUGCAUCUGUACCAUGCUCAUGUGAAAAUAGGAGUUCAGAAUGACAGGAUAAACAUGGAUGAGUUCAUAGAACAAGAAUUUGUUCCGAUGAUACCACAAUAGAGAGGUUCAACAGAUUCACUCUGGAAAGGUUCCACAUUAAUUUUGUGAGUAGUUUGUAUUGUUAUACCACUUAUUAAUGUUAAUAUUUAGAUCUCUUACGAUUAAGUAACUAAUGAAUUUCAAGCAAUGGCAUUAAUGUAAUUAAAUUAUAAAUAAUUUCUCAAUUAUUUCUUACCAAUAAUUUUUACUUUGUUAUAAUUUUAAAAAUCAUUUAAAUAAAAAUUACAAAUGAUUAAUAAAUAUGACGAACUUGGUAUCACUAUUUUUUUUUAAAGAAUUAAUUUAUCGAGGUUAUCUAAUUUUGUUAUUUUUUUUAUUUGGACUGAGACAUCCUUAAAUGUCUAUAGUAAUUUAUCUAUUUAUUGUGGAUAAAAAAUGACAAACUAGUUAUUAUGUUAUUUAUUCCUACUCAUUAAUAAUCAUAUAACUAAAAUAUCCAUUAUUAGUAUUUACUGAUAAAAUCAGUUUCUUAUGGUUUUGCAUUAAGUCAAGUUAAACACAAAUUUGUAAUCCACAAUCAAGCUAAAACUACUUUUAAUGACCACCAUUUUUUUACAUCUGGAACAUGAAUAUUUCAAAAGAUCAAACUAAACACAAUCAGAUAUCUUAAACACACCCAAGACAUGGUUUAUUUUUUUCUGUACUCGAAGUGAUAUUCUAUUUCCAAUCAUCGAGAUUUAAACUCUUAGCAUCAUCAAAGGCACAUAACAGACCCAAAUUACUACCAACCAAUGAGAUGAGACAUAUCAGUAGAAAUACAAGGGUAUAAUUUAGUCUCUACAUAUAUUACUUGUUCUUAAUUUGGUCCUAAUAUAUAUAUAUAUAUAUAUAUAUAUAUAUAACAUUUUAUUUAAUUUCUAGAUACAAAGAGCUCAUAGAAAUAGUUAAACACGAAUAUUUGACAUCAAAUAAAGUUGGAAACCCUCGUUAGUUUUAAGUUCUCCAUACCAAAUUACUUAUUGCAGUAAGAACCUCAAAAUCAAAACCUUUAGAUAUUGAUUCAGUUAUUCCAAAACACCUGAACGUAUUUCAACUCUGCCCAAUCUUUUCAAAAUCAAAAUCUUUCUCUUAACCAAAGUUUGGUUCACUGAAAACCAGUGCACAGUAAAAUAUAAGAUAAGAUUGAAUGAGAAAAAAAAAGGUGUAAUAGAAGGAUUCAAUUAGUUUCUGCAUAUACAAAAGAUGGUGUAAUAGAAGGAUUCAAUUAGUUUCUGCAUAUACAAAAGAUGAAUGAAUGUGGUUUUUUUGAACAAAUAACAAUGAAAUUAAAUAAGACUAUUUUAGGACGGUCAAACAAUGAUGCUCUCAAAUAAUUUUUUCCAUUUACAUAUCUCGAUUAAUGAAUGUGGUAAGAUAUAAUAGACGAAGUUAAUUACGCAAUGAUUCAAUGAGAUUGUUGUGUUUAGUGAAAAUUAUUAAUUUAUGAAUUAGAAGCAACAUGACAUUUCUGAAAGACUAAAAUAAAACAAUAUUUUAGGAAUUGUUGUUCCUUUUCCAAUUAAUUGUUGUGUGAGGAGAUCAGUCAAUUCCCCCACUUUAAGUCUAUAUUUUGUUUUCUAUUAAGAGAUUCCCUGUACACAGGGACAUGCCAAAAUCUCUUACACAACUUCUUUUUGUUCUAUAUAUCCUCCUCAGUUAAGCUUUGUAUCUCCUCCUUCCUAAUUUCCACUGUUCCUUAUACUGGUUAUGUACUAUAUUACCAAAACUCUAAUUAUUCCACUGCUUCAACUUUCUUUUUAAUCCCUUCAAUUUCUCCUUCCGAAUAAAUCUUAUUGUCUCUUGAAUAUUAAUUUUCUCUCCCCCUUCUUGACCAUAUCUUUGAAAUUUUUGUCUUCUAACCUACCAUCUAACAUCCUAAGUGGGUUAGGUCCCAAUUUUGAACUUCAACCUUCAAAAAUAAUAUAAUAAUGGUAUGAUAUAUCUAUAUUCAAUACAUAUUGUGCAUUUGUGUGUUCUGAGCAUGUAUUUCACUUUAUCUGGAAGACAAUUUUGAUUAAAUGAAAUAAUAAUAAUAAAAUAUUACAAAUUUUGAAAAAAAAAAUGAAAAAUUUAAUAGAUCUAUAUUCGAGCGAGUUUUUUACAUAAUCUUUUCACCCAUUCUCACCAAUUUGUAAUAAUGUGACCAAUUAUUUUAUCAGUGGUAACUAAUGUAAAGUUUAGUUUUUUACAGUUAUAAUGGUCCAAACAAUUGUAAUGCAGCAGUGGUUAAUCCAAGGAAGGAUAUGGUGAUGGAUUCUGUGGGGAUAGUGGAUGAGCAAGGUGAGAGGAACAUCCAAAUCAAUGUCAAGCCAAGAUAUUGUCACAGGACUAGAAAUGAGAGAAGCCAAGAUGUAUUGUCCCUCUCUUCUAGGUGUCCAGGAUUCAUAACUGCACUGCAUUGUUAACUGUAAAAUCUCAUUGCUUCCAAUAAACCACUGUUAACAUCUCAUCUUUAUCGAUAUGGCGUGUCAAAGUUAUAUAACUUAAUAUGGAUAAAAUAUUUUUGUUUAAAAAUAAUUAUUCUGAUUUAUAAUAUAGAAUUGAUUUAUAUGGAUACUUUUGGGAUGGAAGUAACUAUUUUCCUUUCAUAUGCUUCUGCAUCUCUUUAAUUUCCUUUCAUUAAUUAGUUAUGUUACAAUCUUAAAACAAGUACCAAAAACGUCCACUAGCAUACAUUCCUCUAACACUACAGCAUAUAGAGUUUUGUUAACGACCAGCAUUUAAAAAGUGAGCUAAAAAUGAUAAUUUCCUGAUAUUUUAACGUUUUUAAUAUAAUUUUAUCAUCCAUUUGAAUUAUUUUACUUAAUAUUAUCUGUAAGAGAGUAUGUCAUGUCUUGUAGCAUUAAAAUAAAGAAUUUGGUUUUGCCAUCUGAACAGCCAAUACAAUGGUGGUGGCAGUCUGAUAAUAGAGUAUCAAGCAGUGACCUUGAGCUCAAGCAGUCCUAUUUUCAAAUUGUUUCGAAUAUUCUUCAUCUGGUUUAUUUAUAAAGUCUGCUUCUUUUUGCUUCUUGUAUUAUUGGCAUCUUUUUCUUUUAUCAGCAGUAUUCUCCACAUCUUGUUCUUAAUGUGUUGUAAGAUUUGGCCUUUUGGAAUGAUUUUUUAUUUAAGUGUGUUUGAUGAAAGUUUAAUGAAUAAGUGUGGUUUGGGGUCUGGGGUCUGAGACUCUGUAUUCCUUGAGUUAUGAACAGUUUAGUUAUUGAACACUUGCUUUUUCUGAACGAAUGUUAGUCCCUGAACCUUGUUUCUCUUUGAAUUUACCUAAAGAAUUAGGGCAUUCAAUAAGGAAUAAAGGCUUGUAUUAAAUAAUCUAAUAAAUAUAGUCAUAAAUGAAACAAAUAAUCAAAUUUCACUUAUUAAGUGAAACUAAAUGAAACAUAAUUAACUUCAAAGUCUUAAUCAAUAUGAAAUUAAAUACUGGCUGGGUUCAUGAUAUAUAAACAUAUCUUAUUUUGGUAUUUUAAAUCCUUUAUUUUAUUUUGAAGUUCCUAUGUUCUCUAUCUUUUAAAUUUGGGUUAUGAAAUUAGAAAAAAGAGAUGAUUUUUAAAAAGACAGGGAUCACAUGCCUGCUUUCCGCUGGUGACAUAGUAAAGCUCCAAGCUGAGAGAGAGGAAGAGAAACAAAGAUUUUGGCUUGUACCGAGCUUGGUUUUUCAUGCGUUACUAGAGCCUAAGAAACCUAUAUUCAUCUUACCUUGCCAUUUGUAUGUGCAUUUCUGUUUGUUCCUCGCCAUGGCUGCCACGUUAAUUCAUCUGUAGAGACCACAGCUGUGCCCCUCACACCCUCUUCAUAAUGACAGUCAAAGAUGCCAAUUUUCUGCACCCAUCGGUUACAAAUUGGAAAAAAACAGGCACAAUUAAGUAUCUCUUUCAUUCUAUUAAAUUUCCAAGACUUCUAGUGAGGUUGUGUGUUCUUUGUGCAAAGCCUAAAGAUGAAGCGUCACGCAGCAGCAGCAGCAGCACCGCCAGUGGAGAAGAGUGACAAGAUCGAGAAACCAUUAACACCACUGACUCCUCCUCCCAAGCUUGAAAGGAAAAAUUCCAUUGAGGCUGAACCUAAAACUUUACUUCAGGAGGAAAUGGACAAUGCCAGGGUUUGAUCAUUCUCUUUGUUAUAAUAAUAAUAAUUAUUAUUAUUAUAAUUGUACUUUAAUCUUUCUCUGUACUGCUCCAAAAUCCAAUUAAUUUCUUCCAUUUUUUCUUUAUUCUUAAAAUUCUAGGAGGCAGCCCUCAAAAUCCUCAAUUCCCACACUAAGGAGGAAGCUCUGAAAAUAUUCCUGACGGUAAUUGAAAUGAUUUCUUAGAUUUGGUAAUAAUGAUUUACUUUUAUUUCAGCAGAUCAUCAGAACUUUUCUUUUUAUGGGGUACAUGCAGAUCUAUUUACUCUUAAGGAUCUGUGUAACAAGCACUGUGCUAGUGAAUGACCGAUUCUUAAUUAGCUUUAUAUGAUUGUUAUAAUUGUAAAUACUGCUACUAGUUAACUUUGAUGGAAAAGCGAAAUUAAGGUAAAAUGUUGGAAGCUAAUUAUGUGUUCAUUGUGUUUUUUUUUUGGUAUUAGGGUUUGAUGCCGGUGGAAACAAGCUCAAGGCAGGUGAAAAAGGAUGUUGUCGUGUCCGACUGUGAUGACAACGAGUGAAGCAUUAUUCUGUGAUGGUGUUGGAAAUCUGAAGUCUGAGGAGUGUGCUUAUGUCUGUGUGUUUCUUUGGUUUAGUGUUUUUGCUGUUGUGGUUUAAAUUAUGAAACAGUUCAUUUCCUUCAGUUGAGAAUGUUAUUGUCUUGUUGUUCUGAACUAAAUAAAUUUCCCAUUUGACUUCUUCUGUAUCACUUUAUGAUCUCUAUUUCAGUCUUAGAUUAAAAUUUACCCAGUUCUUCCUCAGCAAGCAUUAAAGGCUCUUUAAUCACUGAUAAUACCAUAAAUGCAGUAAAUUUUUCUAUGCAGUAGUAUUCAAUUUGAAAGCUCUACUACUAAAGUCAAAUUUCAAAAAUUUAUAAAUUAUUAUCAUUCCCAAGGGAGUAUAAUAUUGCAUUAAAUAAGGUUUGUGGCGAGUAUAGUGAAAACUAAAUCCAUAGGUGCAGAGGGAUAUGAUAUGAAGAUAGUUGUGGAAAAAAAAAAUCACAAUAACCUUCACUCCAUAUAUUAUUAAGAAGGGGCUAUACAUCUCUUAGAAAAUUUUGAUAUAUGGAAGAAACACAUCUCAACAAGGACUGAACUGCUGGAAUAAUGCAUAAUACAAAGCUUAAUUUAUAUAAGCAAUCUAAAUGUUCAAUUGUAAAUUUUAGCUGCCAAAAGGAACACAUGAAAAAGAAAGAAGUGGCUCUCAAGUCCCAACUAAUUUACAACAGUUUCUGUUUUUUUAAUAUCACAAUUCACAAAGGAAGAAGUUGAAUCGGUUUUAAAGUGGAUUGCAUGAUGUUAUACUCGUUUCCAAUGUCAAAAGAAUGAUCUUCUUUUGAAAAAUAUAUUUCUAUGAGUAUAAUGAAAAAGAUUUUACAAGGGUAGGUUUAGAAUAACUAAUAAAAAGAUUAAUUAUUUAUUAAGAUAAUUAGAUUAAGAGUAAAUAAAAUAAGACAAAGAAAAAUAGUUUUUUAUAAGUAUUUUGAAGUAAUUGAUGUCACAUCUAAUCUUUUAAACUAUUAAUUAUAUCGAAACAAUACCUAUAAAAAAUCAUUCAUGGUAGUGUGAAGUGAGUUUUUUAUAUAGAACUGAAAAUUGUAACUUAAAAUUUCUUAAACUUGAAUCUCAAGAAAAAAACAUGCAUGAUGUAAAUGUUUUUCUUUUCUUGAUGUGCAAGAACUUAAAAGAGGAAUAUUCUAGUUAAAUAACGAGGAUGAUUGUAUUUCUCUUUCCCAUCAAUGCUUCAUCCAGCAAAUCACUAGAUAAGGGUGGCAAUUCAACUGUAGCACUACAACAGACUCUUGUUAAGUCAUUUUGAGAUCAAGUCCUUUAGAAAAAAUCAUUAUUAUGUUUCUAGGAGAAGACUAAUACUUCUUCACAAUUUAGUUCUGAAGACAAUGGUGCUUGAGUUGAGUUGAGAGAAAAUCUCACAACCUUCAGUUAUAUAUAUAUAUAAAAGGGUUGGAGAUACAUAAUAUUAUAACAUUUCCAACCUUUUUAUAAUAUUUUUAAUUCACAUGAGUUUCAAACUUAAUAAAUCUUUUAUUUACUAAGUGACAGUAAUAUAUGUUUUCAAAACUGAAAUUUUAUUCUUUUGAUAUAAGAUUUUGAACUACCAUACAUGUAUACUGGUGAGGUCAUAAACACAUUAUGACUCUUAUAACAGAGAUUCUUACUUUAACUUAUAUCAUAGUUAAGAGAAUGAUAUUGACCGAUAAAAGUAGGUGAAUUAUAGUACAUUACAAUUAAAUCCAAAAUAAAAAAUAGUUUAGUUGGAGUGAAUGAUCUGGAGANNNNNNNNNNNNNNNNNNNNNNNNNNNNNNNNNNNNNNNNNNNNNNNNNNNNNNNNNNNNNNNNNNNNNNNNNNNNNNNNNNNNNNNNNNNNNNNNNNNNAUAUAUAUAUACCUCAUUCUUAUACUUAUAUAUACUUCACUGUCUACAGCAUUGUUGUCUUGUCUAACAUUUUCUCCUUCAAACAUUUCCUAAAAGAAAUUCAUCAAUGGUAUUAAGCAGAAGACCAGCAAGGUUUAAAAAGCCUGAUUUCAUGCAGGUCAAACCAAUUAGUCAAGAAAAACUGGACCUGUUAAGGGUAAGGAUGUAAAUGAUGAUAGUUUGAUUUUUGUUAUUAAUUAUGGUAUAUAACUUCAUACUUGUUUUGGAUUCAUAAUGAUUCGUAGGCUGCUGCUGCUCGUGUUUAUAUUAACGAGCAAAAUCCUGCAGAGAAAUCCUCGGUAAGUGUUUCAAUAUUUAAAAGAGAAAUGCUUUUGAUUGGAGAAACUUCAAGUUAAAGUACUGGCUGAAUUGUUUUUAUAAAUGUGGUUUCAGGAAGUGAAUAGCGUAGGUGUUCCUGGAUCUGCAAAUGUGAGGGAGGAAGCAGAAAAUGACAAUGGAGUGCAACUGCUGGCAGCAGUUGCCACUGAACUGAAGAGGACUAAUGAUAAAAAAGUGAAAUCAGGUGUGAAAAAGAUCAAUCUGAUCUCUUGUGUUGAGAAAUAAUGCUAGAGAGAGCUUUUCCAUGUUAAAUGUUAAAUGUUAUAAUUCUAUUGGCACAUAUAGAUUUUAACUUUGAUGGAUUCAUAUUUGAAAUCUUAUCUUUGUCAAAUUAUUUCUUCUUCCCUUUUUCCUAAAAGACUUCUUUUGUUGGUAGAUGAAUGAAAGUUAUUUAUGAUCAAACAACAUUUGUUAUAUUACAUUUAAGUUUUAUGCCAUAAAAGAAUAUAAUGAUUUUAAACUACAGUAUUUUGUUUGUUAUCAUCUCUUUAAAGAAAAAAAAUGAAAAAAAAAACUAUAUCUAUUUUGUUUUGUUAAAGAAAUAACUGGAUUAUUAUUUAUCUCAUAAUUCCUAUUAGAAUUCUUCAAUUAAUACACAUGCACACAAAUGCACUUAAUAUUAUAAAUAAAUAUUUUAUCAUUUUUUCAUCUAAUUAAGUAAUAUAUUAACUUUAUAAGGGAACACACAAUUUGUUAAAAUAUAUUUAUUAUAAUAUUUAUUCAACUAUAUUUUAUUUUAGUCAAGUAUUUAAACAUCACUAACCUGAUACUAUUCUAAGUUAAAAAGGAAAAAUUAAAUCGACUUGAUUAUUUAAUAUAAUGUUUUCAUGUUAACAUCCACAUUUCUAUAAAAUAUAUAAAUUUAUAUUAAAAUAUAUUUUGAAAUGAAUAAUAACAUUAUAAAUGGAACAUGAUACCUGGAUGAGUCCCAACUCUUGAGAAGAUAAGAGAUCACUUCAUUAAUUUAAUAAUAACAAUUUUAGAAAAUUGUAAUAAAAAACUAUAUUUUAUAAAUUGUGUGCAAAAUAGUUCAAUUAUGACAUAUAAAAAAUUUCACUAUUAUCAUAAACCUAAAAAUGUUAGCUUAUUUAACGACAGGACAGGAGUGUAAUUUUUUUUAACUCAAACUAAAUGUUAUAUUAUUAUAUUUUUCAGUCAUAUUUCUAUUCUAUAAUACUGAAAUGGAAACCAAAUACAUUAGUCUUUGACUUAUCUUUGUAAAGUUAUAUUUAUUUUGAGAUUGUUUUACCUUGUAAAGUUAUAUUUUGAGAUUGUUUUACCUUUAAAAUCUAGUAGUUUGAUUUUUCAUAUUUGUAGAUUAGGUGAACUUCCAAGAUUUGAUUAUAUAGUGUAACAUUUUAAUUCUAAAUUAACUUCUUGUAAGUUAAGACUUCUAAUAUUGUAGAUUAUUUUGUCUCAAUCUAUUUAAUCUUCCUUAUAUUGAUUUCCAGAGUGGGUAUUUAAAGUAGAAUGGAUUCCAUUAACAAUAAGUAAUCUGGAAUGAAAAACUAAUGAGAUGGCUGAAGAUGAACAAAUAAAGAGAUUUAUAAAAAUCCAAUAUCUAAAUAUGGAAUGAGACAUGUAUAGGUGGUGAUGAAUAAUUGAGAAAACAAGAAGAUUAUAUAGACAAUACUUACAUAAAAAGAGAGUGAUUUAUAUAUUGAGAGUUUAAAUGAUGGUAGAACACCAAAAUAACUAAUUUGUGUGAGGAACCAAUUUUUCCAUAUGAUAUACUUUAUUUCUUUCUUACCAUUCACUUUGAAAUUUUGUCUAUUGUCCACAUAUUUUGUAAAUAACUUGAAAUUCUAGAUCUUGAUUUUGUUUAGAAUACUUUUUAUUUAGCAACAUUGGAGAACAUCUAGAAUUGAAGUAAAAUAUUAAUAAAGUAAUUACCAAUAAGAAAAUAUAUUCUAAUAAAGUAAACAAUGAGAAAUACAACAAAAACUUUGUUUUUUUCUUAAGCUAUUAUAGAUGCAAACAGAUCUAAUAAAGACAGAGCUAAAAACAUAAUUACAGAUGAAUAAGAAUAUAUAAAUAAAUAAUAUUUUCAAAAUAUAUUCUCUAUCAGCAGUGUUAUUGUAUCUGACACUUUAUUUUAUAAUAUCUUUAGCAAAAAAAAAAUCCAAUAUUAAUUAAAAAUUAAAUUUCUAGUACAAGUAAAUUCUCACCACUAUUACAAUGUUAGAAGAUAUUUAGUUGACAAUAUAUAAAAGACAUCACUAUGUAAGAAUUUGACAAUGCAUAUUUUUUUUAAUCAAAUGAAAAAUUAUAUCUUAUAUUAUCCUACACAAUAAUCUAAUGCAAACAAAUUUAUGUGACUAAUCUCACUUUAAAAUUGAAUAUACAUGUAAAAAUAUUCUAAAAUUCAAGUUAAUCGAUGUGUUAUUUAGUUUGUAAGUUUAGAAUUAAAACAGUCAUUACUUUGCUGAUAAAAAAAAAAAAAAUCAAUCGACAACCUCUUUUAUUUAUAUCUAUUGGACUUUUUUCUUUACUAGAAUUAGCUUAUAUCUAUUGGACUUUUUUCUUUACUAGAAUUACCUUAUAUUUAUUGGACUUUUUUUCUUUACUAGAAUUAGCGCAUGUCCAAUGCUCUUAUUUGUGUUUAUAGUGGUUAAUUAGGUUUUAUCUCUUAAUCUUUGAAUUAGGACAUAUUAAUCUUAGUCAAGAGAUUGAAUUAUCAUCAUCCUCAAAUUACUCAAUGUGCAAUUUAGUUUGCAAGUUUAUAUUAAAAGAGUCAUUCCCUUUUAUCUACUUCAUGACAAUGCUUGCUAUUGUGUGUCUGUACUUGUAUUCUACCAAUGUUGGAUUUGAUUUCAGACUUGUUAAUGGGAGGAACCAAUCUUUCAUGUGCUCAUCAAAUCACCAAAAUUGGGUGUUGUGAUGUUAGAAAUACUCUGAAGGACUUCCUUUUUGCAUGUAAUAUUUUUUUUUCUUUGCCGCUGUUUUGUCUGAUCGUGGUUUUUAUGAGAAUGUUUUUGUACUAAUACUAGAUUAAAUGUGGUUUGUAUUCGAGGUUCUCGUGUCUCAAACUUUUUUUCAAAGGUUCGAGCAUCUCUUUUAUAUUUUUAUUUAUUUUUUAUAAAAAAAUAUAAAAAUUAUUAAUCUUAAUACUAAACACCUUACUUUUUUUUUAAUUAUUCAAUGAGAAUUUUUUUUAUCAACAAUAAAAUAAUAUAUAUAUAUAUAUAUAUAUAAUAUCACUUUAAGGGUGAUCUAACCCAUUUACAUAGACAAAGAUAACCUAGUGAAAACCAUUAUAAUCUAACCUCAAAACGUCUGUCACAUUAAUACUCAAAAACUAUCAUUGUCAUAAAACAAAAACCAGUGCAAUUAGAGAGGAUAAAAACAAACUAAAGGAUCAAUACACCAGUCAGAAAAAGAAAAACAAACAGAAGAAUAUUUAGUAGAUAUCCAAGACUAAACAUUCAAUUGAGCCAAAGAGAAAAUCUCAGAAUAAUCUAGAACUCCGUCUUUAAAAUUAAUCUUAUUCCUGUGACUCAAAAUCUCACUAAUCAUCGCAAUUCAAAUAUUCCUCAUCCUUAAUAAGAUCGACUCGGAAGCAUUAUGCAACCAAAAUUGCAAAAAAUGGGAGUGAGCCUGAAUGGGGGCUACCGAAGAGAUGCCUAGCCAACCAUAACAAAGAUUCCACACCAUCCAUAAAAUUCUACAUUCAAAAAACAAAUGACUUACCUCCUCUUCUUUAGUCCCAUAGAAGCAACACAAAACACUUUCGACCGCAAUCCCAUGUCUAUGUAAUUCGACCUUAGUAGCAAUUAUAUUUUCCAGAACCCUCCAAGCCAUAACCUGGCCUUAAUCUUCCAAAACCAAUUAAACAUUCUCUAAGAAUUCCAUAAACCGAGUUAACUGAGAAUUCUUGAAUUUUAUUAAUUUUCCAAAUCCACCUAUCAACUUUCUCCAAGACCGGACACGAGUCAUACACUAUCUCGAAAAGUUGACAAACCUGGUCCUUCUCCCAAUUAAAAAGAUUUUUUCUCCCAAUUAAAAAGAUUUUUUUUCCAUGCCAGACCACUUCCUUAGAUAUAGUGAAGAAAUUUAACUCUAAAUUAGUUUACACUGAUACAUUAAUUUAUAUAUACUCAUUUUAUAUGUAUAUUUGAUCAAAGGAAGGGAGAAGAACAUUAGUAUGUUGACAGAAGAAAAGAUACAAAAAAAUUGAACUACUGAUGAGUUUGGCACCUAUAUGAAGUUUAAAAAUCUGAAGAACAUCUCAAUAUCUAGUAUAAAGUUAAACAUGAGGGAAGAGAUAUUAGAAUAAAUAAAUAAAUAUAAUGGAGAAUUCAAUGAGGAAAGAGAAGAUAUAAAUUAAUUUUCUUUUUCAUUUAAAGCUAUGAAUUGUAAUAACAAUGUAACUGAAAUUAUAUUAAUUAUCUGAGUAAAUAUAUUAAUAUAUUUCAUUUUUCAACUUUUAUUUAUUUAUUUUCUUAUCUUAUCUCAUUACUUAUUAUAUUUCUAUUUCUCAUUACUUAUUUUUUGUCUGAAUAAUGCUAAACUUUUUAUAACUAUAUCUAUGGUUCCCUCUGACAUUCUUUAAUCUAUAGGAAUACAUAUUCUUUUUUCCAGCAUACCUCUUCUAAAGUAGCUGUUGUACUCCAUUACUAUGGCAUGCAGCAGACGCCUGCCUCCUUCUCCUCUAGGAAGGAACAGUUCUCUCCACCAAACUCUCCACAUGGUAGAUGUAUAAGCUAAUUGUUCCAAAUUUUCAAUUUCUAAAAAUUCAUUGCUGCUUUCAUCUUAAUUUUGUGUAAUUGCAUGCAUCUAAUUAUAAGUCUAUUUCUUUGACUCACUCAUUUGGAAUUCAUUCACACAGGGGCUGAUUAAUUUUGAAGAAUAUUUUUUUAUUAUAUUAUUUAGCUUGUUACAGAGAUGAAUUAUGGUCAGGAGAUUGCCAAAUAACAAUUUUUGCUUCUGUAAGAGUCACAGCAGAAUUUAAUAAAUCAAUAGAAAGAUGUGAUCGAUAUUUGCCUUUUCCCCCUUUUGGUAAGGAAUUUUAUUGUGUAAUUAUUUCAUGGUUCUUGCAGGAAGAGAAGCAUGCCGAGGCAAAAAUUGAAAACCCAGAGAAAGCAUGUGGUAAGGAUGGUGGAGUCAAGAAGAAGAGGACAAUGUGAGUAGUAGUAUAUUGCAUCAGCCUAAUGGAGUAUGAACAAGUCUUUAUUUAGCAGAUUUUGUUUGUUUUCAUGAAUUGGCUAAUUGAACUUUAGUUUCAAUUAGGAAUAUUUGCCUGUUAGGAAAAUCCUAAUCCGUGAGGUGAUGAAAAAGUAUUGAUACGAAGUAUAAUCUUCAAUGAGACAGUUGAUGGAUUUUAUAGACUUGGAAAGUGAGAAAAAAAAAACUGAUUUAACUCAUAUAUGUAUUGUGCAGGAGAAGAACAAGGUCUAAAAGGCCAUGUUUGGUGCAGACUAAAUCUUGGCAAGAAAAUAUGAAAGUGUUAAGGGUAAGGGUAUAUGAAUUAUGAUAAAGUUUCUUGUAAUGAUUUCUUUUAUUAAUUAUGAUAUUUAAUUUGGUACUCUUUUUCUUUUUGUUCUUGAUAAUUCACAGGCUGCUGCUGCCUGUGUUUAUAUUAACAAGCAAAAUCCUGAAGAAAAAUCAUGGGUAAGUGUUUCAGUAACUGGAUAUAAAACGCUUUGCUCUUGAUCAGAAACUUAAAGUUUAAGUAGUGGUUUCAGGAUGAGAAUGCAGGUGCUUCUGGAUAUGCAAAUGUGAAAGACUUUGAAGCAGAUUGUGACAAUAUUGGAGUUCAUCUGCUGGCAGAAGUUGCCACUGGACUUAGUUUGGCAGUGGAAGAAAAAGAGGAACAUGGUAUCGGAAAAAAAGCAACAUGAGAGAUCUCUUUGAUUUUGAGAAAUAUCAAAAAAUCUGCAGAACAAUGCUUGAUUGAGUCCUCCAUGUUAUCUAGUAGUUUAGAUACACCAAUAAAGAAAGAGGUGAAAGAAAAAAUUAUAUAUAUGAUUUGCAUAAUUUUUUUAUGCAAUAGACUAUCUCUUCAUAUUUUUACAAAUAAAGAAUUUAUGUGGAUAUAUGAAUUUGAUGUGUGCGGAUACACCGAAGUCACUUAAAACUAUCAUAAUAAUUUCAACAUUUCUCAUCGUUUAUUUGUUGUUAUGUAACAUUCUCCUCUUUCUCAAGACAAAAGGCUUCCCAAGAUGUUUUCUGUGGGUCGGAUACCACUGUUUAAACGAAACAACUUCCCCCACAGAGGCAAUAAAAUUUUAAUAAAAUAAUUACCAAUAAAAAUAUUAAUAAAUUAAUUAUUGACAAAUAUAACAAACUUAUGUCAUUCUUAGUGUUACCCCAUUUAGAUACAAGUCAAAAUUAAUUGAUUGAGUGAGUUUUUAAACAUUAAAUAUAGAUUUUUUAUAAAAAAAUAACUCUCAAGUUUUCUAAAAUCAUCUUUUAAAGCUUUGUAUUCAAACGUACUCAGCCACCACAUAAGAUACAGAGAGGUUAAAAAUUAAUUUUUUUAUCAACAAUAAAUAAAUUAAAGGAACAAUAUCAGAAAAAUAAUCAAACACAAAAAAAACUAUAUUUUUUGGAGUUUUAAACUUAACUCAUAAAAAUAUGAAGGUAUAAUUUACUCCUACAACACAAAGCUGAAAGCUGCACCUAAAAAACUUUGCAAUACAAGCAAUUGUUAGAGGUAAAUUCCGUCAAAAAUUAAAUACUAAUACCGGGAAGAGAGAAAGAUGAAAAAAAAUUUGAAAAGAGAAGAAAAAGUAUCUGACAUAUUCUUUCGCCAUAGAGUUGUGUAGCUAUCAGUGUGGAUUUUGGAGUGGCAUGCUCUUUAUUGUUAACACAACCAAGCAAAUAAAAUGUCUUUAUUGGCUAAGUGAACAUUUUGGAGGACAUGCAAUUUCUCUACACUGCAGCAUGAAAUGGAUGGAUUGGUGUCUUUUCAAAGUUUAGUUAUUAGGCUUAUAUACAUGCAAUUUGAUGAUUUGUUGUUUUUUAUGGCCUAUUCAAGUUUAAUUUUUCUAUAUUUGUCUUCUACAGAACCUGUGUUGAUGCUCUUUCUGUUUCCUUUUUUUAAUCUAUUCAGUGAUCUUUACUUUAAGGUACACAUUAAGUCAAAGACAAUUUAUUUUUAAUAUAUAAAACCUAUCCCCAGAAAAUGUGUAAAUAUGACUUCCUUUUGUAGUGAUAUUUUUUGACUAAAAAAAGUGUAUCCUUAUGCCCUAAUAAAUGUUUGAUAAGUAUUAGAUAAUUCUAGAGACAGAUAAAAAAUUUGUAUUAAAUAUUGACCCACAUAGAAUUACAGGAUCACUUGUUAUCAACAACAUGCAGGAAAAUGUUUUUCUUUUUUGUGUAGGUACGAGGCUGGAGAUUAACCAUGGAUAUGGAGGUUCUAUGCAACAUUUGGUUCCAAUAAACCUUUUAUAUAAGCAAGGUCAUUCAUACCUCAAGCUUUUUGUUUUUUUGACUACUAAGUUCAAUAUAUUUUUUUUUUUUGACUACUAAGUUUAGUACAAGCUAUCUGUUUCUAUAUCUAGGUAAUAAUAAAUGUAGUUUUUUCAGUUGAAGAAUUUGUAGUUUAGAAGAUAUUUUUGGGGUUAUGCAAGAAUCAUAACAUGUAUAGGAUAUAAUAGAAUUGGAGCAUUCUUAAAAUGCUGCAUAUUUAUUUAUUGUUGAUAAUAUGUUUUUUUAUAAAAAACUUGAAAAUGUAAAUGAUUUUGUUUUAAUUAAAUGUAAAUUUGUAUAACAUAAUAACAUCUUAUAUCUUGUUAUUUAGUGCACACAAUUUGUUUUUAUAGUGGUUGACAAUUUUCGAUAUGCAUUUAUCUUUGAAUAUAACUGAAUAAAAAAAUAUAAAAAAUAAGUUAACUAAUAAUCUCUUUCUUAUUUAUAUUUUCAAAAUUAGAUUAAAGUUCUAAACCUACAAUUAGUUUAUUGAAUUGUUUUAAAGGUGUUAACUGAUAACUUUAACGUAUUAAACAUGUUUUGGGUUAUAAGUUCUAACUCUGGUUUGCAUAAUUCAUCACCUUAUAUUUUAUAUAAGCAUUAUAUAUACACUUCAAAUUGUUGUGAUAAAAAAUGUAUUUGAAAGUAACAAAAUGAAGUUUAUAUCCAACUUAUUGGAAAUAACCAAAAAAUAUAGAAAUAGAAGAAAAUUUAAAAGCACCAAAUAAUGGUUUAUAUAUGGUCUGAACUAAAAUUAUACACCGGAAAAGUAUACAUUAAGGAUGGAGAAGUGAUGGUAAUAAAAUAAAAACAAAGUAUUCAAAAUGUAACCGAUGAUGAUAAGAUACAAAUUUUGAGAACAAUGAUGAACAAAACAAGAUGAUGUCAAUACCGAGGAUUGUAUCGGUUAUAAUUGAGAGAAGGGAUUCAAAAGAAACAAAGAAAGAAAUAAAGAGGAAAGAGAAAAAAAAGUUAAUUUUUUUCAUUUACCCAAAAGAAUUAAUGACAAUGUACACGUGUUAAGAGUCUUUUUCUAUCUUUAACAGUAUCAAAUUUGAAUUUAUAUUAUUUUUAAUGGAAAAAUAAAUAAAUUAAAAGAUAUUUAAAAAAUGUUGAAGACUCACAAAUUAAAAAAAUAUUUUAAAAAAAAAUACUCUAACCCAUCUAAUGGAAAAUGUUUAAGAUUGAGUGAGCCUUCCUUUCCCUUACACAUCACAAAUAACCAGUCUGCACUUUCUUGCACAUGGAUUACCUUGCUGUAUUUAUUUAUUACUUACUAAAAGAAUUUAUAUAUUUACUUUUUUACUUUUGUUCUUAUAACAUCACUCACAGUAUUUUUAUAUCUUUCUUAGUGCAUAUAUUCACCUAAAUUUAGAAGAAAUCUUCAAAUAAUUCAAAACUACGUCUGGCAAUAAUUCCAAUAAUCUUUCUUUCACCUGAUAUUUAUUUAUCUUUUAAAAAUUUAUAAAAAAUAAUAUUAAGUUACUUGUCUCAUACAGAUUAAUCCGGAUUGUAAGCAGCAUAAUCACUUAAUAUUAUUUUUUUAAAAGAAUGGACUAGAUGUUGACAAUUAUUCUUAAUUUUUUUAUAUUUUUUAUUUAUUUAUUUAUUUAUUUCACACUACUCAAAACUUCUUAUCACCCUAUUUAUGAUUCUCUUACACAUUUAUUAUAAAUAGGAAACACGUAUUUUACCCCAACACAGACCACUUGCAAGUCCUCUACUAUGGCAUGCAACCAACCCCCUCCGCUCCAAAGGCAACCUCUUCCUACUGUGCCCGAAACUCCCGAUAUCGAAGAGAGACAUCUCAAAAGGGUAGAUGCAUAUGUUUAUUCUCUGAAUUUUUCAUUUUUAAAAGUUUCUGUUUUUGUUUUUCCUUCAUAAAUUUGAUGUAUUUGCAUGCAUUUGGCUAAUUCAUGUUUAUAUCUGGUUCUGGCUAGAUAUACACUCUUCUCUGUACUCACUUCAUGUUAAUUCAUUAACACAGGAUGCUACUGAAACUGAUGAUGAAGCAAAAUUUGUUUUUCCUGUUAUCAGUGUAAGUUUCCACUUUACUCUAUCUGUCUGUGUAAUUCUAUCUAUAUUUUCAUGACUCAUUUUGAGAAUUUUGUUUAUAUCUUUAGGUUGAUAAAGAGGAAAAGACUCUCAAUGUUGUUGCUGUAAGGGUUCUAAUCUAAUUAAGAAUUUUGGCUUUUUCCCCUUUAGUAAGAAACUUUAGCAUGUUUUUCUCAUGGACUUUUGUAGGAAGAGAAGAAGCCUACUGCUGAAGUUAAAAAAGUGAACCCCAGGAAGCGCAAGGCAGUGUGAGAAGGUCGAUCUGGUGCAGAUAAGAAGGAGAAAAAACGAGUAGCAGUUUAUACCAUUUACAAUAAUUAGUGUUAUGGACAUGCAUUAGCAUGUUAAAUAGCUGUAAAUUGCCAUUAAAUAAAUGCUACUCUUUGUUUCAUGUUGGGACUUCGUGGAUCUAGUUUCAAUUUCGUUUUAAAUGUAUCAAUUGUCUGUUUCUGAAUCGGUGUUAAUAAUCGAAAUACUUACAAAUCCUCUUCAUUUACUUUGAGUUUCAUGUCUGGUAAAUACAAUUAGAUUGGGAUAUUGGGAGACUCAAGACUCAUUGGAUUUUCUCAUACGGUUUAAACAAAUAGGUACUUUGGGGUAAAUGAGGACAUAAAGUUAAGUGGAUUAAGAACAGCUGAGGUGUUAAGUAAGGGAAGCACAAUUCUAAACUUUUGAUGUCUGUGUCACAUAUAGGAAAGGAAAUGUUUGUUGGAAAGCAAAUUUGGUAAAUUUCACAUGAAGGAUAUUUUUGUUCAAUUACAUUUUAUAUUUCAAACUUCUAGAUCUGUCUUUUUCUUGAAGUGAUAUUUCAUAUUAGCUUUUGUCUCAAAUAGUGUGAAAUCUGUUCAUACCAAUCAGAGAUGAAAUAGUCAGAACAACUAUCAAGAGUCUUGAGCCAAGUCUAAUCAAGAUCUGACUUGUUUAAUAUAAGUCACAUUGAACGGCCUAUUAGAAACAUAUUAAAUGUAAGCUUCCAAAAACAUCUAUGAUCUCCUUUUGUACCUUUUUUUUUUUACUUCUUUCAGUGACUAUCUAAGACAAGUUCUUUGUGGUAUCUUUAUGCUUUUGGAAUGUUAAGAGAAGAAAAAUUGCAAAGUGCAUUUAUAAAAGCUUUAAGAUCCUUAAACAACAGCACUUUGUAUUUGGAUUAAAGAUAAAGUUUCAUUAUAUUUGUAAAACUUGAUAUUUAAUGGAAAUAUUAUUCUUUAUGAACUUUUUGUCUCAUGUGAGGUUUUUAUUUUGAGUAAAAAAAAAAUUCAAAACUUUUUUUUAUAAUAGAUUGGAGUAUUCUUAGUAUUUUUAUUUUUAUUAUUUUUUAUUGUUUGAAAAAAAUAAUAUCGAAAAUUUACUGGUAAAUACACAAGAAAAUUGCAGGUGAAAGAAUAAAAUAUUGUAGAUAGUCUAUAACUUUUUUCUUAAUCUAGUUCACUCCUUGUGAUAAAUUUUGAAUUAAUAAAUGGGAGAUAAGCUACUAGCAGGAAGGGAUUUUUAGGUAUUGUAGGUAAGUGGAAGGAGAAGAUAUAUCCUUGAGAGAAGUGAAUGUGGUAACAAAUAAAUCAAAUUAAAAAUGAGGUAAGAACUAAAUCAAAUUAAAAAUGAGGUAAGAAUUAAAUCAAACUAGAUGAGGGUAGAGUUUAAAGUAUUAUACAUGCUAAGGAAUUUUGAAGAGAGAAAAUGUAUAUUGUGUAAAAUAGUACAGGGAAAAAUAGAAGACUUUAAUGAGUUGAAUGAAAAUACUGAAAUAAUUGACAUACCUGUAAUAUUAGAAAGUAUACUUAGAAUAAAGUGAAUGAAUAUAAAAAGUAAAAAGUAGGUUACAUAAGAAUAUUAUUAGUUUCAAUAGAAUGGAUGGAUGUCAAAUAAUUUGUUAGACAUAAUAUCUCCCAUUGUGCAAAUAAUCUUCCAUUAAUUUUUUUAUCAAUAAAAAAUUAAUAAAAUAAAAGAACUAUAGUAUUUGAGGAGUGUUGUAACUCUUAUAAAAAAAAAGAUUGAAAAUUAAAAUCUUUUAGAAUUUAAGAUAUUUGGCCAUCAACAAGUGAUUUGAUGCUUAUAUAUUAUGAGACAAUGGACUCACUACAUACAAAAUAGGUGGGUGGUUUGAUCACUCUAAAGGAAAAAUUAAAAAACAAUGAAAUAAAAUUUAAAGGUUUGAAAUAAAGAGAUUGUUGGAUGACAGGGGUGUAAAGGAGAGAAAAAAACUGUUUGUUGAACUUAGAAAUUUAAGCAUUAGUAAUGAAUCAAUGGAAAGAAAAAGAAAAUCUUGGGUUAGAUGGAUAAUCUUAGGCGACUGAAACUCCAAAUUCUUCCAGUCAAGGAUUAAUUGGAGAAGAACUAAGAAUGAUAUAGAAGGUGCAAGGAUUGAAUGUGAGUAGUGCCAAUAUCCAAAAAUGUCAAAAAGGAAACAAAAGGGUUUGUUGAAAGUAAAUUGGAAGGGACAAUAAGUACCAAUAAGGCCGUAGAACAAAGAUUUUCCCUCAAUAUCAAUAAAAGAUAAUAAGAUGUUAAUAAAAGAGUUCACCAAGAUGGAAAUCAAGGAGGCAAUACGUCGUGAUGGUUGUAAAAGUUCUAAUGAUUUCAAUUUUAGCUUUAUAAAAAAAUUAUUAGAUAUUAUCAAAGGGAUGUUCUACAAGUUGUUUAUAGUUUUCAUCCUAGAAAGGAAAAUGGAAAAAAAAAGGAAGUAAUGCAUAAUUUAUAACACUAAUAUCUAAGAUAGACAAUCAAAGGUUUAAAAUAAUACAAACCAAUAUCUUUAGUAAGGAGUGUGUAUAAGAUAAUGUUAAAAAAGCUAUUAAGUAGACUAAACAAGGUUUUACCGAAGUUGAUCAUACGUAAUUGAUAUUUAUUGAGGGUAGAUGAUUGUUUGAUAAUAUGUUGGUUGCUAAUAAAGUUGUAGAAGAGAUAAAGUAGAAAAAUAAUAUUUGUGUGGUAGUCAAAUUGGACUACAAGAAAGCAUAUGAUUAUGUGAUUAUGUUAGAUGAAGCACAACAGAAAUAAAAAAUUAUGAAGCAUAAUUGAUUACCACUCUAGGAUAGUCGAUUAUCCCUUGUUUUUAAAACCCUAUAAUUGAUUCUGUGUGAGAUUAUUUUUCUGGCAUAAUAUUAUGUACUAAAAAAUGUCUUUAAUCAAUUAUCUGAAAGGUCAAAUCAAUUAUUCUCUUCAAUGAUUUCAUAUCUUUUACUAGUAAAAAAAAUGUUUUGACGACGGUUAAAAAUGACAUAUAAAGACAGUUUUGGAACUGUUGUUAUUGUGGGUGUCGUUAUAAAUCAGUUGUUUAUAACGACUGUUCUAGAAUCGUUGUUAUAAAACUACAUUAAUGACACGUGAAAAAAAAUUGUCGUUAUUCUUCCAAAAUAAAAAAAAAAUGUAUUUAUAAUGACGGUUCUAGACUGGAACUAUCGUUAUAGCCCUAAAAAAGAUUUUUAAAGACGAUUUCAUCUAGAACCGUCGUUAUAAAUGUAUUUUUUUUAAAUGUUUUAUUAUAUAUAUCUAUAUACUUUAAUUUUGCAUAAAAUAUCAAAUUUCCAUAACAAUAAUGCCAUAUGAAAGUCAACCUACAAUACAUUAGUACAUAUAACAUUGUACAAAAAUUCUAUAAAUUUAUGAAAAAGUUUUAUUUCAUUCUAAUCAUUCAUUUAUCCUAAAAAGUGUUAUACAUGGUUACCUUAAGGUUCUUUGCAUUUUCAUUUCCCCUCCCACUCAACAUGUUAUAUCCAGAAUAAACACUGAAAUAAUAAGAUUUCAUGUUAGAAUACAUAACAUAACAUUAUGAGUAAUAAAUUUCUGAAUAUAAUAUAAUCAUAAUGAUUUGAUAAAUCUCUAAUUUAAACUAGGAAACAUCAUGUAAAAUUUCAUAAUUUUUUGAGAAGUGAAAGUACGAGAACCAAAACCUUAAAAUACUUGAAAAAUAGUUAAAUAAUACUUAAAAAUAAAAAAUAAUAAUAGUAAACGGUGGCUUUUUGGUGGAUCCAAAUCCCCUUUGGAGAUUGGCCACGUGAUUCAUUACCUCGUUUCGAGCAACUUUCAUUUUUUACGCAUCUCCAUCCGACUUAUCUAUCAAAAGUUAUGGUCAUUUGAAGGUUUUCACACUAAUUUUUUGCAACUCCAAAUCUAUCACUAUUCUCUUCAAUGUCUAGACUCUUCCAUCAAAUAUCCACUAAAUGAAGUUCCCACAAACCCUAAACUACUAAGUAAUCAACACAUACAUGUAAAUAUUUAAUUAAAAAAUUUAAAUUACUUUAAACUUACAAGUCCAGCGCCAUGGAGAGGUGAAAAGAAGGUCCGAGAGGUGCAGCGUAUAGGCGGCGGAGGUAGUUGCUUGUGCGCACAAAGGAGAGAUGUACAAAGGAGAUAAGAGAAGAGAUGCAAGCACAUAGGAGAGAAGAGAAGAGAUGCACGCGCAGAGGAGCGAUGUUCACUAUGGUAGUGUGGGAAAAAGGGACGGGAAGAGAGCUUGGGGCACGAAGGGGGUAGGUCGGAGAGCUGUGUUGAGUGUAGUGGAGAGGGAGAAAGAUGUGAAUGAGAAGAAGAAUGAAUGAGAGCGCAGGCUGAGCUUUAGGAUUAAUUUUCACACUUUCAACGGCGAUUUCCUACUUAACCGUCAUUACUUUGUCCAUAACUCCUCAUUAACAACUUAUUUUGCCCUCAAAUCUUCAUUAACGACGAUUAAAAGACUAAUCAUCAUUAUUUAUCAGUGUUUAUUCACGAAAAUGUCAUGCGCUUCUUUUUACGAUAGGUUUCUAUCAAAUAUCGUUAUUAAUAGUCGUUUUUAAGACUUUUUGUACUAGUGAUGUGAUUGGUGUAAAAUGUGUGAUGCAUGAUCAUAGAAUAAAUAUCAACAUUUUCAAUUACUAGAUUAAUAAAAAAUUAAUUAGUACAAUAUUGAACAGAGUAUUUUCAUUUUAGAGUUUUUUUAGUAACUUAAUAAUAUAUAUUCUGUUGAUUUCACCAAAUAAUAAAUUAAAGUGUAAUAAAAUAACAUUUAUUUAACCAACAUUUGUCUUUAAUCUUCCACUAUUAAAUUGUGGCUAAUGGAUGUUACCGUAGCAACUCCUUCCAAAUUUGUGAAUCUCAUUAUGUUCACAUGUAUUUUUGCGAUAUUGUUUUGUAUAGGAUUUUAACUUCACCUCAAACACUACAAGAAAAUCAUUAAAUAGAAAUCAAUUUUUAGAUAUCAAAAUAAUUAGUUACAAUAGUAACUAAAUUAGAGACCAUUUUAGAAACUAAAAAAAAAUGGUUUCUAAAUUGAUAUCUAAUUAGCUACCAAGGUUUUAACUACCAAUUAUUUUUUAUCUUUAAAAUUGAUUUUUGUUUCAUGAUUUUCUUGUAGUGAAAUCUUUGUAUGAAAAGGGUUUUACAAUAAAAUAACCAUGGAGAAUAAUUUUGUAAACAAUAUAUAAAUUGUCGUAUGUGAAAAAAAAUAGUCUAUCAAUAUUUUUAAUUAUUUUUUAGUAAUUGGGGAUGUAUAAGACAUGUGUGAUAAAUGAACUAGUGUAACAACACCACAUCCUACCUAACUAAUUCUCACUUAGAAAGUUUAAACUCUUUUUUUAUUGUCAAAUAAUAAAUAAAAUAAUAUAAAACACUUGAGGGGUGUUCCAAUCUUUUUACAAAGAGAAAAUUUAACAAAGAGCAUCUUCAACCAAACCUACAAGAUCCAAGAAAACUACAUACUUUUGUGUCCCAAAAUCAACAUCAUCAGAAAAGUUCCUUCAAAACUCGGCUCAACUAAUAAUUUUAUGAAGAACCAAUUGCUAAAAGUCUUAUUUCAUAUUUACUUGUAUUAUUAUGGCAGCAAAAGUUUGAUCAUCAUGUGAAAUGAGAGGUUGGUCUCUCGUUCCCAAACUACAAAAAAUAUGUAUACAAAAUACAAUUAUAUUAAGACCAUAAAUAUAUUUAAACUUCUCAGAAAACCUCUUCAGUGGUACAACUUUCACUUAUCUCAUCCAUAUGAAUAAUGUUCAAGCCAAAUUUUGCAUACGCGAUUAAAUUGCACAAUUUUGUAAAGAUGAUUGCAACACUAACAUCUUGCACUCCAGUCCAGACCACUAAAUCACACUUUUCUAACCAUACUGUAACCUACAUUACUAAAAUAUGAACAUUUUCCAACCAGCUAAAUGAUAUAUAGUUUAAAGGAAUAUACUUUACAGCUUUGACAGUUUACACUUUAACCUAACUAAUUCUGACUUAGACCGUUUAUACUUUUGAUGAUGAAGAGGGAAGGAAAAAUAACCUAUUGCUAUAUGUGGAUAUGGAAAAUAUGGAGACAAAGGAAAGUUAUUUCUAGGAAUGAAAUGAUAAACGCCGAGGAUAUUUUCUUAUUAGUCCAAUUCUGGAUAAUAGGUAAAAAAUCAAAAGUAACUUUUUUUUAUUUGGACUGGAGUCUAAAUCCUAUAACAUCUUUAAAAUAGUAAGGAGAUCAUCCUGAAUUAAAGAUAGAAACAUGUUUAAUGGAGGAAAAAAUUUGGCUACAGGUUAGGUGUAGUCUAAUAGUAGAAGUGGAGUUUUUUCUUUUUUUUUUUAUCAGCAAUGAAUAAAUAAAAUUAAAGGGAGCAGAACAACCUUAAAGUGAGAAAACACUACCCAAAAAAUAACCAACAUCGGCAACCACCGAUUACAAAGUGGAGCCUAUAUAAUGUCAUGUGAGAGUUAUAGUCUUUUUUUUAUCAAUGAGAAAUGAUAUUUUAACAAUUAUGAGAAUUAUAUAUAACUUUUGAUGCUAGUGUUUUAGAUAUAAAUAUAUAUAAUAAAAAGUAAAUUUUUGUAAUUAAAUAAUAUAAAAGAUAUUAAAAUAAUAAUAUUGAAAGUUGUAAUAUGAUUGUAUAAAAAAGUUAAAUUGUCAAUAUUUCAUUAUCUUUAAAUAAAACGGAAUACUUAAAAGGCUUAAUCCUUAUACAAUAAAAAAAAAAAAACCUUCCCUCCUAUCUUAAAAGUAAAAAAACAUUCUACGCUAAGUGCAACUAAACAAGAAGAACAUGAAAUCUAAGGUUACUUAAUUUGUAUCAUCUGCAUAAUGAUAUAAACCAGCAGAACAAGUUUUAAAUUACACCAAGAAUUUGACAAAAUUUUACUACACUAUUUUUACAAAAGAGCACUCUUGGUAGCAAAAACCAGAUUAUUCCUCCUCUGCGCUUUUGUUAUUUUUCAGCACUUUGCCUAGCAAACAGUGACCAUCUACCAUCUAAAAGCUGAAAAACAGACAACCACUCACACUUGAUUUUCUUUAAAGAAACAUUCUUCUUGUAUUUUUCUUUAUUGUAUUUCUUUAUGUGGUGCAUAUUACAACGGAGAGAACAUCCUAUUUAUAGGCUUUAGGGAGAUGUUCUAAAAAAAUCUUCAUUAUAACCUUAAAACCCCACUAACAACAUAAUUAAAAUUUCACUCACAAUUUUAACAUUUCACAUAUCCAAACUCUCAUUCUACUAUUUUAUUUUCUAGUAACUUCUAAUUUUAAAACCCACAAAUUACAUUUAAAGUUUAUUUCAGAAAAGCUUACUCUUCCAUUCCAAACUCCACUCCUGAUAAGCAAAUAGAACUUGUAAUGUCUUAUGGUUAUCCCUUACUUCUUCUGUUUGCAGUCUUUUUCUCAAAGACUUGCUUAAAGGUACUGCUGCACCCUUCUUUUCACCUGCAAACCACCAUACCAAAAACCUUCCCAUCCAAACUGCAAAGAUCAAAUAGCACUACUGCCUUUCCAAUUAAGAUGCACAUGAUUAUUCACCACAAAGACCGAACACAUGCCUACCUAAAGAUAUGCAUAUUACAAACAAUUAAGCAAUGCAGUACGUGGCUCUGUGAUACCUGCACCUGAACCAUAGACUUGACAACCAUAGGACCCGAAUUCUUAUAACCAUAGUCAUAGUGGUUUGUUGGUUUUUUUAGAAUAAAUCAGAGAAGAGAAAGAUAUAUUUUAUUAUCAUUGCUAACAAAUACAUUUAUAGUAAUUGCAGUAACUCAUAUACACCUCUUCCUCCAUUGCCUUUUUCGACUUUGGGUCAUUGAUAACUUCUUUGUGAUUAGCAGGUUCUUUGUGAUCAACAGAUUCACAUACUGCAACGUUACAUCUAUGAUAUAGGUCAGAAAGUAAUCGAUUGCUUUUGCCUUUAUUUGGUGGAUCAUCUUCUAUUUCAGAUUUUUGCAUCUUGAGAAGUACUUGACUAGUCAGCUCCUCUUGAAUAAUAGAUCUAAUGAGAAACUUUUGCCUCUCAUUUGUACCUUGAACAAAUUUUGUCCUGUAGCAUCCUUGAUCAAAGAGUAGUUAUCUUCAAACAACACCUAGCAACAAUGGUUCCUAUUCUUUUUACUGAAAUGUGAACCACAUGGCCUAUCUUGACCUUUGAAAUUUUUGAAGGCUUCAACUCCUUGAAAAGUUUUUUGUCAUAAGUCAUGUGAUUUGUGCAUCCACUAUCAAUUAGCCACGAUGCACUUGAAUAUUGUUGGAGAACUCGUUUGCAAAUUGAGCAUCUACGUCUUGUUGCUCACUUUGGUUUACAUCUUGUUGUUCACUUUGGUUUCUACAAAUGACUGCUUCAUGUCCCAGUUGAUUGCACUUGUUGCACUUAGCAUCAGGUCUUCUCCAGCACUACUUAAACGGUGGAUGACCUAACUCCUUUUGUUGUUAUUGUGUGCAGCAACUUCUCCAUUUUUUUCUGGUUCUGCUACCUUUGUUUCUCCAGCCACCUUCAUAUUCGGCCUUGCUUGAGGUAAUCUCAUAUUUCUUUUGCUGACUUCAAGGACAUUAUCCUUGUGAAUACCAUAGGAGAUACAACUGCAAAUAGACAUUUGUGUUUGAUCUUUUCAUCUUCUUUUCCUUCUGUGAUUUUAUUUGUGCCAUAGUAGGGUUUUCUGGAAUAAAUCCAAUGCUUCUAGGUAGGUCUCCAUACGAACAACCCACAUUUGAUAAUUGUCUUUGUCAAAGACAAGUGGUGCCAUUGCUGAAAAAUUGAAACAUUCUUCCAUUGAUGCACUCUACUAACCUCACAUACUUUUGCAGUAACUGACUCUUAAAUGAUUUUAUGAUCAGUUACCUAAAAAUAUUAAAUCAACAAUUAAAACAUAAUUAAAAUAGAAUAAUAAAAUAUCACGUGUAUUUAUACAGAUUAAAUGUUUUGAGACAAUAUGUGUGGUUCUGUAUAUACUGCAUAGUGGAUCUGCAGUAGCACUAACUACCUGAGUAUUACUAGUUUAAAUGCUAGGUGGUGUUACUAGUUUGUAAUUGUGAUGCAGAAUAAGAUGACAGGUAAUUGUUUGGUGCUGAGAAGUGCAGUGGAACAUUUUCUCUGUGGCAUGGCAUUGGCAAAACCAUAUGAGCAACUCAUGUAUUACUCAUGCUUCGUCAAGUCAAUUCCAGGGAAGCAAUGAAGGGUGUGCUUUUCAAACUCCAAGUAAAAGCCAUAUGGACACGGGAUUACUGUGCUCAGUGUUGGUGGGGUGGCUUUUGGGAACCAUCCGGCAAAACUGCUAAUAAUGGUUUAAUUGUGAGGAUGGAAGUACUACUGACUACAGACUUUGUAUUGCUUGUGAGCUUUUUGCUGAUGGUUUUUGGAAUCCAAGAACUGAGGGGUCAAGGGUAUAUUGUAUGUUGUUUAUGUGUACAAUUGUAUGAGGUUGGAUUAAUCCGAUUACUACAUUUAUAAUGCAUUCUUCUUGUUAAUAAAAAAACAAAUAAGGGUUUAUCUUUUCAACGUUUAGUUUCGAGAUUCUUAACUGCACUUAUGCGGAUUUCUCUACACAAGGGAGCGUUGACAAGGAAAAAAAAGACUAAUUAGACUGACAUAAUUUUGGUUGAAAUUGUCAUCAAAAUUAGCAACUAAAUCAACACAGUGACUAAAUAUCCCAUUUAUAUCUUUAGUGCGGUCUGAAUUGCUCUAUCCUCCAAAUAACAGGGUUUUAUAGUUAUGGUAAUUAAAAUUGUCGAAAACUUGUUGUAACCUCCUUUAAUAAAUACAUUAUUGCUUAAAAUUGCUUGUUAGAGAGGAUGCUGACGUGGUUAUAAGAAAUGGUUAAAAAUUAGUCGAGUUGCUUCUAGAAGCAACUAUUGCUUAAAAGUAAAAACUAUUAUUUUGUUUGUUACCCGUUAAUCCCAAUAGUUGAAGGAAAAAGAACACAUGAUAAGCAUAUUUUCUUUAGACAACAUGGCACUCGGAAACCCAUAGUGAUGAGCAUUCAAAGAAGCCUCCAAAAUUUUACUUUCUUUGGUAAGGAAUAUAUGUUGGAACAAUGAAACUUUUAUCCUAUGGUCAUUUAUGUUAUUGCAACUAAUUAACAUCUAUCAGCAAUAAUCCUAUCAAAAUGACAACAUUACUAGUUAAAAUUUUAAAAUAACAAUUUCUUUCUGUAGCUUCUGAUAACAAUAGGGAUUGAUAGUGAUUUAGCAGUAUUCAAGCUGCUAGUACUGAUUCCUAACUUGUAUUUUGUGUGUGGGGUGAGAUGUUUAUGCUAUUGUACUGAUAAUUAUUUGUCGUUUGUAAUUUUGCUGCAUAUUGUACAUCUUGUAACUUAUUAAUGAAUUCUUUUUCAUUUGCUUACAAACCAAAUAUUUUCCUUCUGUGGAUAGAACUCGCUAUAAAGUUCAGUGUGGCUUUUGUGGAAGAUAGAAGUUUGUAUUUUACCCACAUUUCAAGUCUAGUACGCUUCGCCUAAAGGGAUGUGUUAAGAUAGGUCACAUGAAGAGAGGUAAUCAAACAUUUUGCUUCUAAUAAUUACAUGGCAUUCUCUGUCUACAAUGAAUAACUAAGAUCAUUGAUUUCUGCAGAAAACAUUGCAUAGCAUACUUACAUGAUACCCCCUUCGCAAUAGCCGGUUAUAAUGCAUAUGUAAUCCUCUUAAGUAACAUAAAAAAUAAUAUAUUUGUAAGGAUUCAAAAACAUUUAAUUAAGCCUAUAAAUUCCAUUGAACUUCAAACUUAAUUUUCAGUGAUAUUUAAAAGUGCAUUUGAAAAUUCAAAAGAAAAAAAAGGAAAGGAUAGGAUAGGAUAGGAAACAAUAACUGUCUUUACCUUCUCCACCCAAGCAUCUUUGCACUCCACAAUAUAAGGCUAAUUUAAUUUAGCUAUCAGGUCCAUUUGGAACAAAAAGAGAGAGGAUAUGACUAAUUUUUUUUUCAGAACUAAAAGGUAAGAAACAUUCAUUCAAAAGAAUGAAGGGAAAUCUCUCAGAAAUGAAGUCAGUCAAACCAUUAUUAAUAAAAUUAUAUUUGCAAAAAAAUUAAUUUCAGAAUUCAGAUAGUACUUGGCUCACAUAAAAAUGCCAUAUCACACUGUGCUCAUAGCAUUUGUAAGAUAAAAUAACAAACAUCCUCUACUCUGGAUGGAGUAGAAGUCUAAUCAGUACUUCAGAUGACUGAUGAGUAUUGACUAGUAAAGGCCCUACAGCAUUUCAUUAAAUGAAACCAAGUUCAAUCUGAGUUUACUGUAUGUUUUUAGUUUGUUUGUGUCUGUACACAAAGAGAUAUAUUACUUCUGGAAUUAACAUAUACUCAGAUGAGUAGUUUAUGUUUUGCUUCAUUUGCAGGUGUAAUUUUGUUUACGAUAUUGCACAGAAAAGAACAAAGACUAGCUUGAAGAACAAGCUGAUAUUGCUGCACAAGAGGAAACAAGGUUUGCUUCCUUCCCUGAGGAGCUUCCUUCCUUUGACUGGAGGUUUUUUUGGUAGUGGGGCUUUAUUGCUGUAAGUGUCUCAACUAAAAAAAUUGGGUGUUCAUUGCUAGACAUUUAGGGAUUUAAAGAAAUUAUCAUAUUGAUGAUGUUUGUUGAAUUUGGAAGGGGGCAUUUUGAAAGAUAGGGAACAAAAAAUAUGAGAGGAAGGAAAGCCUUUUAUUUUUGUAGAGUGUAAUGUAUAGGUUCUGCGUAUAGUCCAUAUACAUAGACUCUUCAGGAAUCACUGGAGGUUAUUCCCUAUGAUUAUAACAAGUGAGGUGAGGCAACUUCCUAGAAACCAAUACUCAUGAACAUUAAAGCAUUUUAUCAUGUCACUGGCCAUUUCAGUGUUGGUACUGUUCAAACUUGAUUAGCAACAAUUCUAACCAACACAAAAGGAAUUGGGGAAUUAAUCCUUGUACAGUUCUAGCAAUCAAUUUUAGUUAGGUUAAAAAAUUUGUCCUCAAGGUUGAAAUUGAAAUGGGAAAAUUAUCCUUAUAUAGUUUCCUUAACCUCCCAAGUUGCUUCAGUUAUGGGCCAUUUCAGAUGGUAUUCCCAUAAUAUAGAACUUCUAUAGUUACGACAGUUGGUGUGGUGUGAUUUUUAAAAAUGUUUUUGGAAAUAUUUUCUACAACAAGCAUAUAAUAGAGUUUAAUCAUGCAUUUGAGCUGUGUCUAAAACUUGUUCUUCUUUCAUAUAUGUAGAUUAGAACUACUUGUGAAAGAAGAAUUGUUGACACAAGAUAGGUAAUUCACCUUCCGGUAUAUAAUUAUUCAACAUUGAAGAUAAAAUUGUUAGACUAGUUGGGGUCAUUUGCAUAUCUGACCUAUUUCAAUAUGUUCUUCCUAAAUAUUAUGAUUUUUUUUCUGCUGUAUUUUAUGCUUAUAUUUAGUUACAAAGAAAGAACUGUAGACUCAAUCAUUGGGUUGGUGUAUUGCUCAGCUGGUGACAGAUAAAUCUAAGGGUUAAUCCACAGUAGAAAUUGUUUUUAAUGGUUUUUUUUAUCGGGCAAAAAAUAAUAAAAAUAUAUAGGGGUCACUUAGGGUGUUUCAACCCUUACCAACUAAGGGUUUGGGUUCUUAAAAGACCUAGAUACACAGGAAAAGCUCACAAAAAACCUGCAGAACAAAUCCAUAACACACUUCCUAAAAACUAUGUGUAUAAAAAGUGCACUUACCAACAACGUGCAGCAAAAACUACAAACCAAUAUGCAGCCAUAAUGCACGACUCUGGCAGCAUCAAGACUUGAUGGAAGAGAAAAGAAGUUCUCAAAUCACCGUAACCAAUCCACCAAAGACCCCAACCUCCUUAGAAGCAUUAAUGCUAUGCCAACAUCACCACACCAGACCUAGAUUUACAUUUUUGCAGCAGAAUUUGCAUUGAAACUGUUGGAAUCCACUCUUCACUAUUACUCCUCACCUUUAAUUCACUUUAUGAAGAACCUUCCAGACGUGACAAUCUCUCCCCAAGUUCACUAUAGGCACCGACAAGAUCCAAGCUAGUGCCCCGACAUGAUGAGGUGUGCCCAAAUAAGCAGUGUGCUUCAAAAAUGCUUAAGACUCCCCUGCCUAAACUGAUUUAUAUUCCCCAACUCCCAGAAGAUUGAUUACCCCUGUUCAAGCAAGUGGACAUGGUCCAUUGACUCCAUUGUAUAAAACAGAAUAUUUUUUUUAAGGAAAAUUAAUUGCUAGAAAACAAAGAAUUAGAUGAGGUUUUAUCCUUUUUCAUAUUCAUACCAUCAUGUGAUGUUUUUUUACCACACGAUAUUAGACAGAAGCAUGUUUCUCUUCAGUAAAGCACACAGUAAGCUAUCCAUAAAAUGUAUUAAUAGAAUCAUGUUUCGCUCUCCACCAAUGUCAAAUUCAAAGGAGCGAAAGACCUUGUUGGAAACUGAUAAGCGAAUGAUACUGUCUUGUGAACAAGAAGGAAAACUAGAGAUUUUAAGCAGUAGAGGAAAGACCAAGAAGAGCACAUCAAGAAACGUAACCAUAUCCUACAGACUAAGAUUAUUUUGUUUUCAGAUUUUAGACUGUAACAGUCAUGGAAACUGUUUGAAGCUGAAUUGGAUGGACAUAAAAUUCAUGUUUUUUUGCUGUUAUGUUGUGAUUAAAUAUGUAUAUAAACUUAAUGGGUUGGAACAUCCAUAACUAAUUUCUUGUAUGACUAAGACGAGGUAAAUAAAAACGUUGGAAGGGGUCUUAAGUUGAUAAUGGUUUACUGUAUUUAUUCUCACCCACUUGUCACAUAUAUCAGCUGGUUUUUUUGAUGGCAAUGACUAAAUGAAAUAAAAUUGACACUUCAGUUUCAUCCCUUAUACAAAACUCAUUUUUAAAGAUAUAAUCUAAAAAAAUCAUCAAACACAAUGACCUAGACUUUUUUGUCACUUGUUUUAGCAAAACACAUGGUCAAGGCUACACCUAAAAAAACUAGGCCAAAACUUAUAGCUUUGCAACCACAAAUUUCAGCUUGACAAUCUUCUACCAAUCCAACUUUGCUCUACUGGCAGUGAUUCAAGCAGCUGGAAAAGAUCACUGCAAUUACUCGUCAAAAAAUACUUACUAGAAUUCCUCACAGUGCAUAAGCUAAGCAAUGGAUGUUUGAAUGUGCAUAUGAAUAUAUGUCAUUCCCCUCCUCUGCAUAAAAGAACUUUGACCAGCUGUGUUCACCAUCCAACUUUAACUGGAUUUGCAUAGACUUCCGUCUGCAUUUGCGCUCCCUCAUUCCACAAAAAUAUGAUGUUCCAACAGCAUUGUGUCUACACUGACACACUUCCCUCCCUGAAAAACAGAAACCAACCUUCCUAGUCUUUAGCUAAGACAUUACUUCACGGAUUUGAUAAAAAGCACAUAUAAUAAAGAUAUUGUAUAUCAGAAUCUGAUCCAGUCAACCUAUAUUUCACGCUGCAAUCAUUGGGCCAUACAUCCUCAUUGAUGAAUGAAUUUUAUGUCCACAUUGCAUCAAUAUCCAGAAGCAACGCUGCAUAAUUACUUGGCAUUCUGACAGUAAUGACAGCGAGGAUGUUCCUCUCGUAUCAGUUAGCCAUACUGCCAUUGCCCCUUUGCCGGGUCUGCAUAGAGUUGUGUUGCUGCUCUCCACAAACCUCUUCAUCUCUGCAUCAAGCCAAGCCUUCUAUUCCUUCGUUACCUGCACAAUUAAGAUAGCCUUCCUAGCCAUUUGCUAAGAUAAAGUGAAGCUGCUAAGAGAUAUAACCAAACUACAUCUAUGUAUUAGAAAUAACUCAUGCCUAUAACCCAGUAUAGACAGUCCCCCUCAUUGGUGAUACUCUUAUGAUGAGAGUUGAGGUGGGUGUUAUAUGUGAGUUAGUGAAUGUAUGCAGUGUAGUGCCAAUGGCGUGAAUGAGAAAGUGAAAAUAGUUAUUGUAAUAUUUUAUAUUAAAAAUUAAAAUUAAAAUAGUUAAAAUAUUAAUUUGUUUGUUUGUUAAAAGUGUGUUUUUACUUAGACGGUUUCAAUAUAUCAGUCCGUGAAAAAAUAAAAGUGUGAGUUCCCUUGGGAGAGGACCAGAGAAAAAGUGUGUAGCCUUUCAUAUCUUUUUCUUUUUUUAAUAAUAAAUUAAUAAUUUAUACAAUUAUAUUAUAACUUUUAAUAUUAUUAUUUUAAUUUUUUUACAUCAUUUAAUUAUAAAUUUACUGUUUAUUACUUUUAAAUACAUCACAUCAUCACUCAAUUGAAUUGAAUAUAACUAUGAAAGUUAUCAAAAUAUUUUUUUUUUCUCUUACAUACCGUUUUCAUUUCCUCCUGUAGCUGCCAGGUGUCCCUCUCACUUUUCUGAUUUUGUUUUCAUUUCACUGUGCUUUUUUCUUAUUUUUUAUUUCAUUUGCAAAUUUAGUUUUUGAUUUUGUGGCCCCACUUUUCUGCCACGUUCUCUCUUUUCUUUUCUUUUAUUUUUUUUAUAAAACCUAACGGGCUGGGCCCAAAACAUAUUUUUUGUUUUUGUCCUCUGUUUAAAACACGAAAAUGAAAUAUAGAUAAAAAAAAACAAUAUAUACUUUUCAAACAUUUGAAAUUUUUUAAUAUUUUUUUUGUUUUUUAACAUUUAAAAAAAUUUGAAGGUUUAUAUUUAUAUCUUUAUCUCUUUCUUUAAUUUUAUUUAUAAUUAUUUUUAAUUUUAAUUUUUAAUUUUUAAUUUUUUAUUAUUAUUUUAAUUUUAAAAAAACAUUUUUAAUUUUAUCACUUUUUUAAAAAAUUAAUAAUUCAUUAUUUUAUCAUUAUUUCAUUAAUUAAGUAAAAAUAUGUUUUACUUUUUUUAAUUAUCCAGAUGAAAUUAGGUGUUCACAAUUGUCUUUUUACUUAGACUUUACUACAUCAUUUUAAAAUUGGAUAUUUUCAUCAUAUCAUAGUAAAAAAUAAGUAAAGAUAGAAACAUCGGAUUCUAAAAAAAAAGAAGCAAGGUAUAAAAACCUUAUGAAAGCGAAAAGCAAGCUCUAAAUUGUGGGUGAAAAAACAUGUCAAAACCUUAAGGGUUGAAAAAGUGAGGUGUAUCAACUUCAUGGAUUAGAAAAAGAGAGAUGUUAAAACUUCAUGGAUGAGAAAAAAAGUGAGGUGUAUCAACCUCAUGGACGAAGAAAACGAGAUCUUGAAACCUCAUAAACUGAAAAAAAAAAAAUAGAUGUACACUACAAUAAAAUUAUGAAAUAGAAACCAAUUUUAGAUACAAAAAUAAUUAGUUGUUAUAGUGAUUAAAUUAGAGACCAUUUUAGAGACUAAAAAUAAAUUAGUUUCUAAAUUAGUUUUUAUUAUUGUUAAAUAGUUUCUAAAUUGGUAUUUAAUUAGCUAUCAAAGUUUUAACUACCAAUUAUUCAUGGAUUAAAAAAUCGAGGUGUACCAAUCUCAUGGAUGAAAAAAAUGAGAUGAUGAAACCUCAUGAAUUGAAAAAAAAGCAAGGUAUCGAAACCUUGUGGAUUGAAAAAAGCAAGGUGUCGAAACCUCGUGGAUGAAAAGAAACAAGGUGUGUCAGUUGGGUGAGAAUAAACGACUUCAUUAGUAAGUCUGACAAGCAAAUGAAAAUGUUGAUGCACUAACUGAAAUAACUAAUUUAACACUUCCAAGGACUAAAUAGUUGGAGGACAUUGCCAAGUUGAUGAAACAAGAAUUAGUUAUGAUGAUGGAAUGACAACUUGACGACACUUUAACAAGUACGAGUAAGGUCCACUCCCAUUGUGCUGAAAACUUUGAAGAUCAACCCCUUAUUUGAAGUUAACUCACAUUGUAAGUUUAAUUAUUUCAUACUUUUUUCAUGUACUAAGUGUUGUAUUUAUUCUAAUCGUUUUUUAUUUUUCACAUGUACUUUCAAUUAACUCUUCACUCUCAUCACUACGUCGAAUGAAACAUAUAUUUUUUUCUUAAUCUCGUAGUUGUUUUAUCUUUAGUUUUCAAAUACUCUUUAGUCAUACUUUGAGUUAUCACACCUUUUUUUAUUCCUAAUUUUGACUUAUUUAUUUUAGACAAUCUUUUUUAAUUGUUCAUAGCAUGUAUAUGAUACAUUUUACUUUUAGUAUUGUUUAAUUACCACCUCUUUAAAAUAUUUUCUUUAGAACAAAAAUUAUAACCUACACAAUUGAUUGGUAGAUGUUAUAAUUAAUUUGGAAUUACAAUUAAAAUUGAUAUUGGAUUUGGAAGUACAAUUUACAUUUUUUAAAAUUAUAAUUGAUAUAGACAAGUUUCAAAUUAAAAAACAGAUUGAAAAAUCUUUUAAACCAAACAAUUUAUUUUUUUCAUCAAUCUUAGUAUUGGCUUGACUCACACUACCAAUUUUUUUUCUACUGGUUAGAUCGGCAUGAUCCACUCUAAAUCCAACUUUUUUUUUUGAUUUUUUUUAUAUUAUCGGCUAGACUUAACCCUUUUAAUUAAAUUUUUUUAUUUACCGAAAGCACAUGUUUUUCGAUGUUAAGGUUUAAUUAUUUUUUUUAUAUUUUAUUUCUUUAGUGUUUGUCUGAUUGACUCUACAAUUAAAUUAUUAAAUAUUGGUUGUUCAGUUUGUGUUUGUUAGGACAAUGUUACUAGUGUCCCCUCCUUCGACUGUCACAAUAUUCAAUAGCUUCUACACAUGGAACGUGAACUUUUUAAUCAACGCAAGACUAACACUAAUCACACUUCAGUAUCAACUUUGUUUUUAUUUGUGUCUGUUUUUUUGUCGUUUAAUCCAUUUAUUCUUGUGGUGAUUUCAUCCUUAAUAUUUGAAAAGAAAAAAAAAGUGAACUUCUUUGGUUGUUUUUGAGGUAAGGAAUAGUUCGUAGUUUUUGUUGGAAAUUUGUGAUAGACUAAAGUGUGAAGUUCUAUCUUAUUUUUCUUCUUAUUUUUUUUUAGGAUUGAGCCACCUUUUAAGUGAUCUAUAUUUAUUUAUUGUUUUUUACUGAUAAAAAAAAUGAAUAUAUAAAAAGAAAAAACACCUAAACUUUAUUGUUUGUGUAAAUAAACGCCUAGAGUUUUAAUUUCAUUCUAAUGAAUCCUCAAACAAAGUGGUUUUGUGUCAAACUUCCCAACUAAGUUAAAAUAUAGAUCAUUUAAUAUUUGGAUGAUUUAUAUAAUAUUUUCAAUCCCUAUUAUUGGUUAGAUAAUAAUUAAACUUUAAUUUCACAAAUAUAUAUUUAAGGGUCUUUAUGUAUUAGCCUUGCCCCAAAGCAUAAGAAAGUUCUAAAUAAAUGAAUAUGCAAAGUUCAUUUCACUUGGCUAGUGAUAUUGCAAAUAUGUUUGGUUAGGAUUAGGCCUUUUUACGUGCCAGGCCUAUCUUACUUUUUGGAAAUAGGCAUCUUGUACUCCCAUAAACUAUAUGUAAUUAAUUAAAUUAACCAUAUGUGAGUGAACCUAUAUAUUAAUAUAUAUUCAUCUAUUUCAAUUAAUAUUUCUAUAAGAGUAAACCUAUAUAUUCUUACCUCCAUUUGCUAUUAAUAAUACUUCAUAUCUUAAAGAGAGAUUGACAUUAUAUAGGUGGUCCAAUUCUACACUUUCUGUAAUCAUAUCUAAUAUUCCUUUGUCCCUAAAAGCAAAUAUACUAAAUCAAUUGUAUGCAGUCAAGCAUUUUAUACGUCUCACUCUAUCGAAAGAUCCAUAGAAAAACUCUUACUAUAUUAGAGUGACAAAUCUUAACUACUUCACUAACACUUUUCAACAGGAUUUUUGGUCAACCCUGUAAGCACAUAUUUAUGCUAAACCUAUUAUGAAUGAUGAUUGAUGACUUUGUGCUAAAAUAAUGUUUGGUUAGUGAUAGCCACACCCGUGAACAUAUAUUAGUCCAUACUUGUCAACUUUAAGAUAAUGUAUAGAACAUGUCAACAGGAAAAAAAAAAACUAACUUUAAUAGCAAUAAUUAUUUGUUAAAGAUGACUAAACGAGGUAGUUUAUUGUGUUUUUUUUUCUUAUCAAUUGAUCCAUUAAAAACAGGUUCAUCAGUCAAAAUUAUACAGACAAAAAUAAUAAUUCGUCGUGUCAGAGGGUGAGUUGGUGGCUGAUCCACCACUUUUUUUUAAUUAUUUUGUUUUAAAUUUAUUUAUUGAUUAUAAUAUUUGUUAUUAUUUUUUGAAAAAAAAAAUAAGAAAAAUAAAACUGAAUCAAACUUUAAUAUUUUAAUAAAAAAUAAAUUUAAUAUCUAACAAAAUAAACUACAUAUCAACAAUGAUGUAUAAAUAAAUUAAUAAAUAAAUUUUUAUAUAAAACAUUGAUUAUUCCAAUUUUAUUUUCAAAAACAUUAGAUUUUUAUUUAAAAGUAUAAAAAUAAAUAAGGAGUUAAAUUGACAGGUUAAGCAGAAUAAUACGAAUUGAUAAGUUAAAAAAAAUUAAUUCGCCUUAGGCAGACUGAUUUGCUAAACCCAACCGUUUUAUUGUCGGUAUUAUCAAAAAAAUUCUUAUUGUAUCCUAAGAGCCGUGAACAUCCACUCCUCAUGAAAUCAAUAUUGUUCGUCAACCAUAAUUUGCAAGAGUAUCAGUGGCAUUACUAGAACAGGGAAGAACCUAAAGUAAACUUUGUCCAAGUGUUAAGAUCACAUAAACUGAUCAGCCCUUCACUCAAGAACUCCGCAUAAAGAGUAAAAAGUUUCAUAGUAUUAGCUUCUUGACAUUGUCAUAAAAUUUUCUACUUGAAAAUGAAAAUUUGAACCUUUAUUUGGUAGGUUAUACUCUAGGAAAAAAGCCAUUAACAUAAAAUCCUUGAGACCAAGGGAAGGUGGUAAACUCACACAUACAUGCCUGUUGCCUUAGCUUGAAGUAAAUUACAACCAUUUAUUGAACUAAAAUAAGAAAACACCAAAUCAUAGAGUUGUUUGCUCUCAGUUGCAUUGAAAACUACGUAGCUGACAAAGUUUGUAAGCCAGAUAUGUUCCUUGACAUAUCAUCCUUGAGUUCCAUUUGCAUUGGAUUGCUUCCCUUGUUGGGGCUUUGCAACCCCCAUCUCCAUGAAUUCCUCCUCUGCUGGGGUUUGUUUCCUUGCAGCACCUUUAUUGUCUCGGUAUAUGAAAUACAAUAUUAGUUGCAUUGUCCCCAAAGCGGAACCAACACCAUUAGGUACCUGAAAAACCAUACAUCAACCUUAGUCUAUUCUUCUUCACUGCCAAUACAUUAUAAAGUAAAAAAGUCAAAAUUGCAAAAGUGACUUACAGCAACAAAUGGGUCACGGCCUAGCAGACCAAAGAUAAACCAGGAAGUGCCGCAGAGAAACACAAACAGAGACAAGAAGAAGGGCAUGAACUCCACGCUCUUGGUUUUGAUCACUAAUCUCUGCACAUAGUUUUAAAUCCACAAUUAACACACACCCACAGCGAAUCCUGCACUAUCACUAUUACAAAUAGCACUUUUCUUCCUUGGUAGUGUUUACCGAUAAUAAAGAAAAUAUUACUCGGCAUGAAAAGUUUCGCAAACAAAUAACUCCUUUGAAUAUACAAAAAAUUAUCAAGUUGUUAAAAUUUACUUAGUUGAUUUUGAAUCAAGAACUACCAGCAGCAUUCAAUUUGAUGGAAAAUUAGCUUACCAUAAUUGAGAGUGGAGAGCCAUACAUGAUUAUGGAAAAUAUUGCAGCAGCAAAGCCGCAGAAGAGCUUUCUGGAAUUGCCAUGAAGCGCAAAAAGGGACACAAAAACAACAGCAGAGAACACAGAGAGCACGAAGGUGAAGAGACCAAGAAUUUUAACCUUCUCCUUCUUGGGAGCCAAUACGAUGAAGAUCAACACGUACACGAUCUCAAUCAAAGAUCCAGUGCCAUUCACUGUUGACACUAAUAUAUUGUGGGGAGACACAAAAGGUAGACCAUACCUGUGGAUUUUAAAAAUUACGAUAUAGCAUUUAGUAGCUAGCCAGAUAAGGAUAUAGUUUUCUUCGCAAAGAUUUAUUCAGCAAUUGAAAGCGAAAAUUCAACCACUGUUUGAAUUCUAAUCCGACAAAUUAUUGACCUCUCCAAAAAACAAAAUUUAUCCGUCAUUCAAAACACUUUAAUGAUUAACCAAUAGACAAACAACUUUUCUGAAUUAAAAAGCAGUGUACGAAAACACUAUUAUCCAGGUAUAAGAAUUGACAUUUUACAAUUUACAUCAGGGAAAAAGUGAGGAAUAAAUAAAGACAAUUGGAGAAAGUAGCGAAAAUGAGCACCACAAAAUUUAAAGUAAGUACACGUGAUUUGAUAGAAGAUUUGGGGGAGGAGACCAUAAAGGCAUGCAGUAAAAAGAAAGAACAUGCGAGAAGCUCACCAAGCUGAAAGCAGACAAUUGAGCAGUGUCAUGACAUAUGGAAUUCCCGAGAACUUCUCUGUUGAUCUGUUCUUUAUAAUCCUCUUGAAUGUGAUCCUGCCAACCCCAAUUCCUCACAAAUUUCACUCAAACUUGCACUAUUUUUCAUAUCAAUAAACAAUAUAAAAAAAAUGCUACUUUUAUAUGCACAGAUGAUUGAAUUGCUCAAAUUGGUAAACCAUCUUCAUGAUUUAGAAUUUGAGUUUGCUUUAGCUCCACAAAACUAAGUUCCUAAGACAAGGGUUACAUUACAUAUACUAUUUUUUUUACAUCAAUGGUCAAAGAUAGAUCUUUAAAACUCCCAACAGAUUCUCUCACAACAAAAAUUAUAUAUUUUGAACAUGAAACAUAUAAUACUAAACAGCAGUCCAAUAUAAACUAUAAUAGGUAGUCCAACAAAUUAAACGAGUACAAUAAUAAGUUUUAAUAUCAUUUAGCUUCAUAACUCAACCCAAAAGGUAUCUAAAGAUGUGAGUCAUAAGAGUUGUUUUAUAUAUACAUGUUACCAAUAAUAUAGUACAGGUGACACCUCUAACAUAAUUUAACAGGAUCCAUGGGGGAAAAAAAGUAAAGGCACAACAACUUAAAAAGAGAGAUAACGAAGAGGGGAGGAGACAGCAAUGUAAUGCAUACACAGGAGCCAAGAAGAGGAACAGAGCGGAAACAUUCCCUGUACCAGAAAGAAGAACAAUGAGAAACAGAGAAACUAAAAGUUCAGAAGCCAAGACUUUCAUCAGGGUAACAAGAGAAAAUGAGAGAAACAAGGGUCUUAAACCUACCAAAUAUUCCAAACAAAAAAUGUGCAAUAUCCAUGACCUUUGAACUUUUGUUAUCCUUUCUUUCUUCUUUCUGCCUAAUCUGCAGAAGAGAGUGGAGAAAAAACCUUGGGAGUUUGGAGACCCAAGGAGCUGAAAUAAAACCUGUUUCUUUAGAGAUGGUAAGGAGAUACAAUGAGAGGAGAGUACAAGUUAGUGGGUAUAUAUAGGAAAGGGUAACGAGUGCAAGGUAAAAUACAGUAUAAUACUGUAUUUUAGUCUUAUCCUUGGGAUUCGAUGUUGAGAACUGUUUUCCUUCAGAACCAUGAUCAUAACAUAACCAUGUAUUAUAGGGUCUUUGUCAUGUGUCUGAUUUACGCCAACCCGAAAUAAUGCAGAUGCUUAUGCUAUACAUAUCAUUGUCAUACUCUUACAUAACUCACGGGAUGAGGAAAAGGAAAAUAUAUAUAUAGUAGUUCCACAUGACAUCAACACGAGACAUGUGUGCAGUGCAACAGUGCUUCUUCUGCCAUUAAGGAACUGUUGCAGUCAGAUUUUAACGUAACUUGGAAAUAAAAGUAAAUAUAAUUAACCACUGGGUAGGUUUAUCCCGUGGAUCAUUUUGUAACUAGACAAGAACCAAGCACAAAAGGACCUUGCUGGGUUUCUCAAAAUGUUUUUGUUUUUUAUAAAUAACCAAAACAUUAAACUAGCCCUGUGAUAGAAUAGAACGUGAGUUCAAUUGUUGGGACUUUAGAAAUUUAUGUUUGUCUUUUGGGAACAAACUGGGGGGUAGAAGAAUAGCAAGUAAGAACUUGAUUCUAAUGCUCCAAAACAUGUAUUUCUUGGGGAAUUGUUGUUCUUAGUUUCAUUAGAUUUCCCCUAGACAAUCAUGAUAUUUCUUAAUCCUUUGGUGGAUCACAAAGGCCUCGAUUAUGCAAUUUGCUGUGGUUAAUCUGGAGCUGGAUAAAGUUUGUCUGUAUAAGCCUCGGAUUUAGAUCCUCUGUAGUUUAAAUAUCAAACUGCAUUCAAAUGAUGUUUUAUUAAUUCCACAAAUAUUAUAUUACUGGUUUAAUUAAGUAUUUAUAGGGACUAAAAUUUUAAAAAAAUGAUAUAUCCACAAUUCACCUUUUUUUAUACAUUCACUCACAACUCUCAAAUGUUAUUAUUUUAAUAUCUUCAUAUUAUUUAAUUAUAAAUUUAUCUUUUAUUAUAUAUUUUUUAAAACUAUUAUAUCAAAGGUUAUAAACAACUUCUGAAUAUCAAAGGUCAUGCUGGCUUUUCCCUGAAAUAUAGGGACUAAAAUUACCGUGAAACUAUAUUUUAUAGUUAAUUUUUUAAAAAAUAACUAGCUAAUGUUGCCAAAUGGUUAUAUUUUCUUAAAUGUCUGUAUAAAAUCUUUUACACAUAUACAAUACUUACACUGUUUUACCAUCAAUUGUACAAAAUAAACAUGGAUCACUUUGAUAAUAAAUCUUUAAAUCCUUAGUUAGCCUUUCCAUUUAGUUUUCAAAAAAAUUCAUUUAUAAUAACUUUUUAUAAAUUCAAGGAUUAAAAAUGAUGAUUAAAAAGUUAAAGUGAUUCACUCUUGGGGAACGUUUAUUUCAAAGUAUAACAUUAUAUUUUUUUCAGAAAUGGCAUUUUCAAUAAUAUUAUGUUUAGAAACAUAUUUCCAUGAACAUGACUAGUUGAUAUUUAGAAAUUUAAAAAAAAAAAAAUCCUUUUGUUAAAAAAUUAAAAUGUAAAAAUAGAAUAAAACGAAAAUAUAUAUUUAUUAUAAAAAAAUCAUUUUAUUUCCAUGGGAAUGUGAAAUACUAAUAAGAGUUAAGACAUAUAUAUAUAUAUAUGUGUGUGAAUAUUGUACACUUGAGAAUAAAAAAAAUAUAUUGUAAAUGUUUUCAAAAAUAAAACUUGGAAAAACAUAUCUAGUGAGAGAUAUAAAAGAGAUCAAAGGUAAGUAUAUAUCAUACAUGAUAUAAUGCUAUAAGAAGAAUGAAGAAAGAAAUUAUAGAUUUUAAUUAGGUGUUUAGAAAAAAUAAAUAAAGUGUUUAAUAAUUAUUGAGACAUAGAAAAUGCAAAAGGAAGAAGACGAAGGCAAGAAGAAAAAGACCGUAAUCACUAAAAACAAGAAUAAAUAAACCAAAAAAAGAAUUAGGCUAAAGUCUAAGAAAAGAGUUGGUCCCUCCAACUAAAUCGCCUAAUAUAAUUUAAAGCACACUACACGGUAUCAUCUAAUAAAAAAUUUAAUACAAAAUCAUUAUAUAUUUUUCCAAAACUUAUAUCAAACAUUAAAGUGUAAUAUUUUCAAACUCAGUUUCUUUAAAAUCCUUCUUAUACUUUUGAAUAAUGUCAAAUAAGGUCAUAGUUUCAAAGACCAAUGUAUGUCCAUGCUGGCAGCCAUACGCAUGUUUUGUUUCUUUGUUUUAAAUUCAUUGGUCAUGCAUUGUAUAGCUAGUUACGUGAUAAGAAAGUUUAAGACCUUUCAUAUCCACGAAACAAAAUGCUUCUACACAUAAUCCAAAUAUGAAAAAUUAUUUAAUAUAUAUAGAUGAAUAAGAACAAAAAGGAUUACAAAAGAAAAUGAAAAAAAAAAAUAGAAGGAAUACGAUAAUUAAUUGCGUUGUUUAAUUAACACGAGAAGUUUGAUGAAGGUGAAAUGAUUGAUUAUUCUGAUUUUUUUUUUUCAACUAAAGGUUUGAUCCUGGAUUACAACUAAAUCUGUUUUUGCUUGUUUUUUUUUUCUUAUUAAUAUCUUGAUCUGGUGAAUUGUUUGUUUUUAUUUAGUUAUCUCUGUUGGUUUGAGUAAGAUUGGACUACUUUUGAUGUGAAUUUAUUUUUUUUUUAUUUUUUUUUUCUGAUAAUGUUUUGUAAUUAUUUUUUUACGUCUAAUAUAGAACUUAGAAAUUGAGUUUCAAGAUAUUUUAUAUACAUUUUUUUUUUAACUCAAGACACUUAUUACUGAUAGAACCAUGACAGAUAGAAUCAUGACAGAAUUUCAAGUUUCAAAAUGGACAAUUUUUUAAUCAAAACAUUGAUAUUAUUUGUGAAAAUAUUUACCUAUUAAUUAUAUCAAUUAUUUUGUUGGUUGAAGUUGAGUUUAGAAGGCAUCAAAACAUCAUGUUGUAUGAGAAUAAAUGAGGAAAUAGAAAGAAAGGAGCUAAGGUUUAUUUGGAUGGAUGGGGCCAUUGCUGAAAUGGAAAACCUAACAAAAUGAUUGAAUGAUGUAUGUGUAUGUAUGUAUAGUGUAAGUAUGAAAGGUGGGAUGUUAGAUAGGCAUAGGUAUGCCCUUUGGAGGAGGGCUCUUCCUAUAAAAUUGUGUGGCUUAGAAACUGAGUUCAGCAUUAAUGAUAAUGAAACAUAACACCAUAUAUUGACGCAAACUUCAUGCCCAUACCAACACCCCUAGCUUCUUCUAUUUCUUUCUAUCUUAUUCAUAUGAAAUCAAACAAGUGCACGCAAUUUCACUUGUCAUUAUUUAAUUAUCACUCUCUUGUUUAGGACAAUCUUGAUUUGAUAACUCACUUUCUCUUACUACUAACUUUCUCUCUCAAACACACUUUUUAUUCAACAAAAUUAGCUUCCAUCUUACAAUCUAUUCAACUAUAAAUGUAUAUUUUUAAAUAAUUAUAUAUUAACAAUACAAUUUAAAAAAAAAUACAUGUUUGUGUAUUAGUAAGUAAUAAGAAUUGAGCCAUAAUCAGCAAGUGCAUAUUUACUUCAAUUAAUAAUAAGGAGAUUCAUUAAAAGCGAGGUAACAAGUUUUAUUUUUAGAAACACGUAGACUUUGGUAGGGUAUUGGUGAAAGAUAUAGAUCUUUUUUAACUACAUUUAAAAUAAUUAAAAAAAAGUAGGUAAGUUGUACUUUAAAUCACAAUUUUGUUAUAAAGAAGUUAUGUUUACUUAAAAAAAACAUAAAUAGAAGUUGCACAAAGAAUUUAAUGUUUACUAAAAAAUCUACUUACAUAAUUUUCUAAAGAAAAUGAUGAUAUUGUAUAUAAAAAAGAAGUGUUAUCUUUAAAUAAAACAGGAAGCUUAUGUUAAAGUAUAUACGAUAUUGCAAUCGAUCAAUUUGACUUUUUUUAACCAAAAUUAUUUGCUCAGAUUAAAAUAUUACAUUAAUAAUAAUAUGUGUUAUUUAAUAAUUAAAAAUUACAUUUGAAAGCACAAUUUAUAAAAAAAAACAAUGAAAAGUACGAUCUUUUUAUAAAAAAAAUUAAAAAAAAGUCGUCGAAAUAAUACUUCUUUAUACUAAAAUUGUGUUUUUACGUACCACUUAUCUAUUUUCGUAAAUUUUUUAAAUAUAUUUAUUUUUGUAAACAUUAAACUUGUUGUUUUGAAUCUAAAAGAUCAUUACUUGUUAUAUGACCGAAAAUAAUGCGUUGUAUAUUAGAAAUUUUGAAAGUAUUUUUGUAACAUUAUUUUGCUUUUUUUUGCAUCACUAUUUAUUUUAUCUUACCCUUUUUCUAUAUUAUCUUCUUUAUAUUAUAAAAUUUAUCAUGAAAAUACCUGUUCUCACAAACUGUUAAAAAUUCGUGUUGAAUUUUUAUUAUUUACGAAAACUCGUGAGAUUAAUAGAUUACCAUAAAUAAGAAUGUCGGUAAUAAACUGGACUCGUGGCCAAAAAACUUUAUCAGGAAAAAGUAUUGUUGGCUCUAUAGGAAAUUAUUUUAUUAAAAAUUAUUCUUUAUUAUAUAUUUUUUUAAAAACUGUGACAGGGUUGUAUAAACACCCAGAAUUAAAGUAUAAUUUUUCUUGUUUGUUAUGAAAAAAGUAAAACAUAUAUACUUAUUUUUAUUUUUAUAUAAAAAAUUUUAUGUUAGACAUCACUAUGCUACUUGACAUCUCAGUUAGGCUGAGUAAUAACAAUCAUUUGCCAUCACAUAAAAAAAUAUUAUUAAAAAAAAUACAAAAAUAUAGGAGAAUAGAUCAAAAUUCAUAUGUUAAAAAAAACGAUAUAUAGGUAGACUAUAAUUAUUAAUAAAUAAUUCUAAAAAUAGACUAGAUAAAAACCUAUUAUACCAAUAAAAGAAUUUUUUAUGGAAAAAAUCAUAAAUUAGUUAACCUAGCAUUUUUUUUACGAAAAAUAUAAGUAAUUAUAGUAAAAUAUGUAUACUUGAAUAAUAUAAUAAUAUUUUAAAUUAAAAAAUAAAACAUUAAUUUAUGGGAUUUUUAACUAAAUAUUUAAGAUAUCACCAUUCUCUAUAAUAUGUAAUAAAGCACAGGUGUCAGUAACAUGCUUUAACUCAUUGCUCUGUACAGUGGUUAACUACGCAAUCCCCAACAACAUGCCGCAGAAAAGCCAUAUUUAAUCUUUCAAGAGGGCAAAAUAAUCAAUUUCGUAAGAAAAGCAAGAUUAAGUAAAGAAAACGUAACAAUAACAUUUUAUUUAGUAUUGUGUCAAAUUAAUGGAAUCAGAACAAAAUUGGUUCAGAUUUGUUUUUAUAUACUAAAUAGUAAAAAGAUUCUAAUCAAAAUAGCUUCCCUUUUUUUGCUGUUUCAGCUGUAAUUACUACAUUUGAGCUAAGAAUUUGUACAAGGACACAUUGUGAAGAAAGACAAGAAGACAAAAACUCUAGAAGAAAUCCGUGUAAAUGAACUUGUGAUAUUGCAGAUUCAAUAACAUAAACUACCUAAUGUUCUGAAGGCAACAACAAGUAUAUAUAAUUCUCAAGCUAAGCAACAGAUCAAUAACUUAACUACAACAAAAUUAUGAAGCCAUCCGACAAGAAGAAAUUAUUAGUGGAUUAAGCCUAAUUUGAUGGUGAAGAAAUUAAUAUUUCCAACCUUCCCUUCAAGAGAUUAGCUUUCUUUUCCAAGCUUUUUUGUCUCCACCGAAAGUGAUAAGACUUUUAUAUCUCCACGUCUUUUGUGCUCCUUAUACCCUUUUCCAAAACUAAGCGUUUUCCAGAGUUUCUAGCUUCUUUUCAGUUUACCUUGUUGCAGAACUUCACAAGAGAAAAUGACAAAAAAAGUAAAGCCUAAGGGAGGAAGUUUUUAUUAAAUUAGGAUACUUUCCUAAGAGUAGAUAUAUGUUUCCUAAUCUAUAAAGGAAGUAUGGUUAAGCUUUUCAUAUGCAUCAAUCAUUCUGACUUUCUCAAUGAAAUUGAGAUGCAGUUAAGUUGUAAAAGCACCUCAUCGCUAUAUAAUUUCAUUUAUGAUUCUCACUUUCUCACUUUCUCACUUCCUCCCUGUAUCAGUCCUUUUCAUUCUUUGAACAUGUUGGCCAUUGAACCUAUUUUUGGAUCACCCCAAAUGACUUCAAUCCCAUCAAUACCUUCUCUUAGUAUGGGCAUGUUACCAAAUAUUCCUUGACUUAAAUGGUUAAAUAGUUUACUUGGACUUGUGAAGCUUUCCACUUCAGCCUCAAGCAGACACAAAAUAACCAUCAAAUCCAGAAUUUUAUUAUGCCAUCAGACAAGAAGGGUCAACCAAAUAGCCAUAUAAAGUAUCAUCCUACUCCACAUUGAUCUCUUCAGCUAAAGCUUUGGGACUUUAUUUUUUGGAAACUGUAUAAGGAAGACUAUUUUCCUGAGAUCACCACAUGUAUUGUCCUCUUCACGUAUCCAACAAUGAUUGGUUAUGUAUCUGCUCUCAUCUUUAUUGAAAGCAAUCUGCACUUCAUAAGGUAAACCCACAAAACGAGAAUCAUUGCCUUAAGAAAGGACAUUGAGAAUUUAAAACACGUCCCAUCACAAGGUUCCAUAGUUUGUACCAUUGCUGGUACGUGUUCCUUCAGAAUUAGUUUCCUUUAUAAUUGAGUUUACAGUUUACCCAUUACCAACAGUUAAACCAAUAUUAUGGACAGAUGUUCGUAGUGGAUCAGUGAGAAAUUCUUUACAACAGUACAAAAAUAUAUAUUAAAUAUAUAGAGAGAACCAGAAUAUUUGUUUCAUCAAGAGGGUGGUGAAAAACAUAAAAGCAAGAAUUCAGGAAAAGAUAAGGGUAUAAAUAUAUAUAGGUAGAAUAGGAACACUUUAUAUGCUAAUUAGUGAAUAGUUGUGGAACUUGGUGGUUAUAAUUUAAGAAUAUAUAUGUGAGGGAAUUCGCAUUAGUAAUUAUGGGUAGCAGUUGUUAAUUGCUGAUUUGAUGUGAAUUUUGGGUUGCCAUGAUGGCAUGGGAACCCAACAAGGUUAGUUGGAUUUGAUGCUGCAAUGGAUUAAUGCCAUGAUGUUGUAGACAUGGUGAUAUUGAUGCAUUAUUGAAAGGAGAAAAGAGGAAGGGAUAAUGGGUUCUAGAAGAGAUCAAACUCCAUCCUUCUCUGUAGGUAGAAUCUGUUUAAAGGAGAUUGCAGCUUUAUUAAAUUAGGCGUAAUUAUUAAAUUUGAUUUAGAAAUGAAAUAGUGAAGUUUAAAUGUAAUUAAUGCAGUAGCAAAAUCAAAUUUAAUUAUGUAUGAACCAAGAUCGUGUCAAUAACAGUUUUUGCAAUCAAUUUGGAAGAGGUCUGAUUUUGCAUGCAACAUUUAUCGUUUUUAUCCGGUUGCAUUCAAUUCGUAUUGAAAUGUGAACAAAAUGGUUACAUAAAGUAAUACUCAUUUUGAGGAUAAAUAAAUCACCUCAAAUACUCUAAUUCAAACAAAAUUGAUUCACGCCUCUCUUUCUCCACAACUAGUAAAUCAAUGGAAACAGACACGGUUAAAGAUUGUGAAUGGGAAGUAACUUCAAGUCUUUUAUCUAUUAUGCAGGUUUGGUUCAUGGUUGUCCUUUAAGUUGUUUGGAGUUCACAUAGAGAAAGAGGUUCUUUAAAUUAUAAUGUAAAGAAAGAGGUUAUUUAAAAUACAAUUUUUACAUUAGAUUUCUCUGGCCAUGUCAUCAAAAAACACACAGUAGUAAUUUUGAAAAUAAAACAAAAAAUUUAUGUCGAACCUUGUGUGUUUCAAUAUAAAACUAUUUAUAUUCAUUAUGCGAACUUUUUAUUCACUAAGAAAAAAAAUUUAACAGAGGUUCUUUAGUGGAGGUUAAUAUACUCUAAGAAUUGAUUUAAUUAACGAAGGUUUUUUUUAACUUUCAUUAAGUUUCAAAAGUUAUUCUAAAACUUCAGCAAACUAACGGAGGUUUUUUUUAACCUUUGUUAAAUUUCAAAGGUUUAUUUUAAAACCUUAGUAAAAUAAUAAAAGGAUUUUUAACCUUUGUUAAAUUUCAAAGGUUUAAUUUAAAAUCUUAACAAAAUAACAUGCAGGAUGACAUAAAUCCUCGUUCGAGUAAGUUGUUAGGCCCAAAUGUUUCUAAGUUUAGUAUCUAUUUAGAAUUACUAAUUCGAUGACAUGUAUCUAUUAUCAUUCCAUUACGAGAUGAGUUUGAAAAGAUAGACAAAAACCUCAUGUGACAAAAUAUUCAAGUAUUACAUCACUUUGUGUUAACACCUUAUUAGUUAAUUUUGUUAUUAUCUGACAUUCUUAAUUUAUUAACGUUUUAAAUGUUUUUACAACAAAUUUUUGACAUUCCAAAUACUGAGGUGGGCAGAAAGAAAGUCUUAUCAAACAUUGUCACCAAGUGGACGGGUUUGAAGACUUUCUUGACACGAGAGGACGUGUUCAAAAAGCAUAAAGAUGAAAGUCCUUAUGUCAAGUACCAUAUAACUAAGGAGGAAUUGGAUGCAGUUUUGUGUUAGUCGAUUAAACACAUCUUGACAGGUUAGUUUUUUACAAUUUUUAUACUUAAACAAAUUUCUACCAAUAAUUUUUUUUUGUCUCGUUUUUAUUUGCAUUGCAUGAAAAAAGAAUAGCCACCCAGAAGCGACAGAAGUUGAACGAUGCCCCCCAUCUUCUAUCAUAAGGGGGUACACAUUGUUGCAACAACGCCUCAUGAAGGCUCGAGUAAAGGCAACAUGGGUAUAAUUUGUUGACCUUGUAUCUCCACCUCCAUGCUAUUAAAUGUGGAAGAUUGCUCGCAUGAAAUCAAACAGGAAAAUAACUUUACAGUUUACCCAAAUCAUUGCACAAACAAUUGUAAGUUCAAAAGCACAUAAUAUCAUUAUCAUUUCCCCUUGUUCAUAUGUUAGUAAGUGAAUUAGUAUUGUUUAUGCUUAAUUAUUGUUUAUAUGUUGCAUGAUUCCUUAGUUGAUCAAUAAACACAUGGUUCAUUUGUUCCCUAUGGUCGAGAUGGUAUUUUUGAAGACGACGCUAGAGCACCCUGGACAUGUGUGUGGUAUUGGUGGUUCAUGAGGACUCCAAUACUACUUCAGUCCACUACCAUGCAGAAUUGUCGACUCUUUGAUAAGUGUCUAAUUGCAGUAAUAUUUCAUAUUAAAAUAUAGGCACUUAUGAGGAUUUAUUGCUAAUUUACAUAUAAAAUAAUCCCUAAUUUAUGAAUUUAUACCUUUUUACAUUUUUAUGAUCUUUAUUUGAAUAAGAGUAUUUUAUUCCCAAAUUUGGUGUUAAUUGCAGAUUUUUAAGGAAGAUUGGAGAUUUGGAUUAAAGAUGAAUGAUUUGAGCUAAAAAGAUAAAGAUAGAAGGUCCCAUAAUGGAAAAAGAUGCAAAGGAAGAUUGGGCAUUUUUUAUGUUUUAUCAUUUAGCCCAUUAGCGCGACACAAUAAACAACCUUACCCUAGAAAACUAGGAUAAAUAGAGAGCUAGAGGCUCAACCUUAGGGUGCCAGAUUGAGAGGAAAACACCAUAGAGUGAAUUGUAACCCAAUUGGGAGAAUGGAAGGUGAUAGAAGUAUGCGUGGCUAAUUCUACCCUUUGGGAUUGGGAGUAAUUACUCAAACUCUUAUGUAUUAAGGUGAUAUUUUAUAUAUUAAUAUUCAGUUCUUGAUUGAUUAUUGGUAUUGUUGUUUUACUUUUAAUUUUCCGUGACAAAUUGAGAAUCUUAAAUCUGACCGGGAGGUAUUUUAGGGUUCGGACCUAAACAACAAUACUUAACAUAUUUGAGUGCUAGGAAUAGACUUGAAAUGUUAAUUGCUAUUAAACGUCUGAGCUUCGUUCUAAGUUGUUCUUAUAAUUAUGCGAGGGAUCGAUAGUUAGGGGACAUUCUUAAGGAUUUUAUAUGCGAGGAAUCGAUAUAAAUGAUUUUUAUACGGGCAUCAAUUUCAAUCAAAGAACUUAAUAUUGACAUGCUAAUCAAAAUACUUGAGAGUGAGAGAGAUGAAACUAAUCCUUAUUUUUCCAAUUGAAACAACUAAUUCUUUGUUUGUUUUCUUAUUGAUCAGUGCCAACACAAUUAAUUCAAAAAUCUUUUAAUUGUUCUGUUUUUAUAUUUAGCGAUUAUUGUACUCGAUAAUUCACUGUUCCUUGUGGGAUUGAUAUCCGUCCUUAGGGACAAUUAUUACUUUUGACAAACGCGGUGCAUUUGCCGUAAAAAGUCAUCACUCUUGCAGUCUGAAAGCCUUGCAGAGGAUGAAGAUGCAGUUUAAAGAUAAACUGAAUACAAUUCAAUAAUUCUUACACACAAGAGUUUGAUGAGAAGUUAGAGUCACUUUGUUCUCAAUAAUAGACUCAAGAAACAUCUACAUUUUCUGAGGUUGUUCGAGUGAGCACGAAAGGGAGUUGUGUUGUUGCUAUUGUAACACCAAAUCAGCGAGUUAUAUGUUGAAGAUAAUCCCCUGAUUUUAGUCACUCUGGGACAAAAAAUAGAGGAAAAGUUAAUCAUCCAUUAUGUCUCUCUACAAUUUGACUAUAUGUGGGUGAUGGUUGAUGAAGCUAAUAACACUAAUUAUAUAUAUAUAUAUGAUUAGGGAAGUACAAAAGAAUGGAAUAUGGUAAGUUCAAUCUUAAUACCUUUUAUCAUUGUCAUCUGAGUUCUAUUAAUACUCACUUUUAAACUAGUUUUAUAACUCAAAAUCCUAGAUAAAUCCUACUAAAAUGUCAUUCUUUUAAAUUUGUAAUGCAAGUUAAAAAUAGAUUAUGACUAUUGAUGAGUCUUGUAUAAGUAUUUGAGGAUACGAAACUUGUUUUAAGGUGAUACAUUGACUUGGUAUGCUUGUUGAAAGGAAAACCUAAACACUCGUCAUGUGGGCACAAUCCAACUUGGUGAAGACUAAUUUAUAGCAAGUGCAUCAUGUUGUCAUAAUUAAUAAUUUGUGCCUAAGGACGGAUAUCGAACCUAUAAGGAACAAUCAAAUAAUGAAGUAAAAGAUUCACUAAAUAGAAAACAAAAUAAUAAAGUUUGUUGAGAGUUUGUUAUGAUUGCAAUGAUUAAACAAAAAACAAGUCAAAGAGUUUGUUGCUUCAAUUGGAAAAUUUGGGAUUGGGGUUAAAUCUUUCCCACUCUUUUGUAUUUUGAUUAGCAUGGUAAUAUUCUAUCCUUUGAUUGAUGAUGAUACCCGUAUAAAAAUCAUUUAUACUGAUUCCUCACAUAUAAAAUUAUUAAUAGAGUCUCCUAAAUAAUGAUUCCUCGCAUAUUUAUAAAAACUUCUUAUCAUUAUGAUUAGACGUUGAUAUCAAUUAACAUUUCAAAUCUAUUCCUAACAUUCAAAUAUGUUAAGCAUUAUCAUUUGAGUUAGAAACUUAGAAGUACUUUUCAGUCAAAUCUAAGGAUUUAGAUCAUAGGAACAAAAAUUACAAAUAAAAUUACAAUAUCAAUCAUCAAUCAAGAACAAAAUAUUAUAUUUAAAUAUCACCUCAAUACAUAAAGUUUGAACAUAUUACUCCCAAUCUCAAAGGGUAUAGUUAGCCACUCAUGUUGGCUAUUACAAGCAUAGAGAGCAAAAAACAAAGAUCCAGGAUGUUUCUCCUUAACGGCUGCCUCCUAUAGGGUUUCUAACACCUUUUAUUCUCCCAAUUGGAUUCCAAUCCACUCGAUGAUGAUCAAGAUUAUGCCUCAAGCCUCAUAUUAUUGAGAUUGGGCUAAGUGACUUCUCGCCUGGGUGUUAUUGGGCUCCCUUGGGUGUUAUUGGGCUCGCAUGGGCAAGUUGCACGAAAAAAUGUCCAAUGUCAUUGGAGUGAUCUCGCUUGGGCAAGAUAGGGCUCACUUGGGCGAGAUCCUCUGGAGGCUUCUAGCUUGGGCGAGCUUGAGUGAGUGUUGGUGCGUUCCAACUUUCUCUUUUAGCUUUGUAUAUUUUCCUUUUGCCCUUUCAUCUUCAUUAUUCCCUAGAAUCCUGAAAUUAACACAAAUUUGGGAAUAAAUCGUUCUAAUUCCAAUUAUAAUUACAAAAUAUGUAAAAAGGUUUAAAUUCAUAAAUUAAAGAUUAUAUUAUAGUUAUUUUAUCAAUUAAUAUCCAUAAGUGUAUGUAUUUUAAUAUGAAAUAUUACUAAAAUCUAUCACUUAUCACUUAGCUUGACCUAUUCCAAAGUUGAUAGCCUAACCUUUGCCCAACUCGACCAGCUUGGCAUGGUCCCCACUCGACCUAACAUGACCUAGGUCAUACACAACCCUAUCCAUAUUAACAUGGUUGUCACCUAGGCUCUUCGACUCAAUUUGACAUGGACUCGACCUAACUUGGAUCCAACCUAACUUAGUUCGGCAUGAGCCAGGAUCAUCUCAACCUAACUUGACUUGGUCAAAACUAGAUUUGGUUCAACCUAACUUAUCCUACACAGGUCUGACUCGAUUCUACACAAUUUUAUCAAACAUGACUUAAAUUGAAGUUAGUCUACCACGACUUAACCUAGAUUAGGGUCAUCUCAAUCAUCGUGACAUGAUCUCAAUUUGACUUAACUUGACUUAAGUUCAACCCGAUCUUGUUAAUAUUGACGUGGAUUUGAAUUGAGUAAAUAUUCUGUAUGUGUAUAAUUUUUUUUAAAGUAAAUGUUUUUUCAUUUUCAUUUUUAAAUAAGAUAUUUUACUUUAAAAAUUUUCAUAUGUGGAUCCUUGUCCAUGAGUUCGCCCUCUCCUCACCAUGGGCUUCUUAUAUACAUUUUGAUCUCAUGAGUUUUUUUUUAGGUGAACAUUUUGAUCCUAUAAGAUUUGUUUGGCUAUGGCUCGUGUAAGUCAGCCUUAUAAACUCUUGAAGUUCUGCAUCAUUCUUGAUCAAAAGUGGCAAGAUGGAGAAGAAGAGAAGCGGUGCACAGAGACCAAUUAGAAUAGUGGAAACCCAAAAUCUGAUUUCAUUAACCCUCCGCAUUUGCUGAUGCCAUAUUUUUUUAUAUUACAAAAGGGAAGGAAAAAAAACUCUAAUGGACUUUGGUAAACAAAAAACAACAAAGCCCAAACUAAGAAAGAAAACCAAAAUCAAAAUGACCAAAAACACUAAAAUCCCCCCUCAAGCUGGUGGAUGAAUGUUGCAGACACCAAGCUUGGAGAGUAGCUUAUGAAACCUUUCUUUGUCAAGUGCUUUUGUGAGAAGGUUUGCAGGUUGAUUUUCAGAACUGAUUGGAAGUAACUGGAAGAGACCUUGUUGUAGCUUCUCCCUCACCACAUGACAAUCAAUGUCUAUGUGUUUAGUUCUUUCAUGAAAGCUAUUGUUAUGUGCAAUGUGACGUGCAGAUUGGCUAUCACAGAAAAGGCUAGCAUUGUUGCUAGUUAUCACAUGAAGAUCUUCAAGAAGAUAGCUGAGCCAUUGUACUUCACAACAGGUAGUUGCAAGAGCUCUAUAUUCAGCUUCAGAAGAAGAUCUUGACACCGUACUUUGCUUCUUGGUUCUCCAUGACAGCAAUGAUUCUCCAAGGUAAAUAAGGAAUCCAGUGGUGGAUCGACGUGUUGUAAUGCAUGAGGCCCAGUCAGAAUCAGAAAAAGCUUUAAUCUGAAUAUUAUUAUUUUUGGGAUAGUAAAUACCUUGCGCUGGUGAUGCCUUUAUAUAUCUGAGUAUCCUCUGAACAGCUUGGUGAUGCAAUUUUGAAGGUGCUUGAACAAACUGACUUAGGAAUUGUACAGAAAAACUGAUAUCUGGUCUUGUAUGAACUAAAUAUAGUAGCCUUCCAAUGAUCCUUCGGUAUGUACCAAUGGCAUGCACGGUUGAAUUUUGAUCAAAAAGCUUUUCAUUCUUCUUAGUCAUGGGUGUGACUGAUGGCUUUGCAUUCAACAUACCUGCAUCAGCUAAAAUUUCGAGUGCAUAUUUCCUCUGACAGAUAUGGAUGCCAUUCUUGGUUCUAGCAAUUUCUAGUCCUAAGAAAAACUUUGAAUGACCAAGAUCUUUUAUUUUAAAAGCCGUAUUUAGGGAAUUUUUAACAUCCUCUAUAUCUUUCAUGUUGUUACCAGCAACUAAUAUAUCAUCAACAUAUAUGAGAAGAGCGAUAAAGGAUGUUCCAGCAACUUUAAUAAAAAGAGAAUUAUCUGCCUUUGAACGAGCAAAAUUAAUACUAAGAAGAAAAGUAGUGAGUUUGUCAUACCAUUGCUUACUUGCUUGCUUUAACCCAUAUAAGGAUUUGGUUAGGCGACAAAUUGGUUGGGUUCUUUUGCUGGUUACACCAGGGGGCAACUCCAUAUAGACCUCCUCUUGCAAAUCACCAUGCAAGAAUGCAUUAUUCACAUCCAACUGUUCAAGGUGCCAAUCCAUGGCAGCAGCUACAGCAAUGAUAGUUCGAACAGUAGUGAGCUUGGCCACAGGUGAAUAAGUUUCCAUGUAAUCUAUGCCUUCACGUUGUGUAUACCCUUUGGCGACAAGUCUUGCCUUGUACCUCUCAAUUUCUCCAUCAACUUUGCGUUUAAUCUUAUAAACCCACUUACAGCCGAUGGGUACUUUGUUUGGAGGAAGAUCCAUUAUUUCCCAAGUUUUGUUGACUUCAAGAGCUUCUAUUUCUGCCUUCAUGGCUUCUACCCAUUCAGGAAACUGUUUUGCUUCUUCAUAACUUUGUGGCUCGGUUUGUGAGGAUAUGGACAAAGAGUAGUUUAGNNNNNNNNNNNNNNNNNNNNNNNNNNNNNNNNNNNNNNNNNNNNNNNNNNNNNNNNNNNNNNNNNNNNNNNNNNNNNNNNNNNNNNNNNNNNNNNNNNNNNNNNNNNNNNNNNNNNNNNNNNNNNNNGGUGUUUUCCUGAUCCUAGUUGAACGUCUCAAUUCUUCAUGUUGAGUACAUCUUUCAGCUUCAUUUUGCAGAGGAAGAUCAUCAUAUAUUUGUCCUGUGAAGUCACUGUUUUCUUGGACAGUUUCCUGCUCAUCUCUAUCACUUAUGUUAUAAAAGAAAGUUUCAUAGAAAACUACAUUUCUUGAUACAAAAAUCUCUCUAGAGUUAACAUCUAAAACAACAUACCCCUUAGUACCUUGUUUGAAGCCAAGGAAAAUGCACUUUCGUGCUCUAGGAUCAAGCUUGUGUCUGUUUUGUUCAAGAGUAGAAGCAAAACAUAAACACCCAAAAAUUCUCAUAUCAGAGAUGUCAGGCAUACAUUCAUACAUUAGCUCAUAAGGACAUUUGUUUUGUAUAACAGGAGAUGACAAACAAUUUAUCAAAUGCACAGAAUGUAAAACAGCAUAUGACCAAAAAACCUUAGGCAAGUUAGAUUGAAACAUAAGACAACGUGUGAUAUUUAGAAUAUGUUGAUGCUUCCUUUCAACAGUGGAGUUUUGCUGUGGUGUUUCAUUGCAAGAUGUUUGAUUUAAAAUACCAUGUAAAUCAUAAAAAUCCUUCCAGCAAAACUCCUUCCCAUUAUCAGUUCUAAUAACCUUUAUGCCUUUAUUGAAUUGAUUCCUAACAUACAUGAUAAAAUUCUGCAAGAAUUCCCUAGCAUCACUUUUGGUUUUCAUUAAGUGAACCCAUGUAUAUCUACUAUAAUCAUCUACUAUCGUUAAAAAAUAUUUGUGUCCGUGAACAGAAGUAACACCAAAAGGGCCCCAAAUAUCCAUNNNNNNNNNNNNNNNNNNNNNNNNNNNNNNNNNNNNNNNNNNNNNNNNNNNNNNNNNNNNNNNNNNNNNNNNNNNNNNNNNNNNNNNNNNNNNNNNNNNNNNNNCACAUCAGAAUAUUUCUUAGCCAAUUUAUCCAGCACUCUGUUUGAGGGAUGACCCAUUCUACAAUGCCAAAUGUCAAGUUUAUUAUCAGAUUUGAAAACAUUAUUAUUGUACAUACUACAAAUCAACCCGUCUCCUUUUUCUGUGUGCAAAUGGUAGAGUCCAUUGUGUAUUUCAGCUUGACCAAUCAUCUUCAAAGAAUGCUUCUCCUGUAUCUGACAAAUAUUAUGAUAAAAAACAAGUUGGCAUCUCAAGGAUGUUGUUAGCCGCUGAACAGAAAUUAUAUUCAAUGUAAAUUCUGGAAUGUACAAGACAUUAUGUAGAGUUAUGUUCUUUGACAAAGUCACGGUACCAGCAUACAUAGCAGUAACAGUAUGAUUAUUGGGUAACUUAACUCUCACAUAUUUUAUUUUGUAAUAGCUUAUAAAGAAAGAAUUGGAGCAUGACACAUGAUCAGUGGCUCCUGUAUCAAGAAACCAAUUACUUAUACCUUCCUUACCUGAGUUGUUGCUCGUUUUUGAAUAUUCUCCUAUGGUGUUGUUAAUCGCUUUCUCUUUAUUCCUGGAAUUUUGAAUCAUAUCCACAAGUUGUUGCAACUGUUCUGUUCCAAAGCUUUUGACAAUCUGUUCGUUAAGAGUUUCUUCAUGGGUAGAUUUUCCUUUUUCAGCUUCAUUUUCUUCAUCCUUCUCAAAAGCGUUCGCAACACUUCUUUGUUUUAUCCAUGGUGGGAAACCAUGUUUGGAAUAACACUCAUCUACGGUGUGGUUCAUCUUGUUGCAGAAGNNNNNNNNNNNNNNNNNNNNNNNNNNNNNNNNNNNNNNNNNNNNNNNNNNNNNNNNNNNNNNNNNNNNNNNNNNNNNNNNNNNNNNNNNNNNNNNNNNNNUGUUUUCCAUAGUUUUUUCCUCUUCCUCUUCCAUAGUUGCGCCACCCAUGAUUACUGUUGUUGGUUUUGUUGUUUGUUCUUUGUUGAUUAGCGCUAUUAAUCAAGACCUUCGUGUCUAUUCCCAUGCUCUCAUUCAAAUGCCAUUCUUGUUGUAAAACUAAAGAAAAGACACGAUUAAUACCUGGUAGAGGUUCUGUUAGCAAGAUUUGGGUUUUAACAGUGUUGUAUGUUUCUCCCAAUCCUUUCAAGAAGCACAUCACCCGCUCAGAAUCCUUAUAAUUUGCUAUAGUUUUCAUCAUCCCGCAACCACACUUCGUCUUGCACACACAGGCUGGCAAAGGGCGUAAAGAAUCCAACUCCUCCCACAGAGUUUUGGAGUCAGUGUAAUAAUCUGUGAUACUCCUUUCACCUUGCUUGAUGGAAUUAAUAUCUUGUAAUAGGUCCGAAACACGAAAAUGGUUACUUUUUGCAAAUCUUUCUCUAAGGUCUUCCCACAGUUCUUUUGCACUAUCAAUAUACAAAGUGCUUUGAGCUAUCUGCGUUGUUAGACUUCGCGUGAUCCAUGAGAUCACCAUAACGUUGCACCUCUCCCACGCUUCAUAUUGACUGUCACUACUUGAAGGUUCUGGUAUCUCCCCAUUGACAAAAUUGAACUUGUUCUUUGAAAGUAGGGCACGCUUCAUUGCUCUACUCCAAGAACGGUAGUUGGAUCCAUCAAGAUGCGGUGUGACUAAAACCAUCGCUGGACUUUCUCCUGGAUGAAGGUAGAAUCCAUUGUUUGGAUCAUUCUUGGCUUCUUGUGUCGCAGCCAUGAGGAAGACGAAGCCAAGAAAGGGGAAAAGAAAACGAGGAGAGAUUCGUAGGAGGAGAAAGAAAAAUUGAGGCAGCAGAGCAGAACGGGUUAUACCCGCUCUGAUACCAUCUUGAAGUUCUGCAUCAUUCUUGAUCAAAAGUGGCAAGAUGGAGAAGAAGAGAAGCAGUGCACAGAGACCAAUUAGAAUAGUGGAAAACCAAAAUUUGAUUUCAUUAACCCUCCGCAUCUACUGAUGCAUCUGCUGAUGCCAUAUUUUUUUAUAUUACAAAAGGGAAGGAAAAAAAAAACUCUAAUGGGCUUUGGUAAACAAAAAACAACAAAGCCCAAACUAAGAAAGAAAACCAAAACCAAAAUGACCAAAAACACUAAAAUAAACCGAACCGAAUUACCAGGCCUAAAAAUGAGAUUAGUUUCAUUUUCUCAUCUAUCACUUUAUGCAUCUUUGUUAUAUUGUAAAUAAAAUUUUCAAAAUUGUUUGUGCCUUUAUAUAUCGUGUAACAAAAAAAAUUAGAGAAACACUUUCGAUUAAAAUAGCACUGCAAAAGAAGAAAUAAAAAAUAUUGCAAAAAUAAUAAAACAAAAAAAAACUUUUAAGUUGAAAUUUUAGCAUAGUUACAUCCUGUGCAGCCAAAAAGGGAAAAUUUUUUUGAAGUACUUGUCAUUAUCGAAUCCUUCUUAAUAACCACCAUUUAUUACACUAUGAGUGAAAAAAAAGGAGCUGUCAUUGCCAAAAACAUGGGAGAAAAAACCAAAGCACCACCUUUGCUUGAGUUUCUGUCUUCCACUGCUACAAAUCGUAGUUACUCUGAUUUUUGUUUUUUACUAUAAAUGAUAGUUUACUCAAUUUUAAAAUUAUCAUAGAAGCUGCAAUUUAGUCCUUCGUUUCAUAAGAUGUUGAAUCAACAUUUAUUCAUUUUUUUGUCAAAAUUUCUACCUAAACAUACCAACGUGCCAAAUUAUGAUGAGUUUUAACCUUGCCACAUGGAGAAACAACCCAUCUUAUUGGUCGUGUUCAAUAAGGAACUACAUUCGGCAAGGAUCAUUGAGAUGUGCCCUUCUUGCGUAUAAACAAACCCGGCACGAAGGAUUAUACGACUCCAGUGUGGUCGCUCUGUUACUCAAGGCAUGCGCUUUUCUUCCAUUUCUUCACUACGUGAAGACCUUGCAUGCAGAGUCCAUCAAGGCCGGUUCAGGGAGCGACGUGAUCAUUGGAACCGCAUUGCUUACAACUUAUGCCAAAUGUGAUGCUACCAGGGAUGCACGGAAACUGUUCGAUACAAUGCCUGACAGAAAUGUUGUGACUUGGAAUGCCAUGAUCAGUGGGUACUUGAGAAAUGGAGACACGGAAUCUGCUUCUCUUGUGUUUGAGGAGAUGCAGGGGAAAACUCAUGUGACUUGGAGUCAGAUGAUAUCUGGGUUUGCUAGGAAUGGGGAUAUUGUGACUGCUAGGAGGUUGUUUGAUGAGAUUCCCCAUGAGUUGAAGGAUGUGUUAAUAUGGACUGUGAUGGUUGAUGGGUAUGCUAGAAUAGGAGAGAUGGAAGCUGCCAGGGAGGUCUUUGAGUUGAUGCCCGAAAGGAAUUGCUUUGUGUGGUCAUCUAUGCUUUAUGGGUACUUCAAGAAGGGCAAUAUCGCUGAGGCUGAGGCUGUUUUCAACCGGGUUCUGGUUCGCAGUUUGGAGAUUUGGAAUUCCAUGAUUGCUGGCUAUGUCCAGAAUGGAUUUGGUGAGAAAGCACUACAAGCUUUUGAGGGAAUGGGAGCUGAAGGGUUUGAGCCGGAUGAGUUCACUGUUGUUGGUGUUUUAUCUGCCUGUGGGCAGCUGGGGCGCCUGGAUGUUGGUAAGCAAAUCCAUCACAUGAUAGAACAUAAAGGGAUAGCUGUGAACCAGUUUGUGUUGAGUGUAUUGGUUGACAUGUAUGCGAAAUGUGGUGACUUGGUCAAUGCAAGGUUGGUGUUUGAAGGAUUCACUGAGAGGAAUAUCUUCUGCUGGAAUGCUAUGAUUUCAGGUUUUGCUAUCCAUGGAAAAUGCAGAGAGGUUCUUGAGUUUUUUGACAGGAUGGAGCACUCAAAUAUAAGGCCUGAUGGUAUCACCUUUCUUACUGUGCUUUCAGCUUGUGCUCAUGGGGGUUUGGUCCGUGAGGCUUUGGAAGUAAUAUCUAAAAUGGAGGGAUAUAGAAUUGAAAUAGGAAUCAAGCAUUAUGGAUGCAUGGUUGACCUCUUGGGAAGAGCAGGGAGAUUAAAAGAUGCUUAUGACUUGAUAAUAAGAAUGCCAGUGAAAGCUAACGACACAGUUUUGGGGGCAAUGCUUGGUGCAUGCCGUAUUCAUUCAGAUAUAAACAUGGCAGAACAAGUAAUGAAGUUGAUCCAUGAAGACUCUGUUGCAGGUGCAAAUUCUCACAGUGUGCUUUUGUCCAAUAUUUAUGCAACUUCAGAAAAAUGGGAGAAAGCUGAAAGGAUGAGGAGAAUCCUGGUAGAUGGAGGAUCUCAAAAGACAACUGGGUGUAGUUCAAUGAUCUUUAGUGACUCUUGUGGAUUGAAGUGAGGAAGCCCCACAUUGAAAUGAAUGGCCUAAGUGCAAUCUAAAAAGGAGAAAUACCAAAAUAAGCACUGGCCUGUACAUGAAAUAACCUGCUGGCAAUAAUAAUGCAAAGGGCUUUUGUACUUUGAGCCCCACGCCAAGAUCAAUCCGUGGUUUCUGCCUCCAUUAUGACGUAAUAUUCCAACAGAUUUGCACUAUUGAAGCUAUUUGAUUUGUGAUUAUGAUCAAGGAGUUGUCUGAGAAAGUGUGAAGGAACUGCAUUUUACUGGUAGAUCAUUGAUUCAUUCUGUUGGUGGUCCUUCAUUGAUAGAUCAUUCAUAACUGUCAUGAUAAGCCUCUACUGAGACCUUCUGUGCCAAUGCCCUGACUUAGGACUAGAACAAAUACCCCACCCCUUAAACUUUAAAUUCUCCAAAAUUAGGUAACCAAGCUUCUUAAUCAUAGCAUUUACCGAAUGUAACAAUGUUUGGUAUAUUAUUGAUGGUUCAAAGAUUCAACAUAAAAAUUCCAAAUUAGUCACAGUAUUGAGAAACAACCAAUUCUUGUACUAUACUACAAAUACAGAAAGCUGCAUUUCAACGAUCUCUCGGUUCACAAAAGAUUCAAAUUAUACAACCCGAAAAGACUCAGCUAUCUUCUUUAAGUCAUCGUAGUGUCUCUUCCACUGAAGACCUGCAAAUUGCAAUUGAGUUGAGAUUAUUUUCUUUUCUAUUAGUUUUUUUAGUUUCUUUAUAUACUUUCUAGUUGUUCAGACUUGUGAGACGACUUAGAAGAGGAUAAAUAGUCAUACCACUGCCUGUUACAGCAAACAAAUAUAAGCGAUUGCCAGCUGCAGUGGCAGUAAUGAAAACAUGAGGAGGCUCUAGCUCAAACUGGUAAUACGUUCUUCCUUCAUGUUCUGCUACAUUAGAGCUCAGAACCUUCCCUUCUACAUUUUCGCCAAUCACUUCUGGACCAAAUGCAUUGAUCACUUUCUCUGGAGGUCCAAUUUUUUCUAUUGUAGCAUUGUCACCAAGAUCUGUAUAGAUUUAUAGUAAAAAUAUUAUCACAUAAGUAAUAAAUGGUAAUUCCACCCAGAGGUUUCACCGUUCUUUCUGUUUCAAUUUAUUCUCCCUGUCUCUAGAAAGCAAAGAUGGAGAAAGAAAAAUAAGCAAAACUCAGUACUCACCAUCAGAGAAUCGAAGAACAGGAGCAACAAUGACAAACAAGCGUCCUUCCUUAGAGCUGGCAAAUCUCAAAUCUAUCUCUGUGCCACCAAGAUCUGCUAUUGAUACUGGUACCUGCUAAGCAUAUACAUGCUGGCUGAAGUAUACAGAAAUCGUGGAGCUGAAGAAAACAAAAGAUAAAAUGUCCUCUAGAUGAACAUACGUUGUAACAGAUCUUCAGACAAAAAGAGAAGUAAACUGCUCUUACAAAAAGAGAGAUAUAGGAGUUCUUUCAUUAAGCGUUCGAAGGAAUUUCCACUGGUAUAUUUAAAACUUUUCAAUACUUGUGACUGGAUGAGAUAGAACAGAAAUCUUAUAGUGAUUUUUUCCAACUCUAACUUGAAAAGAUCAUUGAGCAUCACCUCUUCCCAUUCUUGAGGCACUCUGAAGGAGUAUGGGAUUAUAGGACUCCAUCCAACACCAUGUCCACCAGACUUCUCAUCUGGCCUGCGAUACGUCCUCCAACCUGUCUGAUCAAAUCCUUGCCUACGUUAUCUCACUAUCAUUUAAAAUCUAUAACAGAAGAGACAAUUGGAAUUCUAACUUAAACAUGUAUCUAAUCAAGUUUAGAAUUAAACAUCAAUUGUAUAACUAUGGAAGAUAUUUUUUUCUCUUUCCUAGAAGAACCAUUUGAUAACUAGUAGACUGAAACUUUUUGCCUCUCCUAAAGGGUAUUAAGAUUAAACCAGUGUUAGACCAAUUCGAACUUUUUUUUAAACUAAACAACCAUAGUUUUAUCAUUUACAACAAAUUUUGACACUACAUCCACGGCAUCCUUCAUCAUGCAACCGAGUACAUUUCCUUUAUCACGGCUUACAUUAAACUAUUUCUUAUGGUUUGUAUGCACGUUUAUAUGUCUAUAUUGUUACAUUACAAAUUCAUUUACAUUGCGACAUUACAGAUUCAUUUACUUUGCGACAUUACAAAUUCAUUUACUUUGCGACAUUAUAGUCUACAGAUAGACUAAAGUGUAGUCAUGGCAGAAUGGUUUGUCUUUGCAAACAAAUAAUUUAUUAUAAUCCAAAGCGAACGAACCUUGUUCAUCUGGUUCGGACAGGCCAGGAAUUCUCCCAGCAAGAAGGCCUUGUUUCACCACGGCCAAACUCUCACCCGGAAAACCCAACAAGGAAACCCCAGCAGCCAAAAUUGUUCUUCUGUUCACCAAAGAGGAGCACUUCUCGCUUUCUCUGUCUUUUGAGGCUAAAGUAGUCAGAGUUCUUAGAAUCCCAAUUUGCUGUGAGGAGUGGCAAAGUGUAUGUGGAGAGGUUGGGACAUGCAUGUGCUGCGGAUUCCUCCAGCAUAGCACGGUGGUUGUGGACAAGGCUGUUGCCAUGUCCACGAAGGUUGGUGUGCUUAGUGGUUACUUUAGGAUGAGAUUGAAAAGGGAAAAGAAUUUGGGCAGCUCAGAAUACAAGACUGCAGAUUGUCGUAGAAACUGAUUUAUGGAAAGAUUAAUGCAGAAGUUGAGGUCCAAAUAAGGAUCCCGAGCUUUAAUAAUUUUGUGGACACGGUGCUAUUGUGCUCAUGAAGAUCGAGCCUUUCUUCUUUCCUUGCGGCUAACUAAGUAUCUAUUUCUGGCCUGACACGUGUUAUUCAUACAACUAAGAUGUGCGUAUAUAAAAAAAAUGCAGUAUAUUUUAGUAGUUUUCUUAUUGUGUAACAUACUGACUAACUAAUUGUAUUUUUAAGAAAUAUACUUCAUUUAUUAAAUAUAAUAAUAUUAUUAAAUAACUUUUAAUAGACAGUUACUACUUUAAGAUUAUAUUUUUAAUAUUUUAAUUUCAAAUUCAUAUUUGCAGAUUCAUAAAGUCAUCAAACAUAAAGGAGCCUUUUUUAAUUAUAUACAUGGGUUGUUCGUUCUUAUAAGUUUAAAGGACCGCCACACAAUUUAUUAGUCUAAUUCCAACAAUCUAGUACCAUUCCACAAUCCUUCAAAGUUUUUUUUUUUUUUACAUUUUUUAACAACAUUGUGAGUUUAAUUUAAUCUUUAGAAAAAUCAUAUAUUCUCAAAGAGUCCAUAGAUUCACUUGAUUCAAAUAUUUAAUUGUUAAUUACUUUCACUUAUCAAUCAAAUCUGAAUGCAAAUAUUCUCUUUGAUGGUAAAACAUAAUCAAUAACUUAAUCAAUAGUCUCGUAUCAUAAUUUAGGUUUAAAACUGAUUAACGAGUUAAAGUUCAUUGGAAUAUUUUAAUAACUAAAAUAAUUUAUUAAUAUUAUUUUAUUUAAAAUUAUGAAGUGUGGGAAUACUAAAAUUAUGUAUGAAAUAUUAAAAAAUGUUAAAUUUAUAUUUUUGUUAGUUACAUUUUUAUUCAUAUAUAAUAUAGCCAUACAUUCAAAUUUAUUAAUUCCUUAUAUAUGUUAAAUACAACCUAUCAACCAUAGGAUCCAUCAUAAAUUAUAUAAAUAAACACAUAAUACUCAAAUAUUGAAUAUUUAUUUGAAUGUAAUAAAAAAAUAUUUUACAAAUGUACUUUCGACUAGAAGUUGAAGUCUGAAUAGGAUAAGAAUGAGAGGAAGAAAAACAAAAUUGAAAAAAAAUCAAUUAUCCAACCGGCAGUAAGUAUUGUUUAGACCUUAUAUAAAUACAUAUACUAUAUGAAUCUUAAUUUAUGAAAUAUAUAAUAAAAUACUAAAUUAGUGAUUGAGCUACGAAUGAAUUUAAGAUGAAUAAUUAGAAAAAAUAAAUAAAUCUUCAAAAUUAUUUCAUAAAAUAAUUUUAUUUUCUGGUCUUAAUAAGUAAGUAAUAGUUAUUUAAUCCUUAAACUAUACAAAUCAUAUCAUUUUUAAAAAUUUCUAAUGACAUUUUUAGAGUCACAUCCAAGUAUUGCAGGUAUUAUAACAUUUUAAUAAUAAUUCAUUAUUUAAUUAUUUCUACAGGCUUUCUUGUAACACAUAUACUAAAGUUUUAUAAUCAAAUAAAUUUAGCAUCUCACUCUAUCUAUAAAUAAUAAAUCUAAUGAAAUUAAAAAAUAAUUAUAUUUUAUAAAAUUUAUAUUAAUAAUUAAAAAAGUAAUUAUUUCAAUAAAUAAAUCAAUAAAUUAUUAAUCACAAACAUAAAAAAUUAGGUGUAUAUCGAUAAAAUAUUGAAAAUAAAACAAAUAAAUACACCUUUCUUCAUGGCAAUCUUGAUGAAGAAUUUACAUGACUCUUCCCAUUGGCCUUAAUAUUUAUCGUCCAGUGCUAGUUUGUAAACUUUGAAAAUAUUUAUAUGGACUAAAGUAGACAAGUAAGCAAUGAAACUAAAAACUUGUUAAGACGAUUAAGUCUUAGAAGAACCCUUGAGAAGAACUCUCAUAUGUGUUUUGAUGAUAACAAAAAGCUAAUGAAACUUUGAGAACACUCCGAUGCAAUAGGAUGAAAUAGACAAAGUAUACAAAGAACUUAGUGGCCAUAAACAAUGUGUUAGAAGAAGUCUAAAUAUUAAAGAGCUUAAGACGCAUUAGACGAUUAUGCUUAAUGUGAUAUGUUGCAUGCAAGAAAAACAUGAGCCUUACAUAGACCAAACGAUGAUCAAAAGAACAUGACAGACAAAGACUAUGCGCUGGAUGAACUAGUGACAGAGAAGUUUUCAUACUUAAUUCUUUCACUAUUACAUAUGUUCUAAAUGAGUUUUGAUUGUGUUAAGCUAUACAAAUCAUAUUUGGUCAAAAUGCAAUGUUUUAGUUAUGAGCUAUAUUGAUAUAUCUUUGUAAAAAAUAUAUUGCAAAAACACAUUUAUACUUGAUUAAGAUUUAAAUUUGUGUUUGGAAAGGUUUCCAAAAAAUAGAGCACAAAUGCAUUUAGUUCCUUUAUAAGGUUUUUUUGAAAUAUACUUUGUAGAAUAUAUCCAAAAGAAAUUAUGAUUGAUAAUUUCAAUGAUUAAUUUGAAUAUAUUGAUUAUAUAUUUGAAUUAAUAUCUAAGAAUUGAAUGUAUUGAUAAUUCAUUUAAUAUUCAAAGAUAUUAAGAAGUUUUUAUUCAAUGAUAUAUUUGUUAUAAGAAUUUGGAUAUAUUAAAUCAUUGGGUAAUCACUAAGGUUUCCUAAUAUGUUUUUAGGAACCAUCAAGAUGCAGAGGAGGACAUGGACAAGUUUCCUUAUUAAGCGUCCAACGCGAAAUUCAUGACAUUGGAAGUUGUUGCAUGUAAAGAGAAGGAGAAUCUCGAAAGAGAUCAAGUUGAGGAAAGAACAAGUGAGAACGAGCAUCAAGACGCAAGACAAGAAAUUUCCUUAUUUUGUUCGAUUGCUACAGGUCAGAACAUAUGAGCAUACAAAGAUUAUUAAAAAUAAAUUUAAUGUUCAUUGUAUUAGUGUUCUAAGAGAAUAUUUCAUAUAUGCUAUUUAGAGCACUCAUAGUUUGGGGAUUGAGCCUUAUAUUGUAAAUCCUUCAAUGUGUGAAGUUUACCUUGUGAGUUUUCAUUGUUUUCUCUCUUGUCGAUAGUGUUAUUAUCAAUUACUGAGAGGUCUUAAUCUCAAGAGAAGAUUAGGAUUACUGUUAAUAUAUUUAAUUUUCUAUUUUAAAUUAUUGGGCUUUGUUUGUUUGACCCAACUUUCCUUUUCUGUUUCAGCUAAGUCUUAAUCUUUUUCUUAUAUAUACACCAUGUAUUUUACUCUCUAAUAUACAAGUGAAUAAAAGUUUCUUUUAUAUUUAUUUUUCUCUACAAUUAGGGUUCAUCAAAACCUCUCUUUUUUCAUUACGAUUACGUGCGCUACAUUAAAGCAUCACAUCAGACAAGGAAUAUUCAUCUUCAUUUACUGUAAUAUGGUAUCAGCUCUUCGAAUGAAGAGUUUUGUUGCGCUUUUCUCUUAUUUUUAUUUCCCUCUUUGCUGUUCUUGGUUUUUAUUUUUUAUUUUUUUUCUGUUCUCUUUCAAAAUCUUGAUUGGUUUUAAAAAUCUUUUAGGCAAUGUUUAAUGAAAACCCUAGUCUUCAUAUUCUUAAUAGUAGUCACACUAUUACAUGCAAUUUUUGUGGUAAAUAUGGUCAUACUGAGGCUGUUUGUUUUUGCAAAGUGGGUUUUCCUUCUGGUAAUGUUAAAACCUCAAAGUUUUCUUUUACUAGAAAAGUCUGCACUUUUUGUAAUCGUCUUGGCCACACUGUUGACACCUGUUAUAAAAAGCAUGGGUUCCCUCCUGGCUACAAAUUCCCCAAUUGGACAUCCCAAGCCAAUAAUAUGAUUACUACUGACACUUUUUAUGAGCUUUUUCCUAAAGAACAAGAUGUAAAGGGGAUUCAACUUACAUCACAACAGUGCCAAUUCCUUACCAACCUUUUGCGUCAGCAAAACCUUGAGGAUCCUGCCCCUCACACUCAAAUUAAUCAAGUCGGCACCAUCUCUACGGAUGAAAUCCCCAAUACUGAGCAUUUUUCAACAGGUAAGUUUCUCUCUUCACUAUCUUCUAUAAAAGAAUCUUGGAUUAUUUUCUGGUGUCACUGAUCAUGUUUGUCACAAUUUGAACGUUUUUACUACUUAUACUAAAAUUAAACCUGUCUUAAUUAGUCUUCCAAAUGGCCAAACUGUUUAUGCCACAUAUUCUGGUUUAGUACGUUUUUAUGAUCAGUUUUAUUUGUCUGAUGUGUUAUACGUGCCUCAUUUUCAAUUAAACUUAAUAUCUGUUUCUAAACUCACACACCAACUUAAAUGCACUUUAACUUUCACUUCAACCCACUGCAUUAUACAAGAUAAUCUCACUCAAGAGAGGAUUGGCACAGUUAAAGCCACUACAUAUGGUACAGUUAUACAAUACUUAUGUACCUGGAGAGGUGGAGAAUACUUAUGUACUGAGAGAGGUGUAGAAUACUUGUGUACCUAGAUGAGAGGUCUUAAUGUCAAAAGAAGAUUAGGAUUACCUAGAGAGGUGCAUAAUACUUAUUUACUUGGAGAGGUGGAGAAUACUUAUGUACUAAGAGAGGUGUAGAAUACUUGUGUACCUAGAAAGGUGUAGAAUACUUGUGUUGUUAAAGACUCUUAAGUGGGUUGCUUAAGGGGACUGGACGUAGUCCAAAUUGUGGGUGAACCAAUAUAAAGUCUAUGCAUACUUCUCUCUCUAUAUAUAUUCUCUAUAUUUUAGAUAUUUUUUUGGCUUAAUUUUUUGCAAAUGCGAAAAAGGGUCCGUGUUGUAUUCAACCCACCUUCUAAAGCCAAAUGUAACUUUAAAACUAACUCACAAUGUAAUACAACUUGAUUAUGUUCAAAGUGUAGGUGAUCAUUCUUUAUUUAUUCGCACACAAUCAUUAUUUCAUAACUCUAUUAAUAUAUGUUGAUACAUUAUGUUGACUGACAAUAUCUUUAGGAAAUACAAUGAGUUAAAACUCAUCUUCAUAACUUAUUUAGUAUCUAAGACCUUGGUACUCUUAGUUAUUUCUUGAGAUUUGAAAUAAGUCAUUCACCUUCUAGUAUUGUUUUCAAUCAACAAAAAUAUUGUUUAUAUCUUCUUUAUGGUAGUGGUUUUUUGGCUUGCAAACCUGUCAUUUCUCCUAUGCAACCAUCUUGUUCUCUCUAUAAAAGAGAAGGUUCAUUGCUUUUGGAACCAAGUCAAUAUAAAAGAUUGAUUGGACGUUUAUUAUACAUUACUCACACUAAACCUGAUAUCAACUUUGCGAUUCAAAAUUGAGUUAGUUUGUUUCAAUUCCACAAUAACCUCAUAUGACAACAACUCUUCAUGUACUACAGUAUUUGAAAGGAUGUCCUAAACUUGGUUUAUUCUUUCCAAAUAAUAACCAAAUUGUUAUUAAAGCUUUUUCUCUUUCUGAUUGAGGAAUUUGCAUUGAUUCUAAAAUAUCAAUGGUUAUUGUGUGUAUGUAGGAAACUCUUUAAUUUCAUGAAAGUCUAAAAAACAUUCUACAAUGUCAAUAUCUUCUUUAGAGGCAUAGUACAAAACACUAGCUUCACUUGUUUGUGAACCUCAAUGGUUACAAUAUAUGUGUCAUAAUUUGCAUAAUAAUAUUUCUGAAACUUUAAUGACAAUAAAACUACUAUAUGCAUAACAAGGAAUCUCACAUUUAUGAGAGGACGAAACACAUUAUCAAUUGUCAUCGUUUAGACUAAACUUCAAAAAUACCUCAUUCAUUUAAUUAAUGUUUCUUCUUCUAAUUAAUUGGUUGCUAUGUUGGUCAAACCUUUGCAUCAUCGAUUAUUUUUGUAAGAACUUAUCCAAGUUGAACAUAAAAGAUAUGAACGCUUCAACUUAUAGGAAGCUAUUAGAUGAUAAAAUUGAUCUCAUAAAUUAUUCAGUUUUCAAAUUAUAUUUGCAUAUGUUUACUCUAUAAGUUGUAAUUACACUUGUUUGCUCUAUUAGUUGUAACUGCAUUUAUUAUUUUAUUUUUAUUGUUUGCUCUAUAAAUAGAAUAUUCAAUAGUUUGAAUAAAUGUAUAAUAUUUAUCAAUCAUUUUUUAAAUUCUUUUCUCCCUUACUUUUAAUUUAUUGUUCAAAUGUAUAUAAAACUAAUAGUAUAGACGCAUCAAAUUACAUGCAAAGUCUUAAAAUUAUAAUAUACAAAUUUAUUUAUAAUAAUAUAAUCAUGUGUAGUGUAUGACAAAGUUUAAUCUAAUCAAUCAUUGUAAUCUUAUUUUUAUUUUUUACUUUUGAUUUUCAAGCUCAUUUUAAUUAUUAAAAUUAUAUUUAUAUUAUUCUUGAAAAUUUUAAUUAAAUAAAGACAAUGAGAGAAGACGAGUUCAAUUAUUUUUUUAGGCAAAUAAGUAACUAAAAAGAUAAAAAUGUUAAUAAAAGUUUCUUUAAAAAAAUAAGUUAUUAAAAAUAUUAAGAAAAUAAAAUAUGAAUCUUAUUUUAAAAACAAAUAUUUUUUUUAAUGAUUUUUAUUGAGCCUUACUUAAAGAAUUUCUUAUCAUGAUCCUAGUAACAAUAAUAAUCUUCACAGCAUAUAGUAUACUUGUGAAAACAUAUAGUAUAUAAGUUAUUGGAAACAGAAGUGUUCACUACAUCUAUAUUCUUUAAUUUGAUUAUAAAUAUAUGUAUCCGUAUUUUUUAAAUAUGUUAUUAUAAAAUUUAUAUUAUAAUAUUUUAAUUUAUUAUAAACUUAUGUAUAUCCAUAUUUUUAAAUAUAUUAUUAUAAAUUUAUACCGUAGUAGUCUAAUUCAUAAUUUUUUAUAUAUUCUAAUUUUUUAAAUAUUGUUAUAAACACAACAAAUGUUAUUACAAAAAAAUAUUAUUUUUUGUGAUAAGGCUUUACGCUUAUUUAGAAAAAUUAUAUCGAUGGAAACACAACCAACAUAUAUAGUAUUUUAAUACACAAAAUUUACAAAUGUUAUUAUUACAAAUUAUAACUUAUGUUUCGGUGUGUAUAUAUAUAUGUUUUAAAGAAGAAGAUAAUAAUUAAUGAUGUCAUGAUUUUAUAAUAAUAAUUUUUUAAUUAUGAUUUUUCUUUAAUUUUUGGUAUUUUUUUUAUAUUCAAUUACAUAUAUGUAACUUUUAAUUUUUUUAAAGACUCAUAAAUUAAUCACAUAUUUUUUUAAUUGUUCAAAUUUUGCUCGAAGGAAAAUUAUGUGGAGUUUGCAAAUUUUGAAAUUGUGAUGAAAUUUCUUUUCAAAAAAGAUUGAAUAUCGCUGUUAGAAAAAUAUAAUGAUGAGAAUAUAUUAUUCAAAUAAAUAACAUCAUGUGAUUCAAUUUUCAUGAAUAAUAAUAAAUAAUUAUAAUAAAAAAGGAUAAAUAUAUAAAAAUAAUAUUUGUUAUGUUAUAUAAUAUUUAUGUUAGUUACAUUACUUAUUUAUUGAGUCAAUGGCAUUUUUGAAACAAUAUUUAUUAUCUGGAUAAUGUUGUUUCUCCUUUCUCUAUAAAUUUUUCUUAUAGAUAAUUCACUUCUUCUUUAUUAAAUAGUCAUUUUUUUGUCUUUUAUUUAUAAUAUUAUUUUUAUAUUUCUUUUUGUUAUUCUAGUGUUAAUAUUUUAUAAUUUAUAUUUUCUAUUUUUUAUGUAAUAUAUUAAAAUGUAAAAAAAAAAUUUAAUAUAAAUUACAAAUUAUUAUUUUUAAACUAUUAAAAAAAUACCCAAUCUAACAUUUUUGGAAAAAAAACAAAUGACACAAUAUCUCCAAGAAUCCUUGUCAACCUACGCCCUAAGCUUAUCAGGGAUUCAAUAAGACAAAGUACAUAGUUUAUGAAAAAGGAUGUAUACUAAAUUAUCAACAAUAAUUAAUACAUGUUGAAAAAAAAAAUCCUCCAAGUAAAGGAAAGAUAAGACACUUAACACAACUGCUAUCAAGUAAGUAUAUAUUCUGAUUCUUCUCUAUGUUGAUUUGUUAUAAUUUUUUUAAUGGGAUAAUUUAUUUUUAAUAAAUAAUUACUUUGAAAAAUUAAAAUUUUAAAAAUAAUUAUUAAAUUAUUUAAAUUCAGGAUCACCAUUUUAUCAAACCUAUUGAGGAUAAAUAAUGUAUAUUAAUUAAUUAACUACGUAUUAACCAUAAGUUAUAAUUAGGACCAUGAAAUUUGAACAAUUAUAUGAUGUCAUUGUGAUGAUGAUUAUGUAAUUGAAUAUAUAUUAUAACAAUUCACGAAUUUAAAUGAAUCUCAAUAUUAGAGUCUCUUUGGUUGGCAUUGGAGUUAAGAUAGAUUUGAUUUGGCAUAGAAGAUUCGUACUAUUCAUGGGAAAAUGCAAAAAUUGAUUUAUAAUGGUAAAUCAAGUAAGAUCUCUAAGUCACUCAAAAUCACUUCAUGUUUUCUAAACAGUUUACACAGUUGUGCUCCUGUAUUCUAACAGCACAACAAUGUCUCUAUACCAUCUACGGUGACAGAAAAAUGUUAUCUGUCACUGAAAAUUCGUGUUUAUUAAUAAUUGAGAUGUAACUUAAUAAUAAUAAGAAAUACAAUAACUUAAUUUUUUUUGAUAAAAAACUAAUCUUACUAAUAAAAGAAAAUGUUAAUGAGAUUUCAAAUCUAUAUAUUUGAUGAAAACUUUAAUUUAUGUGUUUUAAUUUGUUUGUUUUAAUGAGAUUUCAUAUCUAUAUAUUUUAUAAAAAUUUAUUUUAAUUUAUUUUGUGUUAAAUAAUCAUUUAAUGAUAAUAAAAAUAAGAAUCUUAUAUAAGAAAAGUAAGUAGUACGGAAGAAUUGAAAAAAACUAAAAAAAUUCAAUAUAGAUUCACCUAAUAUAAUUUUUGAUAGAUUAAUUAGAAUAUAGAGUGUGUAAAAGGAGAAAAGAAAAAAAUAGUGAAAUUUGAAGUAUGUUAUUUAAAAAAUGUUAUAACUGAUAAUUUUAAGAAAAAGUUAAGUUAUUAAAUUUCAAAGAUAAAAUUAAGAAAGAAAAAUUAUUAAAUUGAUACAUUAAGCUGAUGUUAUUUUUCUUUUUUAAAAAUUGUACACCAAAUAAAAAAAUCUUCUAUUUUAUUGUAGAAUAUAUACAUUUAUAUAAUUUAUUAAAAAAAAUAUCAAAUAAAAAGACACAUUAAAGUUGGUUCAAAAGAAUACUUAUUCUGUUGGAAACAGGUGUAUCCUUUUUUUAUGAUAAGAAAUAAGAAAUAUAAUUAUAAAUUAUAAAUAAUUGUUAAAAUAAAAAUUAUGAAAAUAAUGAUAAAAUGAAUUUUUAUUAUAUUAUUUUUUAUAAUAUAAAUAUAACAUUUGUGAAUAAUUAUUAUAGAUAACUUUUACAAAUAAUAAAAUUAAUAAAGACAAAAUUGGAUAAUAAUUUGUUUACAUAUGAAACUAUGUAAUUAAAAAAUUACUUAUAAAAUAAAACACAUAUGUUUUAUUAAAAUAUAAAAGAGAUAUAUCUCUUUUAGACAACAAAAUCAUGAAAUUGUAAUAUAAUGGUAUAGAUGGAAUAUAACAAGGGUAGAAUAACAAUUAAGUAAAUCAAUUUGCAAGCACAUCAGCAACAACAGGACUCACAUCCCAAGUUUAGGGUUUGCGAUUGCGGCAUGAGCCACCGGGGAAUAGACCGGGACGACGACGAUGACGAUUACAUGGAUGACGAGCAGGUCGCCGACUUCGAAGAGGAGGAGGACCGCCGAGGGCGCGGCGGCAGGAAACGCAGAAGAUCUGGUUUCAUUGACGAUGACGCAGAGGAGGUAGAUGAGGAUGAAGAGGAGGAGGACGACGAUGACGAGGAUUUCGAUGCCCGGGGCGGUCGCAGGCGCCAGUACAAGAAGGUUUCCGCUUCCAAUUUUUUUGACGAGGAGGCUGUGGUGGAUAGCGAUGAGGAAGAGGAAGAGGAAGAAGGCGAAGACGGUGCGUUUUUUUUCUUUUCUCUUUUGUUAAUUUGGUUUUCUAUUAGAUUAGAUGAUUGAAUAUGAACUCGGGAUGUAUGAAGUUAGGUUUGGAACUUCGGAUUUAUGGUUUGUUUUCUUGUUAGGUGGUUUUGGUUGAUUUUAAACUUGAUUAGGCUAAUGUUAUUCAUUCCCUUCUGGACGGAUCAAUGAUGUGGUCUGCCUGCUAUUCAAAUCUUUGCUUUAGAUCAUAUUUGUGUUUAAGUGAAUCUAUUGUAAAUAAAUUGUGUUUAAGUGAAUCUAAUGUAAAUGGGAAGGAUAACUUUGUUACUUGUUGAAAUGAUGAGUUACUUGUUUGUAAUUCAUGAAGUAAAUACUUCUUCUCGUGGGGGUUUUUUCAAAUUGAUAUAAAGUUUGAAUGAGUAAAUUAAGACUCUUUUUUCACACAGACUACACUGAUGAAAUUGGGAAUCAAUCUUGUUAUUUAUGUUUUUGCUUAUGAUAGAACAUCAAAUUUGAACUGAAAACAUUUAUUACAUUUACUGAACACGAUGAAAUUACACACUACAGCGAUGGUAUUCUGUUUGCAUAUAAUAUUUUAUAGUCUCAAACUUGCACUUACACUCUUUUUCUCAAUUACUCAAAUAAACUGCAAAGCGUAACUUUCAUAUAGCAUAACAUCCAUAUAGAAGAUUUUGGAGUAUGAUUUUGGUGUGUGCCCUGUGUAUUACUUUCUCAAUAACAUUGAUGCUCGGAUUAAGGGUCUGUUUGCUCUCCUUAUUUGGGGUUUCCAUUUUUCAUUGAAAAUAGAAAAUAAUAGAUCCAUUAAUCUCAGAUCCUGUAGUCAAUUACCAUCAAAUUAAUUCUAUGAUAUUUGAUUGAUGGGAGUUUUAGUCAGUUCCCAUCAAAUUGAUUAUAUGAUACUUGAUUGAUUGAAGUUUUAGUCAGUUCCCAUCAAAUUGAUUACGUGAUAUUUAAUUGAUGGAAGUUUUGGUGUGACCUAGGCAUCAUUUUCUCAAUAAUAUCGAUGUAUGAAUUAAGGGUCUGUUUGCUCUCCUUAGUUUCCAUUUUAAUUGAAAAAAGAAAAUACUAGAGAAAAUGUGUUUGGCUGUAUUUAGAAAAUAUUUUGUAUGAUUUUCCUUAGAAGGCAUCUUAAAAGUAUACAUGAAAGAAUAAUCGUUUCAGCAUUUUCUUUCAAUGUGAGAAGAAAGAACGUGGUUGCACUAAUGUAAAUGUUAUGUCAUUUUAUUGAUUUUUCAUGAGUGCAAAGCUUUCUUAAAAUUCUAAUUGUUUUUUCAAAACAGAAAUACUUCUUUCUUGUACCAUAUUUCUAAUCUUUUCAAUAUUUGAUAAGAUUUAACAUAGGACAAAUUUAAUAGAGUGUGUUUGUCUAUGCAUAUUAUAGAUUUAUUUAUUGAUAAAUUAUUCAAAGGUAUAUCUAAGAAAGUGGACUUUUUAACCUAACUCAACUUCACUAUACCAAUUUAUAAGAUGAGGUUUGUGUUAAGUUAUAUACUAUAAUUUGGGCAUAUCCCUAGUUGAUGUAAGAUUUUUAAUAUCCCUUGUAUCAAUGACUAGACAUCUCAAGCAUGAGAAUAAUUAUUUAUGGGUGGUCUGAUAACGCUCCAAUCGUAUGUGACACGAUAUGCCUAACAACUCACAAGCCUUGCUUGGAUAGACUAUGAUACCAUCUUAGAAAGUGGACUUUUUAACCUAACUCUACUUCACAAUACCAAUUUAUAAGACGAGGUUUGCGUUAAGUUAUAUACUAUAAUUUGGCCAUAUCCCUAGUUGAUGUAAGAUUUUUAACGCCCCCUUGUGUCGAUGACUAGAUAUCUCGAGCAUGAGAAUAAUUAUUUAUGGGUAGUCUGAUAAUGCUCCACCUGUAUGUGACACGAUAGGCCAAACAACUCACAAACCUUGCUUGGAUAGGCAAUGAUACCAUCUUAGAGAGUGAACUUUAAGCUAAAUCUACCUCCUAAGAUGGACUUGUAAGGUGAUUUUUGCAGUUAUAAUUUGACCAUAUUUUUAGUCAAUGUGAGAUCUUCGACCAUAUCAGUAUAUUUUUAUUAUUUCUAACUUAUUUGGAAGCCUUAUAUAAGAGAAAGUAAUGAACUCUUCUUGAAAAUGGUUAAACCAAACAUUUUCAUUUUUUAGAACAAAAAACAUUAAAUCAGACCAACUAUGUUUUCUAAAUCUAAAAAAAAUUAAAUUGAAGAUAAAAUGUUUCUACAGGCCAAACAGGCCCUAAAUUUUCUUUUUGGGACCAUUACGAUUUUUUGUGGCAAUUUUCCUUUAGGAUCUUGGUUCUGUUUUAGAAAUGAAACUGCCAGUGUAAUAGUAACAUUGGGUGGUGCGGUAUCAAUGUUAGUGAUGACUGGGGUAUAAACAGGAUAGAAGUUAACUUGUUUGUGAAAUUGGGAGAAUAUUGGGCUGAUGGGAUGCAGUAUAAUCAAGAACCAUGGUUGAUGUUUUUGAUAGGGAUGGCAAGGAAAAUGCAGUAUAACUGUGAGUGAUGUCGUGAUUAUUGUUGGUAGAAUGUAGAGGCUUGAUAAGUGCAUAUGGUUAGGUAGUUAUCAUACCGUUUUUGGAUGGUGAGAAUCUAAAGAACCUAUGACUAUGGGUGAGAGUUUCCAGUAUUGUAAAAUUGAUGCAGUACAUGUUUGGAAUCUUGAAUUAAAACAAUAAUCAAUUCACACCUGGGACAUCUUUUAAGAUUCCAGAUGCUAAAAUAAUUACAUCGGAAGCAUUUGUUUUAAGAUGAUUGUAUAGGGAGGUCACUGUAAUUUAAAAAAUCAUAGGGGUUGUUAUAGGCUUUAUGUGUUUACAACUACAAUAUCAAUAAUAGUAGCCUCUUUUCUGCUAUGUGGGAUUUGCUGCAUGGAUUGAGCAACAUCGCAAUGUUUACACUAAAUCAUGUCUAUCUAUCCACAAAGCGUUUUUAUGACAUUGCUGAUAAGUCCUGAAGGAUAAAAAUACUGACAGACAACGGUUAAGUUCUUCUUCAUGUAGAUUCAUUGUCAUAAUUAUGUAUGAAUGUUAUUGGCAGUGUUGGGAUGCAGUCAGCAAAUCAUUUGUGGUUCAAAAGUUUCUUCCCUUUUUGAGUAAGGGUUUGGUUUGUGGGCGCUUGUUGUAGUUCAGUUUUUAUCGAAUUUGUCUUUGAUGUGCAACAUGGUUUGAGAAAAAAAAUGAUUUUUGAAAUUUGAGACCAAAAUCAAUUAUCGUGGUAGUCAAUAAAUCAAGUAUGUCAAUAUGGCUCAAAAGCAUUUUUGUGGGAUCUAGUAUUGUAAUUGGUACUCUCUGUCUUCUGAUUUUUUGGAAAGACAGUCUUCUAAGUGCUGAUUAAACAGCAUAAAGUUUUCAAAGCACUGUCUGGGGGCUUAUUUCCUUCUAUUCUUGAUUUUGAGAAUUAUUUCUCAGAAUAAAAUAUCAAAGAAUUCAUUUGAUGAAUUGUGUUUUACCACACUUUAAUGGAAGUGGUGUUAGUGAUGGUUAAUGUGACCUUGAAAACAUGUUAAAGAAAACAUAAACAUCUAAGAUUUGUUUAAAAACCAUUUAGCUCUACAACCAGAUUGUAUAGAAAGUUUUCAAAAGUAUGAAAUACAAUUAAAACCCCAAAUGUGUUUUAUUUUUUAGAAAACAGGCCAUACAAAAAGAGCUUUCAUGAAUAUAAAUACAAAACAUAUUGAUUGCUUUGAAUCCUCUCUAUCUCCAUCUUUGGACAUGUCUUGGAAUGGAUAUGUAUAUUUUAUUUUGAUGCUACAUUUUUUUCUUGUGACUUAACUUUGGGGGAAUGAUUGAACUUUAUGUGUUUAUUUAUACUCUGGCUCACAUGAUUGAGCAGUUCUUAGAAUUUUGUCCCAGAUACUUGUGUAAAAUAUAUCUAUUAGUUAUGUAGAAAGUUAACAAAUGUUGAAACAUCCAGACUUCAUUGUUGAGGGUGGAGCCGAUCUGCCCGAAGAAGAUGAUGGGAGAAGGAUGCGUAAUAGGCGGAUGCUGCCACAUCACCAAGAAGAUCAUGAAGAUCUUGAAGCUGUGGCCAGAAGCAUCCAGGAACGUUAUGGAAGGCGCCUAACGGAUUAUGAUGAAGAAACAACAGAUGUAGAACAACAGGCUCUUUUGCCGUCUGUGAGAGAUCCUAAGCUUUGGAUGGUCAAAUGCGCAGUAUGUCACUAUCCUUUUUGUGAAGAAGUUCUUUUUUUUUGCAACCUUAUGGGAGCAUGUCAUGUAUUUAUAUUUUUUUUUCAUUAGAUUGGUCAUGAGAGAGAAACAGCUGUUUGCCUCAUGCAAAAGUACAUAAAUAGGCCAUCUGAAUUUCAAAUCAGAUCAGCUAUUGCUCUUGAUCAUCUCAAAAACUAUAUAUACGUGGAAGCAGAUAAAGAAGCCCAUGUCAGAGAGGUAAUGUGAUGCAAAAUGUCUGGUUCAUAAAUAUCCACUUUAUGGAUUAAAUUGUGUGUUUUUAAUGUUAUGCAUAUGCUUUCAGGCUUGCAAAGGUCUACGCAAUAUAUUUGGCCAAAAAAUAACUCUUGUCCCAAUCAGAGAAAUGACUGAUGUUCUGUCAGUUGAAAGCAAAGCUAUUGAUCUUGCUAGGGAUACCUGGGUUAGAAUGAAGAUAGGGACAUAUAAAGGGGACCUUGCUAAAGUAUGUAUCACAUUUUAGAAAAUUUAUGAUAUCAUCCAUUUUGUUUUCUAUAUUCACAGUCAAGUGUCUCUUCUAUAGGUAGUAGAUGUCGAUAAUGUGCGGCAGAGGGUUACUGUCAAAUUAAUUCCAAGGAUAGACCUACAGGCUCUCGCAAAUAAGUUGGUAUGAAUUUUGCUGUUUUUUGUUAAAUUAAUAUCUUCUACUCGGGUAAUGUUUAAAUUCCUUGGAAGAAAUAGCAUGAGUCUAUUUUUAUACAAAUCACUUGUGCCAUGCAGGAAGGUAGGGAGGUUGUGAAAAAGAAGGCUUUUGUUCCUCCUCCUCGAUUUAUGAAUGUUGAUGAAGCAAGGUAUUGCUGGCUCUCUCUAUUCUGUUGCUGAAAGUCUUAUGUCUUGGAAAUCUGUUCUUGAUCUGAUUAAAUUUGUUCUAUUCAGGGAACUGCAUAUCCGUGUGGAGCAUAGACGCGAUGCCUAUGGGGAACGAUUUGAUGCAAUUGGGGGCAUGAUGUUCAAAGAUGGUUUCUUAUACAAAACUGUAUCAAUAAAAUCCAUCAGUGCUCAGAACAUCAAACCUAGUUUUGAUGAGUUGGAAAAAUUUCGUAAACCGGGUGAGAGUGGAGAUGGUGAUGUUGCUAGUUUGUCAACUUUGUUUGCAAACAGGAAGAAAGGGCACUUUAUGAAAGGUGAUGCAAUUAUUGUUGUCAAGGGUGAUUUAAAGAACUUGAAGGGGAAGGUGGAGAAAGUUGAUGAAGAUAAUGUUCAUAUAAGACCAGAAAUGGAGGGACUUCCAGUAAGUAUGAAGGAAAAUUAACUGGUCAUGGUUGUAUAGUCUGCCAGUUUUGCAUGUUGAUGAUUGAUAAUUAAUUGGUCACCUCUUCAUUUUGUCAGAAAACUAUUGCUGUAAAUGAAAAGGAACUUUGUAAAUAUUUUGAGCCUGGAAACCACGUUAAGGUUGUUUCUGGUGCUCAAGAAGGGGCUACGGGCAUGGUUGUGAAGGUGGAGCAGCAUGUCUUGAUCUUAAUAUCUGAUACAACAAAAGAGCAUGUGAGUUUUAGUCUGUAUAUGAGAUUUGCUGAAAGAUUUGUUAAUUUCUAUUUUCUAAUUAUAUAUAGUUCAGAAAUGACAUAAAAAUAUCUUCUCUUUAGAUCCGUGUAUUUGCAGAUGAUGUUGUAGAAAGUUCAGAAGUAACGACUGGAGUUACUAGAAUUGGGGACUAUGAACUUCGUGAUCUUGUAUUGCUAGAGUAAGCCUUUUCUGUUGCCCGAGAUUAUGGCACUACCAUGUUGUCUCUAUGAUAUGGUUCAAAGUUUUCUCACUUCUAUUUAAUAUGGUGCAGUAAUAUGAGCUUUGGUGUGAUAAUCCGUGUAGAAAGUGAAGCAUUUCAUGUCAGUGCCUUAAGGAUUCAAUUUUUUUUAUUAUUAUAAUUUUGAGAUGUUUGUCAUUAUAUUAAUUGCUGUUGCUAUUUUAGGUUCUGAAGGGGAUUCCUGACAGACACGAAGUAGUUCUUGUUAAAUUAAGAGAGAUCAAAUGCAAGAUAGAUAAGAAAAUAAGCGUGCAGGAUAGAUUUAAGAAUACAGUUUCAUCAAAGGAUGUUGUCCGGAUUGUUGAUGGUUCCAGCAAAGUGAGAUUCUGUCUUUUGGCUAGAUUUAGCUUUGAAAGAUAAUAUUUUUCAUAUUUAUUUAUUUGUUUAAUUUAUUUAAUUUUGGCUAGGGGAAACAAGGUCCCGUGGAACACAUAUAUAGAGGAGUCUUGUUCAUCUUUGAUCGCCAUCAUCUUGAACAUGCGGGCUUUAUAUGUGCUAAGGCCCAAUCAUGUGUGGUAGUGGGAGGUUCACGCUCCAGUGGUGACAGAAAUGUAACCAAUUUUCCUAUUUUAAUUUUUGUGAAAGUUUUGUUUUAGGAUUUAGCAUUGUGAUGGUGUUUUACAUAUUUCAUUCCUUUCUUUCUUUAGGGUGAUGCCUACUCAAGAUUUCCCACUCUUAGAAGCCCUAGUCGUAUUCCACCAUCUCCAAGGAGGUUUCCUCGAGGAGGGCCAAUGGAUUGUAUGUCUAAUUUUUUUUCAUGUAUUAUAUGGAACUAGUCUAUCAUUUUGUUGUACAUUUCCUUAAGUAACUUGUCUGAUGUUAAUUUAUCUGGAUGUGGUAUAGCUGGAGGGAGACAUAGGGGUGGGAGGGGGCAUGAUGGUUUGGCAGGUACAACUGUUAAAGUACGUCAGGGUCCCUAUAAAGGUUACCGUGGGCGUGUUAUAGAUGAUAAAGGUGCAUCAGUUCGUGUUGAGCUGGAAUCUCAAAUGAAGGUUGUAACAGGUACGUCUAAGUGGAGAAAACACAUGUAUUGCAAGUAUUUUGGUAUUUGCAUGGUCGCUGACUUGGUGAUUUGCAGUUGACCGCAACCAUAUAUCUGACAAUGUGGCUAUAACUCCAUAUCGGUAAGUUAUAUAUGUACAUAUAAUUUGUGAGUCCAAGUAUGCAUUAGAAGAUGUUCAACCAUCUGACUUUUAUGUGUUCUUCUAGUGAUACAUCUCGCUACGGAAUGGGAAGUGAAACCCCAAUGCAUCCUUCUCGGACUCCCUUACAUCCAUAUAUGACUCCAAUGAGAGAUCCUGGAGGUUUGAUUUUAUUAUAUGGAUUUUCAUUUAAUUUAUUUUGUAGGAUUAACACUCUCUAGCCUGUUUUUUUGACCUAUUGUUAUAAUUGGUAAUUGAUAAAUGUACUGCUAUUCAUAGCAACACCAAUUCAUGAUGGAAUGAGGACACCUAUGCGUGACCGAGCAUGGAAUCCUUACACUCCAAUGAGUCCUCCAAGGUUUGUCCAAUUAAUGUUGUUCCUUGUUGAUUUUCAUAUACACUGUUCUCUGUUUUACAUAGUUUCUGCUUCAAUAAAAAGAUUUCUUCCUUCCAAUUUGUAUAUGGGGACAUUUUUUUGAUGUAUUUUAUCUAACAGGAUAAGGUAAAAAAAUGUCUUAGUUAAUCAACUUCCAUGUAGACAUUUAAUGUCACAAAUGGAAGCAAUUAGAACUAGAAGGGGUUUAUAAGGAAUUUUGUAGUUAAAACAUUGUUACCUCUGUACAGUCUGUGGCGCUAUUUAGUUAGUAUCUUUAUGUGAUGUAUGAAUUCUGAUGGUGAAAAUAAAAUCAGGGACAACUGGGAAGAUGGAAAUCCAGGCUCUUGGGGAGCAAGUCCACAGUAUCAGGUCAGGAGAUUUAGCAGACUUGAGAUACUAUAUGUAUGCAACUUCAUAUUAGGAACUAUGUUUAUUUUCCUUUCCCAUUUCGAUCUUUUCAGCCUGGAAGUCCUCCAUCAAGACCAUAUGAAGCCCCGACUCCUGGUGCUGGAUGGGCUAGUACACCUGGUGGAAAUUAUAGUGAAGCUGGAACGCCUCGGGACAGUUCUGCCUAUGGUAUCGCUACAUCUUACCCGUUCAAAACAAAUUGUAUAUAUCUAUUUUUUAUUUUUAUGCUAAUACUCUAUUCUGGGGAUGGGGGUUGUAUUUUUCACAGCCAAUGCUCCAAGCCCGUAUUUACCAUCAACACCUGGUGGGCAGCCUAUGACACCAAGUUCAGCAUCUUAUCUUCCGGGCACUCCUGGAGGACAGCCUAUGACUCCAGGCACUGGUGGUAUGGACAUGAUGUCUCCAGUUUUAGGUAAGUUUGUUUUGUCAAUCUUAUGAUAGAGAAGUUUAUUAUGUAUAUUUUAUUUUGGCUUAUCUAUUCAGUUGUGUAUUUGAUUUCAUAAUCAAACUGAUAUACCUAAUUUUCUUCAUCUAUGAAUAGUAAAAUAACUCAUGAGUUUGGUCUUUCAAAUGAAGGACGACUAGUGCUAGGUGUCUAGUGUGUCUCAAUGAUUUACUUUCGUAAUUGUUAUUCUACACUUGUUAUGUUGCAUAUACUAUGAAGAUAAUUAUUACUCCGCACAUCGUAUUUGUGUUGUCAUUGUGUUUCCUCAUCUCAUUUGAUACUCAAAGAUGGUGUGGUUAUUUUGUCUUUGUCAUAUUUGUUUAAGAUGGUUUUUGGUUCAAUUAUUUGCAUUUCUAUUGCGAUGGUUUUAGUUCAAAGGUCAUAUCUUUUAUCGUGUCUACCACGGAGACAUCCUCGCGAGGAUAAUUGUUAAACCUUACUACUUUGUACCGAGAAUAAUAACCCUGGAAUUGUUACUUGUACUAAUUCAAUUGGAUCAUCCUUAAAAAUUUAAAAUGUACAUUUCAUGCUAGUUUUUACCAAUUUGCUGGUUUAAUUUUUUGUAGGUGGGGACAAUGAAGGCCCAUGGUUUAUACCAGAUAUAUUAGUCAAUGUACACAGGGCCGGAGACGAAUCUGUUGGAGUUAUAAGAGAGGUUCUUCCGGUAUGGUUCUUGUACAUGUGCUUUAGAUUUGUACGAUCUUCAAGUAGUGAAUAUAUGCCAAACUAAAUCUUUUGAAGCUGUAUUUUCGUUCCAAUUGCUUGGUUUCCGUCUAAUGAUCUCAUUGACGCUAGCAUCUUUUUGUUUCUUCAGGAUGGUUCGUACAAGGUAGCUCUUGGAUCUAGUGGUAAUGGUGAAACGAUUACAGCCCUUCCUAAUGAAAUGGAGGCUGUGGUACCAAGAAAAUCAGACAAAAUAAAGAUUAUGGGUGGGGUAUUACGUGGUGCCACUGGGAAGUUGAUUGGUGUAGAUGGUACUGAUGGAAUUGUAAAGGUAGAUGACACGUUGGAUGUCAAGAUUUUAGACUUGGUUCUUUUGGCAAAAUUAGCUCAAUCAUGACAAGGUUAUGUAGAGAUAGUACUUAAUGUCAUUUUUUUACUGUUGUGAGAGCUUUCGCCUGUGUGUCUAUAUAAAUAUGCUCCCUGCAGUGCUCAAUUUCAACUUGGUUAGCUUAAUAUGUUAAAAUCCCACUACGCAAGGAUAUUUACUUCUACCAAAUACUAGUUUCUCCCUUAAUAUUAGGGAAACUGAAAAAUAAAAAAACAGGGAUGGUAUCUUUUAGGUAUCACUAACUAGAAUCGAUGUACCAGAACAUAUUUGGAAAUGUCGAUGCAGAAAAAUAUUUUUCACAAGCUUUAAUUUUGUCAUUCCUGCAUGACGUGAUGAACUCGUUGAGAUAUUUGACUGUCAAAAAGUGAAAAUAAAAUAUUUAUUUAUCUUUAUGUAAAUUUUUAAAAUGAAAUAUUUUUAAAUCGCUUUUACGCAUAAUCUACUUAUUAAAUGUGAUUAUGUUAUAUCACAAUUGAUUAGAUCAUAAUCAUAGCAAUUAUAAUAUAAUAUAUUAAUAAUAAAAGACUCUUUUAAAUAAUUAAUAAUAAAGUCAUAAAAAAUUAUCUAUAACAAUAUAUUAUUGAAUAUAUUUUUUAUACACAAUUUCUUACUAUUUACACUUUAAAUGACUAUUUUUAAUUUUUAUAAUUAUUUCUAACAAUUUUUUUUAUAGUUUAUAAUAUAUUUUUAUUUAGUAAUAACAAUUAUUUAGUAAAGGUUAAUAUUUUAUAUAUAAUACUUUAUUUUUUAAUAAAUAAAAACAAUUUAUUUAUUUAUACAACAACAUAUUAUACAUAAUAAUGACUACCUAAUUUUCUAAUAAUAAAUUUAUAUGUAUAUUUAAAAUUAGAUAGUAUUAUUUUUAUAUUUUUAGUUAAUGAUUUAUAAAAUAAUAAAUUAUAUAUUUUUUAACGUAGUAUAAAUGUAGUAUUUACCACCACAAAGUCAAACUUUACAGUGGUGCUUGCUGCAAACAAAAUAAAAAAAAUGUGUUAUACCAUGUCCCUUGAACAUAACAUUUUAUAUUUGUCAUGGACUAAAAUAAAUAUUUUUUUACAUAAAUCACGUUGACAAAUAUAUAGAGAGGACCAUUUUGUAAAACAUAUAUAUUCGAAGAGAGCAAGGAGAAAAAAAAGAAGCUUGAACAGAGAAUACAAAGAAAGCAAUUCAUGACAGUUUAAAACGCAACAAAUUGUUUUUGUUGAAAGUUAAAAUAAUUAUCGACAGUUUUAAAUCAUAAAAAUCAUUAACCUGAAUUUUUGUUAAUGUUGACACUAAUUAUUUUAAAAAAAGGUUAAUUUUUUUUAAAAAUAAGACUAAACUGGACAUAAAACAAAAGACUAAAGCCAGAAUUUAAUCUAAUUUACUGUGUAUUUUCUUUUCUAAUAAACACUUUUUUUACUUGUUUCGGAAAAGUAGGCUAGCCUUUGCUAACAAAACAGAACUAAGGUUAGACUUUAUUUAUAUACAGAACACUAAAUUUGAGUGAAUAGGAUGCUAAUACUAGCCUUGCAAUUUAUGGAAUCAUAUAUAACCGUAGAAGCUACUGCAAGCAAAGCUUUAAACCAUUAAUUCUUACUGAUUCAGAUAAAUGAAUGCUAGCAUAUAAUUUUUGACAUUUGAACACGGAUGACUUACCAAAAAUCUCGGCAAGAACAUGAUCCCUUGCUAAAAUGGUGAAACCGACUUCCAUGGCAAUACAUCUAUCAAAGAAACCUGAAACGUGCUUCAUGAAACUAUGACAGUCAUAACAAAUCCUAAGGUUCUUGAUGAUCCUAAUGGUCUUUCUAUCCCUAUGAUAGAGAAGAACAAAAGCCACUGCUAAUUUCACACAUGCCCCAAGCAAAGUCCUCCAAAUAAUCGAAUUUGGCUUAACAUGCAUCCUCUCCACAAACUCAAAAGCUUCAAGCAUCUUGCCUGCGCGGCCAAGAAGAUCAACCAUACAACCAUAAUGCUCAAGCGUCGGUUCAACACCAUACUUACUCCACAUGUCCUGAAAAACCUGCUGCCCCUCCUCCACAAACCCACCAUGACUACAAGCCACCAAGGCACCCAUAAAAGCAACACAGUCAGGCUUCAAACCAGACUCCACCAUAUCAUAAAAGGCCUCUAAAGCCUCCCUACCAUCUCCAUGAAUGGCAAGCCCGUUAAUCAGCGCAGUCCAUGUUACCACAUUCCUGUGAGGCAUUUCAUCAAACGCCUUUAACAGAACGAUCAAUGUCCCCGCAUCGAUAAUAGAUGUUAAUAAGUGCAGUACCUAAAGGAACAGUAAGGUUAAGCUUAGUUCUGGAAAUAAAAGCGUGAAGCCAGAUACCUAAUUCCAAGGCACCUAAGCUCGAAACCGCAGAUAGCACACAAAGCAUGAUGACCCCGUCGGGUAGGAUAUCAGUGUGGCGGAGCUGCAUUUGUUGGAAGAGCGUAAGGGCUUUAUUCAGGAACCCGUGUUUGGCGAAAGAGGAGAUUAAAGAGGACCAUGAGACCAAGUCUGGGUGGGAGAUUUCGUGGAACAGUUUAAGGAAGAUGUGGAGGGAGCCGGUGCCGGAGGUUCCAUAUGAGUUUAAAAGGGCGUUUUGGACGUAAAUGGAGGAGUGGAAACCGAGUUUGAGAAAAAUGGAGUGGAUGUUGGUGCGGUGCAUGUGGGAGAAGAGGGCGAGGGCCAGGGAGGGAGCGUGGACUGCCAGGUGGCGGAUAAUGGGGAAACGGAGGAGCACUGAGGCGGCAUAACGCGCGGUGUCAGGUGGUGAUGGCAGUGGAGAAUGAAGGGACACAGAGAGAGGUUGUACACUCUCUUCAUGUUCAACUAGUAUCUUCAUCCUUAGCUCUUGUAUGCUACACUUCUACUUCUAAAACUUGUAAGAUAUUCUAAGUGUAAAGUCGCCAAUCAUAUUAAAAAGUAAAUAAAGUUAAAAUAAUAAAAUAAUUUUGUAUAACGUUCAAUAAAUAGAUCUAAAAUAUUAAAAAUAUAUUUAGUAAUUAUAAAGUGUUAAAACUAAAAGUUCUAUUUAGUAAUUGUAAAGUGUUAAAGUAUAGUCUUUUUAUUCAAUAAUUAAAGAAACUGAAUCUAACUUUAUCAUCGAAGUACCUUGCAGGUACAAACACUCAAGUGAGAGUGAGCAUGGACCCAAUAACUAAGAGUUAAUACAAAUCCAACAAUCGAAAGAUAGCCCAAAUUCAGUAGCUGAGAGGAAGCCCAAGCCCAAAUAGGAGAGUCCAAGUCAAUUGAUCUAGUAACCGAAGCCCAAAUCAUCAGUGAAAGACCUUUCACCGAGGAAUCGAGAGGAGGAGAAGUUAGUUGCUUCAAAAGCCCUCUAAGAACAUUUGAGUGGAUUGUGAGGAUUAGAGAGGAUGUAUAUGAGAUUGUUUGGAUUGAGAGAUGAUAAAGUGGAUUUGUGAAGAUGAUUUAUUGAAAUUUGUGAAUGAUGUGAUAAUUGAAAGAGAAUUUAGAAAUUAGUUUAAAGGUGUAAAAUGUAAGUUUAUAAGUUUAUCCUUGCUAUUAAAAACAUAUUUAAAUAAUAAAUUAUGAUAUAUUUUUGUGUGUAGGUUUGGAUUAAUUAAAUUUUUCUAAUAUAUAAUAUCCAUAAUUACUUGUAUUUCUUAAUGAAAAUUAAAAAAAAAAAUUGUGUUAAAUUUAAAUAAAUUUUAAAAUUUAUGAAAAUAAUAUUUAUUAUUAUAUACAUUUGUUAUUUUAUAUACUUAUAUAUAUUUUGUUGACAUUAUAAUUUUAUUUUAUUAUUUUCAUUAUUUAUAAUUAAAUAUUUUUGGAAUUGCUAAAUAAAUUUGUGUAAUAUUUAAUUUUGUAUAUUGUAAUAAAAUUCAUGCACAAGGGUAUUUUGGUAAAAUGUAAUAAUCUUACAUGUGAUUAGCACAAAUCUCUUCAUUUGUGUAAAGAAUGGAAAAAGGUUUUGACCAUCUCCCCCAUUCAUUCUCUCACUCUCAAAAUCAGUGAAACAAAUACAAAAAGCAUUUUCUCUCCCUCCCUCCUCAUUACACAUAUCUAAAAACAAACACAAUAUACAUCUCAUAUGUUUUUAGUGUUGUGAGAGUUUUGGCUUGUGUAUCUAUAUAAUAUGCUCCCUGUAGUAAGAUCAUUAUCAGAGGUAAGUAAUAGUCCUUGCCCGGGUGUCCCUUUGAUGUCCUAGUGUGUUUGUUAAAAAGUUUGCUAAUAAUGAUUUCGUUAUCCUGUUGUUGUAUGUUGACGACAUGCUUAUUGUUGGGAAAUAUAUUUCCAUGAUCAACCGGUUGAAGAAGCAAUUGAGUGAGUCAUUUGCUAUGAAAGACAUGAGAGCUGUUAAGCAAAUUCUUGGUAUAAAAAUCAUAAACAAGAGAAGAAGUUUCGAUUGUCACAUGAGCACUAAGUUAAAAGAGUAGUACAGAGGUUCCAGAUGGAAAAUGCUAAAGUGGUAAGCACUCCUCUUACUACUCAUUUUAAAUUGAUUGCAAAAAAAAGUCCUUCUAAUGAAAUUGAAAAAUCAAAUAUGCAACGGGUUCUUUAUGCAUUUGUGGGUAGUUUGAUGUAUUCAAUGGUGUGUACAAGACCAGAUAUUGCACAUGUUGUUGAUACAAUUAGUAGAUUUUUGUCUAAUCUAGGUAAAGAGCAUUGGUUUACUCCACUAAAGGAGCACUAAUUGUACCAUCAUUGAAUCUUAUUUUGUUAUUGGCUAUGAGAGCAUGAGUCAUUGAUUUGCUCCACAUUGGGUAGUUUGAGUCAUUUAAUUUCUUUGGGACAAGUAAGUGGCUGAAUUGAUUUGAAUGUUGCAUGUAGUAUGAAUUUGAUGUAUCUGUAAUUACGUUUUUGAAUUUUUCGACAAACAUGAUUGUCGAGAAAAAGGAAAAGACAAUUUUUUUUUUAGAAUCACUAUAAAUGAUAUUCUAUUACCAUAUCAAAUAUUAUGAAAAAGAUACUUUCUAUAUUCAUUAUGUUUAAUCAAAUUAAAAAAAUAUACUUGAUAUAAUUCAUUAUAUUCUAUAUAUUAUACAGCGAUUACAUCAAACUAUUUUUGUCACAUAUAUUUUACACCAAUAAUUUUUUUAUAUAUGAAAAUAUAAUAAUUUCAGUAGUAUUUACCAACACAAAGUCAAACUUCUGAAUUUCAGUUGGUGUAAUCAAAUGUUGAAUAUUAUCUAUUAAGAAUAAGAGGGAGUAUAAAUUUUAAAACAUAAAAUUAAUUUUAAAAGCUAUAUGAGUAAGAAGAAUAAAGGAAAGAACAAGAAAGUUGUGCCCCUGAUUUCAAACUGUGUCCCUGUUUUCAAAACUGUGCACUAUUACACUUUGACUUAAAUAAACAACCUAAACUAUCUCUGUCUUUUUGUUAGAUGUGUACUCUUAAAAAAAAAAAAACGACGUUAAUAAUUCAUUUUGACCACUACAGAAAUUAUAUAAUUAUUUUAAUUUCUAUACAUAUAAUGUGUAAUAACUUUUAAUCUAUACUGUCUAAAACCAAUGAGUUAAAAGAUAUUAAAACAUAAUGUAUAAUAAGCUCUAUUUACUGUUCAAAGAAAGGAUUUGAAUGGAUAUAAGAUCAGAGAAAGAAGAUUUCUCUUAUCCUCCUCAUAUCCAAAGAUCUAAGAAAAAAAUCAUCUAGAAUAGUGGUGUUUUUUCUUUUUAGUAUUCUUUUUUGUUUUAUUCAUACAAUAAUAUAAUAAUAUCUUUUUUUAUUAUUUUUUCCAUCAUAAUUAUUUUUUAUGAUAUUUCAUACUUUAUUUUAUAUAUUUUUUCUUUUUUAUAAAUAAAUUGGUUUACAAUUCAAUCUAUAUAUAAUAUUUUAUUAUUAUAAAAUGUUCUCUAAAAAUCUAUAUAAUUAUAUAUCACAUACAAUCUAAAUCAAUAAAUAUAAAAAAAACUUUCAAAAUGUAUAAAUAAGUAUAACAAUAAAUUUUAUGUUUAGAAAAUAUUAGUUUUUUAUUCUUUUCAUGUUUCAAUUAACUCAAAAUUACACAAAAAAAAAAAAAUACAUCAUAUUUUAUUAUUUAAAUAUUUUAAAAUAUAAGGAUAAAUUUGUAAACUUAAAUUUUAGACUUAAAAAAAAAAACCUUACAACCAUUACAUCCCUCACAAAUUUUAAUAAACUUUUUCAUAAAUUUAAAAACACAAUCACUUUUUUUACACUUUCCUCUCAAAUUUUCACAUCUUUUUCAUAUAAUCCUCACCACAUCAUCUUCAUAAAAACACAAAUUAAAAUAUACAAACUAAGUAAGUUUAUUCAAUUAUAACAAUUGAAAGACUAAAACAUUCUUGGAGAGAGAAUUACCACUUGUCGGUGUCACAAGUAAGGAACAGCUGAAGAAAAUAAAAAAAAAUAAAACCAGGAGCUGUUUUGCUGUGUUGUGUUAAGUGGUAAUUGAUAUCUGGAAGGUGUCUGAAGAAUCUAAGGCGCCGCCUGAAUACUAAACAACAGCAUAACCAGAGUGGUAUUGUCCAUUUGUUUUCCUUCAAUAUCACUCUCUCAGACUAUAAAUAUAUUCUACACUCUCUUCUUCCAUGUCAAAAUCAAUCAAUACAAAUUCAUCAAUUCUGCUUUGUUCUACCAUCUUUUCUUCUCAGACAUGUCGAGCACAGCUGGUCAGGUCAUCAAAUGCAAAGGUCACUGCUCCACCCUUCUUCUCACUUUCAUCUUAUCCUUCUCUGUUUUCAAUUUUGAUGUUCUACAUAGCACUGAUUCUUCUCCACUUUUUUUUCUUUUUCUUUUUCAAUUUUAGUAACAUGUUAAUCAUGCAUCCAUGUUAUGGUCACUUUGAAUUUUACUUAAAAAAACCUUAAUCUUUGACACUUUCUUUUGUGGGUACUAAAAGUUGGGUCCUUUCUCAACUUUGAAUUAUGAAGUUAGUUUUGUUGGGUCUUGAAAUCUUGUUUGCCCACCAUUUUAAAGUGGUUGAUGGUAUAUACAAGUUUGUUUAACGACAGGUUAUGGUUAUUUAGCAAUUAACAAGUACAAAUUUGGUUUCAAAUUUUGUAAUGCCAAUAAAAGAAACGUGUUUCGUUUGGAAGAAUGUACUAACUAAAUGGGUUGAUUGAAAUGAAUGAAUGUGGCAGCCGCGGUGGCAUGGGAGGCAGGGAAGCCACUGGUGAUGGAGGAAGUAGAGGUGGCACCACCAGAGGCUGGUGAAGUGCGUUUGAAGAUCCUCUACACCUCUCUUUGCCACACUGAUGUUUACUUCUGGGAAGCCAAGGUAACUACACCUUCUUACCUCAAUUCUAUUUUCCUUUAUGAUCCUCCAAACAUACUUAAUCCGAUCUAAGAAAAUGCUAGGAAAUAAUCAAUUAAUUGAUAGGUACCAAGACAUUCAAUAAGGUUUCACAAAUUUAACAUGAUUUCCUUUCUUAUAUCCUCGAUUCAGGGCCAGACUCCAUUGUUUCCUCGUAUAUUUGGUCAUGAGGCUGGAGGGUAUGUUUCUCUUCUGAACAUUCAGCACACAAUCUCAUUUAUCAAUCUUUGCUUAUAAUUCGGGCUAUUGAUUCAUUUUUGUGAAGUCUAUUUGGUUUUGGGUUAAGCAUUUGUUUUUCUAUUAUGUACGUUAAUACAAGUUACCAAUAAUGUUAACUUGAUGUUGUUAUUCAGGAUUGUGGAGAGCGUAGGUGAGGGUGUGACUCAUCUGAAACCCGGGGACCACGCCCUUCCUGUGUUUACUGGGG
rnacentral:lncRNA from 1 species